AGCAGCUGCUCUUCCCCUCAGCUACCCACGCCUACUUCUGGCACCAUGUCACCUGAUCGCAACCCUGAUAGUCGUCAACAUAUUUCACCUAGUAAAGAUAUAGUGGUUCAGAAUUCUGGGCUGUCACCGAAAAAGGUUACUGAGGACCUCACUUCUCAAAUAAAUGUUGCUUCUGACUCUCCAAUUGGUUUAUCUCCUUCAGCUCCUGAGGCAGAGGAAGAGGAAGCUCACUGGGGUAAAAAUGAGGGAGCAGUGACAGUAGAUGAUGAUUACUAUAUGCCAGCACGUAAUAUAAAAUCCUCUCGCUGGGCAAAUGAGGCUGAAUCAUCAGCUGAUGAAGGUGAAAUUUCUGAUGAUGAGGAGAUGGUUAAAUUGAAGAAGAAGAAGAAAUCUGUUAAUGAAUCUACUGACACAAGGGGACAGAGGAAAUCGGUAACUCCAGAGCUCGGGGAACUGAGGAGAGAAGGUUCAGUGGGAAAUAGGGUCAGGUCUUCUGAUGAACGCGUUAGAUCCUUUAGUGGAGAUAGUGAUCCUGAUGAAUUGGACAGGAAUGAGUACAUGGAGGUUGAUGAAGAUCGCACUUAUGGUGGAACCAGUGGUAGCAAUGCGGAUACUGGUUCUGAUGAUGAACACAACUCCCACGGGACACCAGAACAUGCAGUUCCUCCACCAAGGGCCGUGAACAUGCUUCAGGGUUGUAGAAGUGUUGAUGAGUUUGAGAGGCUGAACAAAAUAGAUGAAGGCACAUAUGGUGUAGUUUAUAGAGCUAGGGAUAAGAGAACAGGAGAAAUAGUUGCUCUGAAGAAGGUCAAGAUGGAUAAAGAAAGAGAAGGGUUCCCUUUGACCUCUUUGAGGGAAAUAAACAUUCUUCUUUCUUUUCAUCACCCAUCAAUUGUAGAUGUCAAGGAAGUAGUUGUAGGGAGCAGUUUGGACAGCAUUUUUAUGGUAAUGGAGUACAUGGAACAUGAUCUGAAGGGGUUAAUGGAGACAAUGAAACAACCGUUUAGCCAGAGUGAAGUUAAGUGCCUCAUGCUUCAGCUUUUUGAGGGUGUUAAGUAUCUGCACGAUAACUGGGUUUUGCACAGAGAUUUAAAGACAUCAAAUAUACUUUAAAUAAUUGUGGUGAGUUGAAGAUCUGUGACUUUGGAUUAGCACGUCAAUAUGGAAGCCCUUUGAAACCAUAUACUCACUUGGUGGUUACUUUGUGGUACAGGUGAGCGUAGUUUUAUGCACUAUUGUCUUUUUUAGUUGAGAUAAUUAAAAUCUUUUACCUGGUUCAUUUUUGAUGUAUUAUUUGGUUUUUGUCAAAAUAGUAUUGAGUGCUUUAAUUGCAAAUCCUAUGCUAGUGCCUUUCUAUUACAAGAAUCUAGAGUGAUCACCUGGGCCUUACUGCGAUUUUUUUUUUACUGUUAAUGUUGUUUCUUCUAUGAAUGUAAGUCAUGUCAAUUUAGUUUGGUUACCCAGAAUGCGCCAAUGAUAAUCUCUACUUUAGAAACUGCAUUUUGUUAUUUUUUCUGGUGCAACAGAAUUGUAUGUUGUAGCAUCUUGCUCUUAGGUGGCCAAAUUUUCAUUUUCUAUGUGGCACUAUCUUGAUAUUAGACCAAAAAAAUUUGAAACUUGAGCAGCUAGCUGGAAUAUGUGUCUCUUUCCUUUUCAUUUGUAGGUCUUGUGAUUGUGUAUUUUAUUUUUGCUAAUUUUGGAAAAUAAAAAUAAACGACCGAAUGACAGAAUAUUUAAUGUUUUUCAAGGGCGCCUGAACUGCUUCUAGGAGCUAAGCAGUACUCUACAGCGAUUGACAUGUGGUCCUUGGGUUGUAUUAUGGCCGAGCUGUUAGCGAAGCAGCCACUAUUCAAUGGGAAAACAGAAGUUGAUCAACUCGACAAGGUUAACAUUUUGACAACUUUCAUCUGUAAUGUUACUGUAGAUUUUUGUAUGGAUUCCAAGCUAAUUUUCUUUUCUGUGGCCUUAAAGAUCAUUGUCGUUUUGUUUUGCAGAUAUUCAAAAUCCUUGGUACCUAAUGACACAAUCUGGCCUGGGUUUUCAAAGCUUCCUGGGGUCAGGGUUAACUUUGUCAAGCAUCAGUAAGUAUCUAUUUCGUGUUUAUCAUAGUUCGAUGCAAAUCGACUGUAUAAUUUAUGGUUUUCAUGUUUCCUACUGUUUUCCCAGGCUUCCAGCUUUGGGUGAUUCUGGUCUGGCUUUCUGUCCUUCGUUGGCGACAGUUUCAGUUCCCAAAUAUAUGUCAUGUUUCUAUUAACUGGUGCUUUGUUCAUUUCAGGUAUAAUCAACUGCGUUCCAAAUUUCCAGCUACAUCCUUCAGAGGAUCGCCGGUACUCUCUGAUGCUGGAUUUGACUUAUUGAACAGGCUUCUGACUUACGACCCUGAGAAGGUAUGUCAUUGUAAGGUGUGAUACUGUUUGUAGAUCAUGAUUGUAACUAUUUAAAGUUUGGAAGACGUUUUUCUGAUUCUUGUCUUUGGACAGCGAAUAACUGCUGAGGAUGCUCUAGCCAUCCUUGGUUUUCUGAAGUUCCUCUACCCAAGUCGAAAGAAUUUAUGCCUACUUUUCCUGCUCAGCAUGCUCAAGACAGGUACUUUAGCCGUCCUCUGUUUGUUACUUAAUUUGUUCAUUUGUUGGAUUAAUGAAUUAAUGUUUUAUUGCUUCUUUGUAGACGUUUGCGAAGAGCCAUGAAGAGCCCAGAUCCCUUGGAAGAGCAGCGCAGGAAGGAGUUGCAACAAGGGGAACUAGGAACUAGUGGUUUGUUUGGUUAAGGGAAGUCAUUAGUGCCUUGAAGUUCAAUUUAUGCUUCAGUUCUGUUCUCGUGAUUGAUGUGGUUGAGGUGAGGAUGUAUUGAGAGGAAGUUAUUGUUAGAAGAUCAUUCGUGCUGUUUUUUAGCAGGCACCCUUGAUGAAGUAGAUGGAGAAUCAAUUCUUUGUCUAAGCUUUUGAAUCAGAUGUGGUGGGGAGCUCUGGUGUAAUGAAAAUUCCUUCUUUGACACUGCUUGCAUGCCAAGGUGUGGCAUAGUGCCUUUCUUAUUAAGAAACAGUUUCAGUUGAAACUUGUGUAUGUAACAUAUUUUCUGUUGAUACAUUGUAACAAUUUUCAUGAAAUUUGUUUUGAAUUUCAGAACGAUAUAGUGUUUAUUCUUAAUCUUUGUUCUUUGUUUUAUCAAUUUUAAUUUUCAUCCUGGUCUUUGCAAGAGACACUGGUGUAACGCGGAGCAGGCUUUCUUAGCUUUUGAUUGACGAAGAAAUGACAGAAAGUAUUGCGCUUUGGAGGUAAUGUUAAGUCUGAAUACAUGGGUGUAAUGAAGGAUCAGAAAUUUGCUCUCUGUCGAUAUGGGAUGUCCUUUGUGCCAUUGUUAUGUUAGGCCACAUGCUAGCCUCUUAGAAUUACAUGCUUUCUCUGGUAAUCCUGUGAGAAAGUGCCAUAUCUCAUCUUUCCAAUCUGGAGCUCUCGGCUACAUAACCUGACAUAGUAUAAUCGGAGGAUCAGUUGUCUAUUAAUUAUGCCAUUUUGAUUGAAGAAAAUUGCACCAUUCCCAUAUGAAGGUUCUGGUAAUUAAGUUUAAUUUGUUUAAUGGAUGUGUUUAAUUUUGUUUAUAAUGAUAUUAUCUGAGGAGAUGCAAUUUUAGAUUCUAAAUGGUUUGGCAUUUGAUACAGCAAGUGUAAAUGUGAAGACGUUAUUCUCAUAGUGCUACUACGUGUAAUUUUGGUGUUUCUUAGCGGGAUUUUGUUCUAUUCUUUUGUAUUUCUCAUUUUAAGUUUUUUAUUUGAAAGGAUAUUUAGAGACCGUUUGGAUGUGAUGCAUGCAGAAACUUCAGUUUCCAGCUAAUUGAGUUGCCUAGGUCAUUCUUGUGAAUUGCGAAUUGUUUAUAAUUAGGAAGAAGCUAAUAGAUUUUUGUUUAUGUUAAUAUUGGCAUAGACCUUCAUCUAUGUUCCUUCCCUUGAGACUUCAAAUCACAAACAUGCCAACAAGCGUUACUUUGAUAAACGUGUGGCUUUUAUGCUGUGUGGCCACCUAGAGAAGAUGUUUUUCUUGAAAUACUGUUGUAAUCCCACGUUUAUCCUUGAUACCAAGGCAGAAGAAGAGCAACAUGGGUUGUAACUAGAUUUUACUAUUCAUGGCUCUACUAUGGAUGGGCAGCUCAUUGUAUCAAGAAUUUUGCGACAGAGUGGUUUUUUUUUUUUUUAUUUAUAUGUGCUAGUUGCCAUAUUUCUGGGAAUGUAGGUGUUUACUGUGUAUUUUAAUUGUACAACCAAGAUGUUUUACUGUGUUUUUUUUUAUUUAUAUGUGCUAGUUGCCAUAUUUCUGGGAAUGUAGGUGUUUACUGUGUGUGUUAAUUGUACAACCUAGAUGAGUUUUAUUUUUAAUUUUAUUUUUUCAAUUUUUUUUGGCUUUAUGGUGAUAUUGAGCCUUUAACGUCUUCAUCUUUGGACUUAUUUGACAUUCAUGUGCAAAUGUUACUGCAGUAUCAAGGCAGGCAGGUUGGGGGAGUUUACCUGUACAACCUGGCAUAUAGAUUUUCAAAUUAUUUUUCCAUUCUUCAGAUAUUCUUUUUCUCUUCUUCAAAGCUCUGUGGAGGUACCUUGCAGCCUUUAUUUACUCUAAUAUUUGUAGUCUUUUUUACCCUAAUAUUUGUAGCUGCUUAAUUUUUUUAAAACUAUCGUGCUGUGUAUGGCAUUAUGUAUUUGACAUAUAAUGAGCACCAUAGAACUUUUUGAAGAUUCUUUAAUAUUUGAACCUAUUUUUGUUUUCAGGAAAAAUUCUGUAACAUAGAGUUGAGAUACCUUAAGUUUUGCUCUCUGGCUUUGAAUUUUCAAAUUUGAGUUUUGCAUCCAGGUUUUAUGAAUUGCCAUUCAUCUAGAAUUCUGUGCAAGAAAUGGUUAGCUGUGUUUGCAUAUUGUGGAUUGGUUGGGGUUUUUUUUAUAAUUCAAGUGAUGAUACAGAAUCCAACUGUUUGUUGCUAAGAUGUUACAGAUGCUGGGAGGUUUACCUACUGAUUGGUUCAUGAUAUGUUUGUUUUGACUGGCUACUAGCUUAAUUUUUGGUACGCCUGUGAGAUUAGAAGAAUGUACAGUUAAGGUUGAUGAGAAUGUGUGUGGGCAAACUAAAUGGCUAGCACAUUUACAUCCAAUCAUUUUCAAAUGUCAUACUGGGAUCUUUUUACUUCUAUAACCUGUAGUUUUGAAUUCUUGACAUAUGGUUCUGGAGUUUAAUCACCAAUGAUUUGUUCUUAGGUGUGACGUGAUUGUGUCUCUCUCUAGUAUUCCACUAUUUAUGCCUGAUAUUGUUUGCCUGUUAGUUCAACAGAUCAUAAUGUGACCAAUGCUCCAAUUUUGUGCUACUGCAUUGUCCUUAUGUUUUCCAGCAAAGGUCUUUCUCAAGUCUUAUAAAUUAUAAGUGGGUCUUGUUAUUUGCCUUGUAGGAUAACUGGUGGAUUUAAGGUGCUAUUCUUCUUAUGAACUGAGACAGUCUUGACUUAGAGCCUGCUGACAACUUGGGGGUGCUUAGUAUUUUAAGAGUGAAGGGGCAGUAUUGAGUUAGAGCCGCUACCAACUUGGGGGUGCUAUAUUUUACAGUGGAAGGUAUGGAUAACGUCAUUAGCUGGGAAGAAGAGAUGAAUACUUGGAUCAUUAGAAAGUUGUAGUGCGACGCUGGUUGUCUGUCACAAGGAGCAUAUCCUGAGGUGUCAACUUCUAGUUAUAAACUGCAUUUUUAUAUGUUAUGUGUGGUAAAAUUCCUUGUCUCAUUGUUUUUCAUAGAUGCAGCGAGGAGAGAACUUAUUAUCAUAGAUGUGCUUGCUUCUGGUUUUGGAUACUUUUGGUUCUCUUAGCUUUUGCUUCUCAAAAGUGUUUCAAGGUAAUUUUCAUAGUUGGAAAAAAGUAACUAAAAGAGAUUGAAUGCAAAGGUUGAUCAGUGUAGGUUCAAUAAUGAAUGUAGUGCAGGAUAUGGGUGAGAGAGAUUCUUGAUGAGUUGAGGACCGUUUACCAUCGUUAGUUGUGUCUUCAUGGCAGCUUCUUUCCUUGUGUAUCUUUCAUCCUAUUCUUGUAAUUCUGCUGUUCAUCAUGCAAGUGUUAGUGUAAGGAUGCAAGGAUUUUACUAGAAAAAUCUGGAGCUUCUUGGGCUUUUUAUUGUUUGGUGCAACGUGAGAUCUGCUGAAUGGAUUUUUCCUUUGCGUAUUUUUACCUACCUGACGUUUAGUAUUUCUAGCUUCUAGUGGCCUAUAUAUGGUAAAUUUUUGUAUGAAUUAAUUUAUGGCAACGUAGGGUAGUUUGAAAUAAUAGUGUGUGUUGGAUAUUUGGAAGAUCACGAGGUAGCAGAGGCAUUAUCUGAAUCUAGACUCUACGCAUGGGGUUUGCGUUCAACUGCUUGACCAUCAUUGGCCUGCAUUUGCUGUAGAAUUACAGGUGUCGUUUAAGCCUAGCUUGUAUAUUUCCUUCCCCGGGUUUGCCUUCUAGACGUUGACUGAUUAUCAUGUUGAAUUUUGUGGAAGGUGAUGGAGCGAGACCAGCACUGUCGCUUAAGCACCCUCAUCAGAGAGAGAUUGUUGCUUGAACAUGAGCAUCUUCCUCCAUUCAAGGAUUGUGUGCUGUCCCAUUUGUGAAUACGGUUAAUAUUAAAUCUGUCAUAAAAGGUAAAAUAAUUUCCCGAAAAAAUGCUGUUCCAAUUAACCAUACGCACUGAUUUAUGUUUUCUAUUAUAGUACAAGUCGAAGUCAAUGACACUUCAUAACUUCCUGUUAUUAUUAUUAUUAUAUUUUUUUGGGGGUCCUUUUCCAAUGUCUUUUACUAUAAUGAUUUACAUGUAAUCUUAACCAAAGAAGCGACAGUGAAUGCUUUAAGAACAAAUUGCAAAUGAUGAACGGAGCCCGUCAAAUUGCAAAUUUCCUUGUGUGAUGGGCGCCUGCGAAGAUGCUCUUUGCAUGCCUGUAGCAGGCCCGAACAGAGAAUGGAGUGUAGCGGGAUAUAGGCGCUGCCCCAGGGAAGAUGGCCGACGACUUUGGAUCGCAAUUACGAUUUUGAUGCGCCACUUUGCCGCGGCGGGUGAUUACUGUGAAGUGAAAACUACGGUCUUUCCAAGCACGAAGAGCACGAGCGACAGUUGAAUGAAGAAAAUGGUGUUGAUCAGUCCCCUGUCAACCGUCCAUCCAAAAACCGUAAUUCCCCGGGGUUGGACUGCAAAUAUGUCACUGUAGAAUCAAAAAAAAUUAAUGAGCGUACGUGACAAUUCAGGAUUAAGAUACCAGUUAGAAAGGCUCAAGCAAAGAACACACUCGAUGAUCAAGCCUGGUUGCACUGAAAGAAACUGUUUUACAUAUCCUACCACUUCAAAGUUCUGUGUGCGUGCGGUGGUUUGCCUGUGUUGAGGGUAUGUUGUUUGGUAGGAGAAGUCAUUCUUAGUUUUUUAAUGAACAGCAAUUGCCAAGCAAAAGCACUUAGAAUCUGUCUUUUUGCGCAUUUAUCUUGUGUUUUCAUUCUUUAAUAAAAAGAAACAGAUUGAAGAGAUGAAUCCCUUCCAGAGCAAGAGGUGAACAAACAGCAGUGGUAGAAGGAGAAAAAAUCGAUAACAUACUCUGCUGUAUUUCUCGAUAAUUCUCUCUUAGUUUCGGAUAACAUGCUCAUAAUCAGAUUCCCUUUCUUGUCUGAAGCAUAUGCUACAACGAAAUACCCUUUCACAACUCUUGGCAUAUUGAUUAAGGUGGGCGGGUAUAAAGCUAAGAAAAUGUAAUUCUGCUGUUACUCGACUUAUUUACUCGUAUUCUUCAUACUAGGGAAAAGCCUUUAUAAUGGAGCCAGAAAAAUCAUGUAAAAUUCAUCUAUUUGGGCAUCCGGUCUAUACUGAGAAUAGAAUAUUAAUAGAGUCUGGAUUAUAUAACAUUCUGUCCAAUGAACGAUUCUUUUCAUCCUCAGCAGAUUUCUAUGUCAUAUAAACAAGCUCAAGAAAGGCAGCUUAAUUAAAAGAAAGGGCUAACUUAAGGUAUAUACCUCAGAGGAAGGUAAUAUAGAAUAAAUAAAACCAAAAAACAGGAUUUGAUCCGCGUACCUAGGGCUUGCCUCUUGUGGUAUGAAGAUGCAUAAGAAGAGAGUGGUGUACUUUGACUGGUCGGGACAAAUUCCAAAGACUCCAAAUCACUUUCUGAGUAGCUUGUGUAGAGAGAACCUAUCAUAUGAUCCACCUCCAGGCUUCCAGUGCUGCUAGCAAUCCUGAAUUGAGAUGCAUCAGUAGGAGUGCAUGUCCUUAAAGCAUGCCACUGACCAGCUAGCGAUCCAAUUCCUUGGGCUCUGUGGGAUAUUUUUGCAGCUGCGUUCAAGCAAAGAGUUAUUCCAGCUACUUGGACGAUGGAAGAGACCUAAUAACCAGAGAAAAAAACUUAACCUUAAAUUGUCAGCGUCAUACUCUCAACUACACAACAAUAGAACGGGAGAGGUGCACAUAGAGGAAAAAGCUGAGAUGUGCUGCUGACAAAGCAUAGAGAUAUCCAUCUUAAUCUCAACUCAAACCAAAUUAAAAGUAGUCCAUGAAUAUCUACAUAGACUUUAAACCUGCAAAUAUUGGCAACGGAGUCCAAAUCUCUGUUUCAGGAAAUUAAGCACACUAAUUUGUUCUAAUGAUAUCAAUCAGCAAUUCUUAAUUUUACCAAGGGUUCCAAUUUUAUUCUAGAGAACUCCCGUCCGGCAUUCAAAUCCAUGGACAAACAAUUGAGACAAUAAACAAAACAGCAAUUGCGAGUGAUGAUGAAGUCCAAACUUACAGCAAAAUCACCUCCAUUAAUGAAUGAGAUGAUUCCAGUAUACCCAGUAGUUUGGAAUAGAGUCACAAACUGGCUUACAGUGACAAUCAAGAACACCAGAAUAAGAUAGAUCCUAAAUCUGUGGCUUAUUUUUGAUAGAUAAUGCCGCAGACGAAUAUGCUCUUUUAUUAAUAUUAAAACAUCAGAUUGCCUUUCAAGAGCUUCCCAUAGUCAUCGAAGUGUAUAAUCUGUAAAUUGCAGACCAGAUAGAACAAUAUGCAGGAGCACAGAAAGAUUAUUGUCACAUAGGUUGAGGAUAAAACAAAUGCUAGUAAAAUAACGACAGUUUGCCACCAUAAUUCAUGAUGCACGUAUAACAUGCGGAUGACUUCACGAGCAGUCUUAAGAAUGAAGCAUGGCAGUACCCAUAACACCAGCAACCGGACAGAUUCCUGCACAUAGAGAUACCCCCAUGAGUCCUAUACUGUGGCAGUCGUAUUACAACACGUGCCAAAUAUCGAAAGUUUUACAUAGAUCAAUUGUUCAGAGGUAAAAGACUACUCAAGUCCAAAAUAGAAAAACUUAGAGCGACCAAAUAUAUCAAGAGAAGCAAUAUAUUGAAGCAAAACUCGUGAAGGAAACGGACACACCAGUAUAUGCUGGGAUAAUUCCCAAUGAUAUAGUAGAAGAAGCAUCCACUCUUUUAAAACAUCAGUCGUAGUGUGUUUCAAAGAAACCAAAUAAUACGUACAAUAGAAACUUAAACUUUUUUCCAUUCCAAGCCAAACAUUUCCGCUUGCACAGAAAGAUUCUUUGCCAUUGAUCCCAAGAAUAUAAGCGGACGGCAGAAAGUAAAUAUGUUCACCAAAAUUUACUCAGCAAACUUCUGCAACUUAUUCCUUGAUAUAAAGCAAUUAAUUUAAAAGAUUGACUCUUUUUUUUUUUUCAGGUUAUGAACCAGCUUAAUAGCUCAUCUAGUACUCUUUAUUUUGGAUGCAUUGUUAUCUUUCUUGUAGAAACACAAGCAGCAUAUAAAGAACACAAAGAAAGAUCAGAACCAUAACCACCCUGCAUAUCGUGCAAUUUAUAAAGUCCAAUUAGAAAGAUACUCACAGAGAUCUUCUGAAUAUAUUGGUCACUGAACCUCUCCACAUGACCAGUAUACCUAUCAACAAAUAGAAACUUCCUAAUGCCAUACUUCCGCAAAUUGUGGGACACACAAAUAAGAGAGGCAGCUGCCAAACUAGCCUGAGAAGCCACAAUAUCCAGCUCAAAACUUUUAAUUUGGCCCUUCUCACAACCGGGACAAUUAGAAAGUUGAAGAAUAACCACCGGAAGGAAAAAACCAAUGAGCAGGAAAACCAUCCAAGACAGUCCGACACUCAAGAUUGAAUUUUGUUUGAAGCCCAGAAGAGCGAGGAACGAGUCUAAUGUUUUAAGGGUCUUGUCAAGAGGAGUGUAGGCCUCUUGAUCUUCUUCCGUAGUUUCUUGAUUUUGGGAUUGUUGAGUUUGUUCUACCUUGAGCAGGGGAGUCUGGUCUUGCAGCUGCCGUGAAUGUGAUUCCUCCUCUGGGACGUCCGCUACUUGUAUAUGAGUUUCAGCCAUUGAUCCAAAAACGUACUAACUUUUACACUAGGCAACUUAAAAAAGGGAAUAGUGAAAAAGAGGGCUUGAAUCAGUAUUUAGUGAGAAAUGUUCGAUCAUAAGAGUAUUUGGAAAAGAAGAAAUGUGAUGAUUAAUCGAAACUGACAGAUCAUCUGAUCGCCGUUUUAUCCGAGUAAAAUAGUCUAUGGGUAACAGUUCCAACCACAUUCGUCUAUUUUGAGGCGUAUUGACACUUUUGACCAUUUUGGGCUACCGGCUGUCUUGCAAGAAACUGUACGACUAUUUAAAAUGUUGAAAUUAGAAAAGUGGUGGUAAAUGAUAGAGAUGACAGGCUUGUCGGAUGAAGAUAUUCUCGUAGGAGAUUCGAGAGAGUUGUAGGGAGUUUAGUAAUUAAAAUAUGACAUUUGUUUAGCUAGACAACUAUGUAGAAUUACCAAACCAUGCUGCACAAUUCGAGUAGAAUUUUGUGAAAGGCGCCCUUCAAAAACAGUAUGCAUCGACACAUAAGUUGGUCAAGUGAAAAUGAAGUAGCCAAUGAUUGGACACAGGAAAUAAGCUAUCACUUGCCUCAAGACAAAAUGCACUUUUCUUUUAAUACAUAAAUUGAGACUUGUACACUAAACCUAUUUGAUAUACAAAUAUUGGCCUAGUAAUGUAUAUAGUGUGAGUAGUUAGACAGGCAAAUUUGAAUCGUUAGCAGACUGCAAACCUUGGAGCAUGAGAGUUGAGCUUCAACUUGCAAAGGAGAAAGGCAUUUUGGAGUCUUUUGACUCUAAAGUUUGCACCAGCGACCAUCUGAACAAGAAGUAACUCCCCAUGUAUUGGCAAUGGCAGCAGAUUGCAAGACUCAGUCACAACGUAUCCACGUCCCUUUCCAACAUUCCUGCGGAGAAGAAAACAGGCGUGCGGAUUUCCUGACAAUCUCGGCGUUCAAUCAAAAAUACAUCUGUGACUUCUUGUGAUCAACAGCCUGUUGGACUAAGGCCCUUACUCUUUGCAGACAUUUUAGGGGUUAACCGGGAAAGAUGCUGCAGUUACCUAUUUUAUGUUUAUGUAAAUAUUUGAUACUUUCUAUUAUUUCUACCCAAAAAAAAAAAAAAAGGGAUCUGUAAGAAGUGACUGGGGGAUCCUGCCUCCCGGCCCUCGUGGAUUCUCCAUUUGUCGUCUCCAUCGCUGACUUAAACUCCCCAUCACUCCCAACUCAGUAUCCAACCAUCAAACUACUGAAACUAGAGAAUAUUCUAAAUCACCGCUCAUCGACUCCAAAUAUCCUACUGCUAUAACAAAAAUGGUCAAAGCAAAUCCAAAUUCUCCUCCUCCUCAACCACCAUUAUUUGCCGCCAUCUUCGUUGACCUCAGAAGCGGUUUCUGUUCCGAAGCUAGAAUCUACCACAGCCUUAUGUUCUGUUUGAUAAAACUGAAUCUGAAUUCUGAAAUCUGAAUACUGAAAUACUAAUUAAUUUGCUGAAUUUUAAACACUGAAAAGAAAUAUGUGAAUGCCUGAAUUUUAAUGCUAAACCUAUUUAUAUUGUUUGAUAAAUAUUUAUAACUGAAUGCUUAAUAAGUUAAAUUUGAUAAUUUUGCCCUUAUAUCUUUUCAUCCAAAAAAGAAAAUAGAACCUAUAAUUUAAUUAGUUAAAAAUGUUAGGUGUGAAAGUGACAAUAUUUAUUUUUAAAUCAAAUUAAUAUAAAAGAUGAAUUAUAUUAUAUGAGGAGUACGGAGAAGAAGUAAAAGUUAUUUAAAAGAGACAAAAGAGAAAUAGAAAAUUAUUAAAUAGAGAAUAUUAGAUUGUUUAAUUAUAUAAGAAUUUUGACUAUAAUUAAUAAAUAAGGGUAAAUUUGAUAAAUAAGAUAAGAUAGUUGAAAUAAUUCUAUUGAUUCUUAUCAGAAUUAAACAUUUGAUUAGGAUUCUUGUGCUGAAAAAAAUAUAUACAAGUUCAGUACUACCUAACAAUUUCAGCAAAUAAAUUUUCAUUUAUCAAACAUUCAAAUCAUCUUAAUAUCUAAAAAAAUUCAAAUUUAACGCUUUUUUGUGUUAUCAAACGUAACCUUAGACCCCGUUUUUCCUUUCCCCUAUAACGACCCCUCUCUCCUUCACGCCCUACAUCUUUACUUUUCUCCACCACCAUCCACCCACCUCCACCGCCGUUGCACUCCUAGUCCUAGACACCACCAACCACCGCCUUCUUCUCCACUCCCAACUCCAAUCCCGUCAAAUCCUUAGCUUCUUCUCUCCAUCAUGAAUUUGGGCUCUCCAGAGGGGAUGCGGCCUUCAUUCUCUCAACUAAUUCGUCCCAAAUUCCCAUUCUUUAUAUCUCUCUGUUCCUCCAAUUCACAUAUCUCAAUUUGACACGGCUGCGAUUCUCUACUCGUCGGGGACUGCCGGACACUUUAAAGGAGAUCGACGAGAAAGACUCCGUCUGUGACCAUGUGUACGGUGCCUUACUUCCACGUUUAUGGGUUUCUGCUGUGUUUCAAAGAGGUGGCUUUGGGUGGGACCCUGGUGACGGUUCGAUUGAAUUGAUGGUGAGAAAGGUGGAGGAGUUUAAGGUUACGCAGUUGGCGUUGGCGCAGCCGGCGGCGGUGGCGAUGGUUAACAAUGCUGACGUUGCCAGAAAGUAUGACCUGAGGUCCUUAGAGUUGAUGCUCUGUGGCGGAGCUCCGCUGGCCAAUUCGGUGGUGGACAGGUUUAAGAGUGACUUCCCAAGUAUGCCCAUAGUCCAGUUUAGUUACGGACUCGUAGAAUUGCAGGCUUAUAGCCUUGCCCAAUAAUCCAUGCCAUUAUGGAUUUAUGGUUAUGUAAUGGCAAUUUCUCAGGCACCAAAGCAACAAGUUUCCAAAAAGACAAUAUAGGUAUUUUCUUAUAGUAAAAUGCUGAUCUGGUAAGCGUUUAAAAGACCCUGAUAUGGCAAUGAUGUAGUGGAGACUAUGGCUUUAGGCAUAUGGACUUACUUACAGAAACGACAGGUGGAGCUACUCGAACCGUGGGUCCAGAUGAAAGCCGGGUACCGGUUCAGUAGGACGUCUGCUCUCAGAUUGCCAAACUAAAAUUGUUGCUCUCAGUAGGACGUCUGCCUCCUCUCGCGAAAGGCGAACUGUGGAUCAGAGGGCCUACCAUAACGAAGUGUGAGUGUUUGCCAUUUUACCCGUCAAUUUCGUGCCAAACAAGUGGCCCUUUUGUUGUCUGGAUUGAAUCUCACGCAUAAAUGUAGAUGGUAUAUGGGGUGAAUUGUGGUUUGCAAAAAGGGGUAGCUCAAUUUGGUGCAGGAUAUAUGGCUGAAAAAGAAGCAACAGCUGCAAUGUUGGACCCUGAGGGAUGGCUAAGAACUAGUGACAUUUGCUAUUUUGAUCAUGAAGGCUUCCUAUUCUAUGUGGAAAGGAUGAAGGACUUUAAUUAAGUACAAGGCUUACCAGGUUUCUUCCACAUUUGCCAUUCUCAGUUCCUGAGCUUACAAAUGCACAAAGCAAAUUCAUGGAAUCCGCUAUUCUAUUUCUGCCUGAGAAAAACUUGUUUGCUCGUCGACCAAUGACCAUCCCGUCUUUGUGCAUGAUAUCAGGUUGCUCCGGCAGAGCUGGAAAACCUGCUGCUUUCGCAUCCCGAGAUCACUGAUGCUGCUGGGAUCCCGUAUGUUUGUUCAGCCUUCUUUUGCUUAUGUCUUAAGCGGAGUACUGUCUCAGUAGCAUCCAUGUUGAAGUCCCCUACUGUUAAUCUUACAGGUUUCCCUCAUGACGAAGCAGGCCAAAUACCCGUGGCUUUUGUAGUGAGAAAAUCAGGAAGCCUGAUUAAUGAGUUGAAGAUUAUAGGCUUUGUUGCCAAAUGGGCAUGCACCAAAAAUUACCUAUUCCGGAUUAAAGAGUGCAGAAUCGAAUCAGAUCAUUAUUACAGACACAGCAGAAUAGGAACAGUUGCUUUGAGUUGUGAGCACAAGCACAUUUGUUGUCCUUCUUGUCAUUUCAUUCCUACUCAUUAUUGGAUUUGCCUCUACGUUGCUUCAUACAAGAAAAAGUUGUUUUUCCUUGACUCAAUACCCAAAAUUGCUCCUGGUAAGGUGCUGAAAAAGGAAUUGAUCAAGCUCGCAACAUCAGUUGCUGCUUCCAAGUUAUCGCGUCAUUUGUCAUCUGGCAACGACGUUGCUGUAAUAUAUCAUACAUAAAUAAAUGCAACUGCCAAGGGAAGAAAGAAUUAUUUGCUCAGUGGUGACUUCAACAAUUACAAGAGUAGAUUAACUCCUGCUUUAAAACAGAUGUAAACAAUUGCCUACUUAGUGUCAACAAUGCAGUGUACUGCGUAAUGAUGAAUGCCGCACUUCAAACAAUUGCCUACUUAGUGUCAACAAUCCAGUGGACUGCGUAAUGAUGAAUGCCGAACUUCUUCUCCACAUGGAAAGUUAUCGUUUUUCUGGUUCUGUCAGCAGAGGGGAAAAAGAGAACAGCUACAAAUCUUCGUUAUAUGACGGCUACAAUCAAUUGAUCAUUAUGCUGAAUGACGUUCAAAUUCUUAAUAACCUUCAGCGAGCUGAAGGUGCUAACUACAACAUUUUGACUUGAGUCCCUAAAAUCAAUCAAUAAUACUAUGACAAGUUACACAGGAGCGAUUAUUGUGAAGUAGAUGCCUCCAAACCCAAAAGCUCGAUCCUGACUGAAAGAAGCACCAAAAGAUUCACUAAAGCUACAAGCUGGGAAACCUCCUAGAUAGAAAUGCUGUUGGGAAUACCACGACCAGUUACUCCUGGACCGGAAGAGGGUAGAAGCAGUUCAUAUGGAGGAAUACCAGCACCGCUUCGGUUUUUCAGAGCUAUAUUCCUGUUUCUUUCAUUUAUUGUCCGUUCUAUGUCCUCUAGUUUGGCUGAGAAGUUCUCAAAUAACUUCAGAACUUCAGGAUCCUUUAUUGAAGUACUUUGGACAUUGUGCAACUGGUGCAGGUACUCUUCAUCUGGAGAAUGAGUUGACAAGGUGUCCUGAACCGCCAUAAUUUUGGUGGCCUGGAGUUGAGUGGGCAAAGAUGACAGAAAAGUAUGCACAGGGUUGAGAAGAAACUUCUCAUAGGCGGGAUCACCUUCUCCUGGGAUGAGUUUUCGCAUCAGGGUUGGGCGGUUAGGUACAUACCCUCCAAAUGGAUACUGUCCAAAAUUUAUAGCUGCAUGCUGACCUGAAGCAACCCAAAUCAUAAUAGUUAAAAUACUAGACAGGUCUUCCUUGUCCCGAGGUUAGGCCACCAAGUCUCGUCUCUUUUUAUCGAAGUGGCCCUUGUUCUUAAUCUCAUUCCACCAGGCUUGGAGCUCAACAUCAGAAGUGAUGGAACUGGGAUCAGAAUAAUAGUGAUCCACAUAGGACGCUACCAAUUCUUUGAUGGCAGACCAAUAAGAAGUCCAUUCUGCUGCAUAAGGAUAGUCUUCAAUCGCAAGUUUCACACCACAUGGCAUUGAAGGAUCCUCCACAGCCAUGCCCUGAAAUUCACAUGAAUUAUAAAACAGAAUGUGACGAACUAUAUGCAGAAUAGGAUGAAGAUGGAAAACUUUUUGAAGUUGGAGAGAUGGACAGAAAGGCAUGGCAUGCAUAAAGACCGACCUCCUAACUAAAUCUGCUGGCAAUGCUUCCGUGUCAAAUCGCCACAAGCUCUUAUAAGCUGCAGAGCUUAUUUCCAUGGAAUACUUUCCUGGACUAAAACAAGCUUCAAUUAUUCCACCUCCAUUUAUUAGACCUUGUCUGGCAAGGGCAUUAAUUUCCAGUGUGUAGCGCAUAUGAGGAUGAAGCAAUUUGUAUAUUGGAUGCAUGGAGCUGAGCUGCCUAUGGGUGGCUAUUAUGUAAGGCUCCAUACAGGCAUGAGUCCUCAACCUGAAGUUCCAUUAUAGCAACAUUAGAUCCAUCUUGGCACGUUGGAAAAAAGAUAACAUUCAAAUCAAAUCUCACAUUCGGUAAUCCUGUAAUUACAUAUGGCGAAGCAUUCUCCAACAUUUAUUAGAGUUCCAGGAAAUUUUAGUGUUGAAUGCCUCAACUCAAAUCAACAAAAGUCUUGGUCCAUAUGAUCCUACAUAAGUGAAUGGCGAACUGAAUAAUCUAAGAAGAAAGUGGUUGAAGAACUUCAUAUUGAUGGCCACAAAAAUAUUUUCCCACAUAAGAAUUUCUGAAACAUUUAAAGAUAAGAAAUUUCUCUUACCAAUGGUUUACUAAUUGAUGGAUGCCAGCAUCAUUUGAGCAAACAUGCGCUUUAGCUUGCUUCCAGAUCCAAUGAGUGGUAGCAUCGUGGCCAUGGACAAAGACAUGCUUCUUUCUUGGUGAAUUAGAUGAGGGAGGGAGAGAAAGCUCAAUUAUGAUUGGCCUUAAAAUGCCAGUAGGAGUGUAGAAAAAAAUGGUUCUGGAGGCAUAAGCUUUUCUACCAGGCAAUGAGUUCAUCCCCUCAAUAAAAGGCAGAAGCAUAUCAUGAUAGUCAAGUAUGAAGAGUCUCUUGUCCUCUAGGGCCUGUGACAUGCAAGCCAAUGUAAGCUAGAACAACUUUCUGAAGUAAAUACUAGUGACAGGUUUUAGAAAAGCUACGGAAUUUUGUUUUUGGUACCUUCUCAACAGACAUUCCAAACAGCUCUUGUUCGAUUAAUUCCCUAGUAAUUGCAGACUCUGGGGGGCCAUAAACUGCAGGAUCCAGUUUGCUCAGAAUUGGCAGUUCCUGUAGAUUAGACGCAUCAUAAGUGAACCAAGAACUGACAAGAUUUACUCAGAAAGGUCUUAGAACUAUAGAAAUGCUACCUUGAGUAGUUCAAUAUUAACAGGAUUAACACCUGCCAGUGCCUGUCUUGCAAACUCAUUGUCACGUAACCAUGCAAAUCGGUCCCCUGCAAACAGAAAUAGCAUAAUAUCCAAAACAAAAAGUUACUUGAAUAGAGUCUCCAGGAAAGCAUACUACAGAUUUUCAACAGAAUCAUUGAAAUGGCAGACUGAAUUCUACAACCAAAUAUAUUCAUGAAGCAAGGGGUGAGAAGGAUACAUAAGAUAAAGAAGAAAUGGUAAGACUCGUACGUUUUAUAACAGCUGGAAUUUCAUACUUCAGCAAUCUUCACCAACUGUAAAAACUUGAUUCAUCAAAUUGGUUAGAAACUGAUUCUUUAUGACAUCUUUUUGGUCUUCAUCUUUCAAUAAAACACCAUCAUUGUAAAGCUUGUCUAUCUCUGAAAAACAAGUGAAGGGGUUGUCUGAACUUGACAAGGUAGACGAAUCAAUGGUAUCAGGUUGUGCAACAGAGCUUUCAACCUUCCAGCUGAGAAUGUAUUUUGCUUGAUCUCCUCAAAGGCUUCAUCUCGAGGAACAUAGAUUGGAUGAGGUUUCUCAAUCCUACUUUCACUCAAAGGAUCUGUUUUAAGUGUCAUACAAUAAACUCGCCAAAAUUAAAUAUUGCUGAAAAACUAAAGCCAAAAAUUUGGUCAUCGCAAUGUAUAAAGUACCUUUCUUAGUUGGGCGUCUGCCAGUUCGACACCGCCUAGGAUAAGGCUGCUCAUUGCCACCUAAGGAGGGCCUAGCUAGUUCAUCACUCUUAUCAGGAUUACCCAAAUCAUUGUAAGGAGCAUAAUCAUAUAUUCUUUCAUGCAUUUUCCUCUCGCCUUUACCAUUACCACGAAUACUCAGCAAGUCUUCACGACGAAGAUCCUUAAUACCAUCAGGUGUUUGAGAUGGCAAGUAUGCCUGUCAGGCAAACAUGCACAGGACUUGUCAAACCUGUACUAGUUACUUCAGCCAUAGACAUAAUCUUGACAAUAAGUUGCAAACCUGAUUUUUGAAGAUGAUUCUACUCUCAGGAUUAUCUUUUCGAGAAUGGAUCCAUGUAUUUGCUGGAAAGAAUUGAGGCUCUGACUAAAAUUAUGCACAACAAUCUCCACCAAGUAGAACUCUUUAUCAAGGAAAUUCGUAAUGAGAAUAGCUCCGGGACGCCCAAAAUCAUUUGGCACCCUAAAAUUUGCAGCGUAUUCAACAACGAAUGGAUGGUUCGAUGGCUUAGGAAAUCCCCUAACAUAAGACUCAGCGCUCUUUCCUGACCUGGUAACUAUAAGGCCACAGAAAAAGAAAAGUUCACUAACUCCAUAGAGAUAGCAUAAAGGAAGCACAUUUAUCAAUAUGAAACAACAUAAUUCAUCUUUUAAUGGUUCAUUUUGAUAGUUUAAUUUGAUCUCAUUCAGAAUCCACGAAAACCAAAGAAAUGCAUCGCAUUCGAACUUCUUAAGAGCACCACCCCCCCCCCUCCCCAAAAAAAAAGGCAAAUGCAAAAGAAAAAUAGAAAGAACGAAAAGGGAGAGACAAAAACUCAGCCCUCUCGUGUUUUGUACUAUACCACCUUGGCUAUAUUUGAGGGAAGCUUGCGUACAGUUGGACUCACCUCACUAGCAGUAGCAAAAAAAAGUUGUGACCCUUUAAUUUUCCUAAGGUUUCUCUUAUCAUAGACACAGAGACUCAGCAAGAUAACGAACUAUAUAUAUUCUUAGGUUUGAAGAACAAAAGUUUUUAUCAACCAAGAACUAAGCUUACUGGGAUCAAUAUCUUCACUGAUGAGCUGAAGCAAGAUUCCUCUACCAAUCCCGUUCAUGAAAGAUUCCCACUGAUCUUCCAACUUGUCGGUGAUAUUCUCCUUCAUCUUCCUCCUUAUGGUGACCGCUGCCCUGACCUCCAUGCCUCCACUUACUGAAGAAGAAGCCAACGACCCAUUACUUCCUUGCGACUUCUCCACCAGCUUUGCACCCUCACUGCUGAUCACUGUUCUUAUGGAUUGGUGCUUUGACUGGACCGUUGACUGGAAACCAGGAACAUUAUUGGCUUUUUGUCUAGUAAACCCGCCAAUCCUUCGACCUCCUCCGGUGAUCGUCUCCGAUCGACGGACGGUGGGGACAUGUUGGAUGGUUGAGGAGCUUAGAGUACAUGGGCUUGGUUGAGCUGUAAACAUCGCUGGAAAUGGUUUCUGGUCAAUUGGUGAGUGAAGCAUAUGACUAGAAAGUAGAACUAAGUGUAGGACCAGAAGGCAGAAAUACUAGCACGAAUAGAUAGGAAAAAAUUGUCUUGCACUUGAUCCGGUAAGAGUAGAAUUAGUAGUAAUUAAUUUGUGGUAGUAAUUUUAACUUGUUAAUUAAUUGCUUUCUCCAAGUAGAUAAGAGCUUUUAAUGCUUUGAGCCCAAGCGUAACGUAGGACAAAGGUCGGCAGUUGUCACCAACCACCCACCGACGUAAGAUCCUUGGUUAAGGCGGUCAACGGAUUAAGGCAGUAAUGGUGGACUAAAAUACUACUACUAGUGCAUGGAUAUUAAUUAGGCUUCUACUUUUGUUGUCUUUCGUCUAGAAUUCUUUUUCAUAUUGGUGGGCUAGGAAAUAAGGAAGAGGGAUUGAUGAUUCUCGAACGAUGUUUUGAUUUUUGAAAAGGAAUUCAAUUAUGUGCUCCAUUUUCGGCAGUUUUUCUCAAUAGCCAUUGUGAAUGUGUUCCUCAACCAAAAAAAAAAAAAAAAAAAGGCCAUUGUGAAUGUGUAAAUGCGUAAUCCUUGACUGCAGAUGUAUUGAAAGGAACUAGCAUGCAUCGCCCGUAUAUUUUACUGCUACUGCAACUAAAAUGAUCAGCUGAAGGACUAGAAAGACAGGUGGUGGAUGCUAUAAUUAAAAGGUACUGUCAAAUUUUUCAUUUUUGUGUGGCAUGAGAUGUGGUUGGACGGGAGAGGGAGGGUCUCGGCCGGGAAAGAAUUAGAUUAGUAACACACUAACACCUCAGCUCUCUUUCUUGGAUUGGGAAAGAGCUUCAAUUUUCAAUUCAAACUUUGGAUACGGAUGAAUGGUACAUUAUGGCAUCAGAGAGCUGCAACUUGGAGCAGGGCUGGGGAAUGGGGAGGGGUUGUUGGUUGAAGAUGGCUCUAUGACACGUUAAGGCACUUGGGACGUGUUUUUUUUUUUUUUUUUCAAGUGAAAGGUUUUGAAUCGAAACGUUCUAUUUAGAUUCUGCCUUCCUUAUCAUUUAACAAAAUUUUUUUUAUUUGUUCAUUUUUUUUUCUUAUUAUAUGUAUAAUAUUUGUGUCCAGGACAUGAUCGAUUAUUUCACGAGUAAAUUUUAUUUUUUGUUUCCAUUAAAUGUCUAAUUGUGUGCUGCAUUCAUAUGAACAAGAUUAGAAGUGAAUUGUUUAAUUGCAUGAAAAAAAUAUUGACAUGUGAAUUUUGUAAGGUCAAGAGAGGUACGUAUAAUAUUUGUUUUUAGGUAUAAAAACUUUUUAUUCAUCUAUUUUAGUUAGUUUACUUUAUUUUAUGCCCAUUUCGAAGCCAGCUGCUCAUUCAAGGCUGUGGCUUUUUUUUUUUUUUUUUUAAAUUAUAUUCAUGCAACAUAAAAAAGGAAAAUGCUGUCUGCAACAAUUUCUUUAUAUCAACAAGGGCCAUGUGACACGCAUGGCCACCUUAGGAUGUUCAGCAUUUCUUUUUUUCAUUAUUAUGAAGUGGAACACCAAGUUCUGACAAUCGUAACCUCUUUGUAAUAUAAUAAUAUGGAUAUCUGCAGUCUUACGUGGAUCUUGAGCAUUCGCAUGUUGUAAUGUGAAACAAAAAUGCCAUCUUUAAAUUAAUUUCGUACAGCUGUUCAGCAAGUACGAUUUGUCUAAUUAAAAAUAUUGAACAUGAUAAUAAUGGAAAGGGUAAACGGCACGCAAGUCACCAAAUUAUUGUGAAUUUCACGUUUUAAUCACUAAAACUUUUUGAUGUAGUCAAAAAUGAUCAUUCAACUGCUAAAACCUUGCCUCCCAUCAACGUGCCUCAAUACGAGGAGUGUUCUAAAUUCAUGCGGGUGAGUGGUACAUCCGUCUGGUCAGAUGGUGGUUAAGUCCCCGUCAGGUUCCCCGACUCAAUUGAUCCACUCCCUAGAGUCGCUUCCCUUAAAAAGUAAGUCCCUCUCUAGGAGUAGGAGUAGGCUAGGCUAGGCUAGACUAGGUUAGAAGUUGCUGCUAGUAAAAAAAAAAACUACUAAAAUAUUCACAUCACAACUCAUAAAAACACCAAAUUAUUUUUGUACUACCAGAAGAAUUUUUGCAUUGGACAAAUCGUUGAUUAAAGUCCCUUUAUGAAGGCACAAACCGGAAGAGGGGUAGGAACGGUUGCAUGCCAGUUCAUGGCUAAGAUUUGAUCAAAAAAUUAUACAGUUUAAAAUUCAUCUUGCACCUCGUUUUUAAUGACAUAUGUGAGACUCAUAAAAUUUUGUUAUCAUAUUAUUAAAAGUAAGUUACAUCACGUGCAAAUAAACUUACGUCGUGUGUAAAAAUGCACAUAAUCUUCAAGAACGAUUGCGCCUGCAACUGUUGCUGCCCCUGAUCGAAACAAACCCGCCACCCGAAUGGACCGACCUCCUUUUCUUCAUUUUGCUAUAGGACAAGGGCAAUAAUACAAGACGUUGCAGGUCUCCAAUUCACCAUCAUGUGUAAUCGACAAGUAAUGAUUAAUAAAAGACAAGUGAGAAAGACGACCGCCAUGCCCUAAACCUAAUGAGGUUGAAGGAGUCUUCUCAACUCAACAUUAUGAUCAGCAACAUUACUGGACUCCAUCAACGUGUGUCACCCUCGCUCAAAGCCAUUGUGGAGAAUAAAAGUGACAGCCCCCCUAGCCCACCGAGAACAUUUAUGGAUGCAUCAAAGGAUAUGGGUUCUAACGGUUUUCAGGAAAAUCGUUCGAACUAAUUUUGUAUAAAAUAUACAGGAUAUAACUUUAAAUACAUACGAUAUAAUUCACUUUUAAUAAAUUAUUGAAAUUAUAAAACAAAAUUUUAUAAAUUCACAUAUAAUGUGAAAAAUGAUGUACAAUAUAUAAUAUAGAUCUUAUUAUUAUUAUUAUUUUUUUGCCAAAGUUUGGCCAUGAACAUUCAACCCCCUUCAACCGUUCCUAUCCUGCACCAAAGAUCAUCCUAUGAUAUCCUCUAGUUUUGUACUACCAGAAUUGCUUUUAGGCGUAGGCGAGUGUGUGUGUGUGUGUUUUGCAAAUACCCCUUCCACUGCGGGCCAACAAGCACUACAAACGUUUGCAUCCAAGCAUCAAUUCGGCUACACCACUCAGUGGAAAGUGUUGUCAUCUUUACGCACAUUCUUGAGCUACGUUUGAUAGACUGCAAGGUAGAUUAGUGGGAAGUAUAUUAAACAACAUUUAAAAAAAAAAAAAUCAAUUGUCAAAUGUUUGAUGACACUUUCCCAAAUGUUAGUGUUUUGGACGAAAUUGCGUCAAUAAGAGACAUUGACAGAAAAAGUAGAAAUUUCUUUUGUGACGCACAAAUGGUUGCCAUACUCGCACCUAUUAUUGACGGCGUUGUCCAUCAUAAAGCUACCCCAACCCCCCCCCCCAAAAAAAAAACCUCCAAAAAGUUUGGCCUACGAUCAAAUCUUUAGUAAACAAAAGCCCUGCAUUUUCCACGUUACAUACAUUCUUGGCUAGACAACAUCAAGCACAUGUAUGGCAAUUGAAUCAUAGUAAACUCCGACUCCCAGAGUUGGAUCGGCAGAAAAAAAAAAAAAAAAAAACACGUUUCUUUCCGUGUACAUACAGGAGUGAUAAUCGAAAGUCAAAGUUUUGUUUGAUACCAAAUUUUUGGCAGCAAAGAGGAUUUAUUUUUGUUUCCUAUGACUCUGGUAAAUCAUUAUAGCUGAAAUGACUAAGCUAUAGACUGUAGAACAUAAAAUGAGUACAGCAUAGUUGUUAUUUUGUUGAAGAUGGCAAAAACUCCUAGAAGAGAAAAUAAUUCCGAGAAAGAGGAACAGUUUUAGCAGGUGGGCAUGUCAGGUUUACACCAUCAGCUGUCACUAUGUAGGUCUCUGGAUCGACUUUGAUAUCUGGAAGGGCAUCAUUGAGCUUCAUGUCAAGUUUCGUGAGCCUCCGGACGCCACUUACAGCUUUCACCCUCUUCUUCAGUCCAUACUGGUCUUUUACUCCAAUCUAGAGCUGCCUGAUUGCCCAGAACAAUAUAGGGGUUAACAUGCAUAUAACAAAAUGGAGUAGACGAAAGAUGGUGGUAAAAAUAUGUACCUUGCUAACAAAAGCAAUUGAGUUGUCACUUCCAGCCUUGCCAAAUGCUCCAAACAUUGGCCUCAUCAUGACCUGUAACAAGUUCUUGUUAAUGCAACAAACAGAACGAGUUCUAUCAUAGCGGAGAAACUUGAACAAAAUCCCUGCAUUAACAAGGCUUUGAAAUAUAUCAUGGAAGGGCACUCAAGGUUAAUUUGAAUUUUCACCGACUAAUACUCCUUCAGGCACAUAACAUGAAAAGUAAAUUACUUUAUGACGCCGUACCAGACAUAUAGAUCUGAAAAGCUAAGACAUACAUAUCAGUACAAAAGAUGGUGAUGAUAUAUUUUACCGGUUCAGGAGUUGGAAUGCUGGCAUUUGGAUCCCCCAUAUUAGACCAAGCAAUUGUGCCACCUUUGAUCACCAUUUCUGGUUUUGCCCCAAAGAAGGAAGGCUUCCAAACAACAAGGUCAGCAAAUUUCCCCACCUGCACCACAUUAAUAUCAUCACAUUACCAAUAUCACAAGAAUAGAAAUGCCGAAACCAAAACAUCAAAUUGAUCAAUGAGCUGAUAUCUUCAAACCACCGAGACAGAGAUGCACUGCUAGUGGCUCUUGCCAACUUCUGAUCAAAGGAAAUGCAAUUUGUUGCCAACCUUAGGUCAUGUUUCCUGUCUGGAAGUUGGUAGGUGAUAUCCCUCACAACUCGUUAAUUACAAUGUCUACUGUUUACAUUGUAAAGCCUCAAACUGAUUUUUCCAUAGAAGAUCCAAUGUAGUACAGAACUUCCACAAAAGUUACCUAUCAAACUUCCUCAUAAAUCCUAAACAUUGCCCUUAGAAUCCUGUACCUAUGGCAGUUAAAAUGAAAAAUUUCACACGAAGUGAAAUGUCAAAGGCUUGUGAUCCUGCAGACAAAAGCCAAUUACUGCAGAUAACAGAUUUCACCCUCUAAGAGCUUGAUGUUUUCCAUUGCCUUUAGAUUCUCUGUUAUAUCAUUCACUCAAAAGCUCAUUAAAAAGCUCAACAUUUUUACACUCAACUAUUCUACAGAACUAAUACAGUCACCAUACCUCAACUGAUCCAACAUGCUCAGAAAAUCCAUUUGCUACUGCAGGAUUUAUGGUGUAUUUGGCGAUGUAUCUUUUGAUCCGCAAAUUGUCAUUGUUUGAUUUGUUACCCUCAAGGGAUCCUCUUAAUAACUUCAUUUUGUGUGCAGUUUGCCAUGUCCUGCUAAUUACCUGCAAAAAAAGUUUGGCAUAAGACAAGUAUCAAAAUCCAAAAGAUGUCUAUGGCAAAAAAUAGCUAAGGAACUCACGAUGCAGUCUGAGAAAGCUAAGUCUCUGUAGUUAGUCCCAAGCCUAAAUUAAGCUCCUUAAACUGAAGCAAUUGCAUUUCCACUAAGAAAGAAAAGCUAAAAAGAUUUUUCAGCUUUAUACUUUUACUUUGUCUCAUGGUUUUUAUCUUAUCUUCAUAACCAAGUGAAGAUAACCAAGUGAGAGAGCAAGAAGACUGUAUAGGGAGAUGAUGCAUCAAUCUUGUAAAUUCCAGGCCGGAAUUCUGAAAACAUCCAUGAAAACAGGUUUUCACCAGAGUUCAGAGACAGACACACACUCACACAUAUAUGUAUACGUAUAUCAUUCAUUUUUUAUGACGUUACUAAACCCAGAUGGCAGUGCUGGUAGCACAACUUUACAUACGAACAUAUGAGACUAGAAGAAACUAUAACCUAAUUGCUGAAAUGAGGCACUAGAUUAUGAGCCCAAGUGUUUGUCUUGAGGUGGACGCUUUUACAUCAGUUCUAAUCAACAAAAGAGAACACAGAUCAUAUAAUGAGAAGGCAUUUAAUGAAUAGAACCGUUAAAAAUGUUCAGACUACAAUAGGGAGAAGCUGAGUGAGAACCUCAGCUAUACGACCCAUAGCUUGUGAAUCAGAUGAUAUAAUGCUAAUAGCCCCCAUAUCAUGCAAAAUAUCUUCCGCAGCUAUUGUUUCUGCACGAAUUCGUGAUUCAGCAAAAGCAACAUCCUCUGGAAUAUCCUUAUCAAGGUGAUGGCAAACCAUCUGUACAUAGAACCAUUUUUUAGAAAUCAAUUAUGUACUACAUCCUUUUCCUGUCAAAGAAUCACUCUUUUCAAAGUUUGUUUAUAUUAUUGUUAUUUUCCUUACCAGCAUAUCUAGGUGUUCAUCAACAGUAUUUGAUGUGUAAGGACGUGUUGAUUAGUUGAUGAAGGAAGAACAUUCUUGACACCACACACUUUGAUAAUAUCAGGCGCAUGUCCUCCACCAGCACCUUCACUGCACAAAAUUGAGACAUCCAUAGGUGAUUAUGCAAAAAUGCAUUAUUUCCUUAAUUAUUCUUAACUAAAGAGAGCCAAUGUGCCCCAAUCAAAAGCUUAUACCUGUGGUAAGUAUGAAUUGUUCUAUCUUUAAAAGCAGCAAUUGAGUGCUCCACAAAACCAGACUCAUUCAAUGUGUCAGUGUGGAUAUUCACCUGUCAAGUUGCAUAAAUAGUGAUUAGAAGUUCAAUAACUAGCCUAAAGAAGAGUCGGUUACCUGAAUGUCAUGUUGCUCGGCAACAGUCAAACAAUUGUCUAUUGCAGCAGGAGUAGUUCCCCAAUCCUCAUGAAGCUUUAAACCCAUUGCUCCAGCCUUGAUUAUUUCAUGUAGGCCAUCUGCCUUUGCACUAUUUCCCUAAAGUUUCAAGACCAAAUCACGAAAUGAAUGAGAUAAGCACGAACAUUCUCCUACUUGGAACAAGAUGACAUGCAUAAUCAAUGCGUCAUCUGAAGAGAACUGACAAAGAACACGCACUUUUCCUGUGAAACCAAAAUUAAGAGGUAAAUCAUCUGUUGAUUGCAACAUUAAUUUCAUAUGUGAUGCCGCUGGUGUACAAGUUGUUGCACGUGUCCCAUCUGCAGGUCCUGUUCCACCUCCUACCAAUGUUGUGAUACCUACAAGCAUGGUAGAGAGUUGUACCAAACACAUGUUAGAACCAUGCUCCUCCUCUCUAAGGACAAAAAUGUAUAGAUGAUCUAACUCUAUUGAGUUUUGCUUCUCUUAGGACUAGCUUUUAACAUUCAGAACAGCAAUUAUAACAACAGAGUAUACAUAAAGCCGUGGAUGCCAAUUGCCAAAGCAGUAUCUGCAUAUAAUCAAAAUCAAAUUAAAGCAGAUACAUAUUACAGAAGACGUCGAUGUCCAAUUUGAUACACUUCUACACUGAAUGGUAGGAUUGAAUAGAAGGUUUAAUGUAAUGCAUAAAACCUUUGUAUUUAUGGCAAAAAUCCUGAUCAUUGAACUUAGCUUUACUCAAUCUACAGUUGCUGCAAUUGUCAUGAUUUUAUUGUCAAAGUUAGAUAAACACAAUAAGUGCACAUGAUAACAAAGAUCCUGUAAACUUUAAUUAACAGUAGUGGUGGUAAAAGCAGUCAAGAACAUCCUUUCUACACCACCAAGAGAGACAAAGAAGAAAAUGAGAGUUUAAAGUUCUUCGAUCAUGUUAAAAGUAUUUAAUUCCAGUACCUUAUCAGUUGACCAAAAUAAAAAGAUUAGUUUAUCAUGGCUUGAAAUCAAGUGUAAAGUGCAUCACUACUACAAGUGAGCAGAUUUUUCUUUUUCUUUUUCUUUUUUUAUAAAAGGUAAAACAGAAUUGUGAACAUUUAUCUCUCUAACAAGAAAAGAAACUGAUUCUCAUGGAACUAGAGCAGAAAAGGCAACAAAAACAAAAUUUCAUCAAUAAUAGUCACAAUUUCUUAAGAGCAACAUAAACACAUUUUUGUUAAGCACAAGCAGCACAUCAUCAUGAAUAGAAACAAAGACUUCUCAUAACUAUGAUUUUCUAGGAUAUUCAAUAAGCACUAUGAAAGGUUUCCCAAGGAUGUUCUGAGAAUAUAGCUCCCAAAUUUCCAAAUGAUGAACACAUAUAUGGAAUCUGUAGUAAGCUACCUUGUAAUUGUCAUCAUUGAUCUUAUCUCGCACAUUUACAUUUUCAAAACUUGGAGAAAAUAAUCAGGCGGGGUAGAAAAUGUAUAUUCUCUUACUGACACUUUUUUUACGGCAUCCAGAAGAAUUAUUAGCAUACAGUACCCAUCUGGACAUUAAAACUUCAGUAAUCUACCAGGUGAAACAAGAGGUCUACAUCAACUUUAUCAGAGGUAUUAAUAUAACAGGCAUGAAAAAGCAAAAUAAAGUCAUAAAACUUUAAGCUGUUUGGCUCUCGUAUUCAUCAUCAUUUGUUUAAUACUGAAUUCAUCAAAGUGAAACAGUUGAAUUUGCUUAAAGUUGCGUAAAUCUCACCACUUGAUAUUGCCUCAAAAGCCAGCUGAGGGCAUAUAAAAUGCACAUGACAAUCUAUAGCUCCAGCUGUUACAAUAAAUCCUUCACCAGCAAUAACUUCAGUAUUAACCUGAUCCAACAAAGAAAAUGUUAAGUCUUCAAACUUAAAAAGGUAAUUACACCUUGAACAACACUGCAAAGAGAACAGCUUGAACUCACCCCAAUAAUCAUCUCUGGAUACACUCCAUGCAUGAUAUCUGGGUUGCCUGCUUUCCCUAGUGAUGCUAUGAAACCAUCUUUAAUUCCGAUGUCAGCCUUAAUAAUACCGGAGUAGUCAAUAAUUACUGCAUUUGUUAUGACAGUAUCCAAACAGUCAAUGGCUGCAUAACCACAAGCCUGUCCCAUUCCAUCUCGCAGAACUUUGCCACCACCAAAUACACACUCAUCACCAUAAACAGAAAAAUCUCUCUCUAUUUCUGCAAAUAAAUCAGUGUCACCAAGCCUAAUUUUAUCACCAAUUGUGGGCCCAUACAUGUUGGCAUAGGUCUCAUGUGAUAGUUCAUAAGAAAAAGGGGAUCCUUCUUCAAUGACACCUUCACUGCAAAACCAGUUCAAUUUUCAAAAUAAGCCAUCUUUACUACUUCUAACAAUCUCCACGGAUUGCAAUUACUCAAAUCAAGAAAUUCAGAGAAAAGGAAAUUUUAUCAGGCAUCCUAUUCAAGCAGCAUAACUCAGGCAAGCAAAAAACUUUGUCCAAAGCAGAGUGAUAUUUGAAAAGACAAAUGAAACUUGGGAAGCUGCCCAGACCUCGAAUUUGGUUCUUCAAGAUGCUUACAUGCUCUCUCUUGUAUGGCAUCCAUCAAUGGUGUCAUAUUGGCAUUAUGAACUGGACCAUCAGCAAUUCCAUUUCCUCCCCUAAUAACUUGUUUACCUUCUAUUCUGACAAGGGUAACAGUUUUUGUGUCUCCUGGCUAGCAAAAUAGAAAACUUUUUGUUAUAAACUUGCUAAAUUUGGACACAAGUUUCAAAAAUGACACAAAUUACAUGACAAUCAGCAUUACACACACGACAAACAUGAUGACAAUAACGAAUGCAUAAAGAUGAAUAAACUGAAGAAUAUACAAGUGGAAAGAAGUUCUCCACAAAUCAUUGGCACAAAUACAGUCAUUGAAGAUUGAAAACAAGAACUGCUCUCCAUCAUGUGCCUGAUGGAGAAAUGAAGCAAAUAACUCUUGCCUAGCAGCAUAGACAGGUCUCACUAUAUAUCAAGAAGCACUAAUUUGGAGUCAAUCAUAGAAAGUCAAUCUUAAGGUAGCUUUAAGAAAACUCUGGAGUUCCUUACACUCUGAAAAUAACACUUUUUAUGUAGACUAGAUAUCAGCCAUGGGGCUAACUCAUAUCAAAGAUUAACAUAUGUGCUUGUAGAGUCUCAUGCUGCAACUUCAAUGGAAAUAUCAGAAACAGUCAUUUCAAUUCUAACAGAAUCAAAACAUUUAACCUCAAAUCUAGUAGCUGUCCCUGCUGGUAUGUUCAACCGCAUUGCAUAGGCUUUCAUUCGGUCGAAAGCCAAAUAGGGGUUUGCCUCAAUAAAGUGAUAGUGGCUUCCAACCUGGAAAUUCAAGAACCACCAACUUUGUCAAUAUUUCUUCAUUAACUUCAAGUGUCAUUGCAACACUCUAGCAGCAUUUCUUGAUAUAGAAAGAAAAGCUUAAAGUAAUGAAGACAUGAUGUUGAAGGAUAGAUAUGGUCACAUCAUCCAUACAAUAGCUAGAAAUUCUCCAGAGAUUGGGUAUGUAUGUAUGUAUGUAUGUAUGUAUCUAUAUAUAUAUAUAUGCUUAAGCUAACACCUGAAUCGGCCUGUCUCCAGUGUUAGUGACUUGAAGCUUAACUGCUCUCCUCCCAGGGUUGAGUAUAAUGGAUCCACCUCCAAAGAUGAUCUCACCAGGGAUUUUACCAGCUUCUACAGGAGGAAACUUGUCCAAUGAAGGGACUGCAAAAUAGCACCUUUUAAAACAAUGACCCCCAGAGAAGAUAGUUCAUAAAAAAAUAUUUUCUAUCAAUAGUAAGAUGGAAAAUACAAGACUAAUAAAACUUGUGUUAAUAGCAUGCAAAGGACUUGUGUGAAAUUUAAGCAACAGAUAAAGCUGCCGACAUUAUACAAGUGCAACUCAUGGAGGAAUUCCAUGAUCAAAUCUCAGUUGCAGAUUUUUAACUUCAUGUAUCAUGAAAUAUAUCUUGAUAGUGUUCACUUCCAAAUUAAGCUGUUUUACAGCAGAGGGCUUUACCAACAAAGAUAUUAGAUAAAGACAUGAUUGAGUAUUCAAAUUUGUAACAUUCACAAGGAACUCCCCAUGAAUUCAUGGCAAUGUAAUCACCUGGAAGAAAGGAACCAUAUAAUGCAAGUUCCAGAUUUCCAUUUUCGGACACUAUGGAUCGUGAAUGGUGAUUAGUUUUGUUCCGUCAGGAAAGGUUCCCUCAACCUGUACUUGCAUUUACAAAGAGGUUAUGAUUCAGAAAAAAAAUUUUGCAGUCAUUGACCAGGAAAGGACAACCAUCAACAUCACUUCAGAAUCUACAAGAUCCACUUACCUGUACAGUGUUCAAGAGAUGAGGAACAGCUGGAAGAACUUGCCUCCUGCCAAAUUGAGCAGAAAAUAAAUAAUGCAACUAUUUGCUUCAUGAUUCUUGUCAAGAGUGGAAAACAUUGGUAUAAGUUUUCAGCAUUGAUGAUACAUAAUGUUCUACAUAAGCAAAAGCAUACAAAUGAAGCUGUUCCAUAUAUUCAGUCGAAUAUAGGCCUGUAGCCAGGAUGGAAAUGUGCAUAAUGUGAGUCAUAAAAAGAAGCUAUCUUUUUGUAUGACUCAUAAUUUGCACUUGUAAAUGAUCAUCCAAGCAAGCAACAGAACAAGGGAUAGGAAUUGUGUAGACAAAACAAACAAAGUGAUGAGUACCAGAUUUCCUGGCUACCUUCCUAAGAACUGUCUUCCAAGGUCCAUCAAUUCAGCCACACUCUUCUCACCAUCACGCACCAACUCGAGAAUCUAUUCAACCACAGCAAUGGGUAUAGAAUUAAAAAUAACUAAAUAAAACAACAAGAAUAGUCAUGACAGCACAAACUAUAAUUGGAGUGAUAACACAAGAAGCAGCUUUACAAAUCUCACAGCUCAAACAUUAGUGCGACCUCGCACAGAUAUAAUUUUUUUUUAAUGAAAACAAAAACAGGAAGCCUAAGGCUCUAGGCACUCCCAUGUUACCGUUAUAACAACAAAAUUAGCUCAUUGGUAAACAGGUAAGCUGAAUACAAAAAGUUAUUACAAAUAAUGUAUUUAUUACAGCGUUACAUUUAACAUUUCACAAUUACAUUUAACAUUUCACAAUUUAAAUAGUGCCUACAAUCGAUUCUGACAAAUAAGAAAUCCCAAAAAAAUGUAUUAAAACAGGGUCAAGAUUGGAGUGUCCUUAAAGUGGAAAGUCCAAAGCAAUUUGCUGAACACAUGACACGCAAAUGAAGAAUAAAUGGAAGAAGGGUUGGGUUGGGCUGGGGAGAAUGAAAUGGAAAUACCUGAGCAGCGAUGAGAGCAACGGCUUCGGUGUAAUUAAGCCUCUGGCCCCUAGCCAAACGCUUCUGGGCAAGCUGCCCUGCAUUGUGGAGCAUCAACUUGUCCAUUUCUCUGGGCACCAGCUUCAUCUUUUCCGUAGUCCCGCCCCGGCCUUGCUUUCAAAUUUAACAACAACUAAGACGACCCCACAAGGUUCAGGCUUUCUAUUUGUCUGACUGAAUCCUUAUCAGGAAAAAGAAAAAGAAUUUGGGCGGCGAGGCACAACUGCACAAGUCAACUGGCCUGGUUCUGCUUACUUGAUUCUCGGAUGAUUUUGUACAUGCGAUACAAGUCUACAAACAGCAACGAAGAAGCAAAGUGAUCGACAGUGGAUCAGUGCUGCCAAUGGGCACAAAUCACAAUGGCCUCGUACGGCGUCGUAUUUAACCACAGGGCUAUCCUCUCUGCUUCUCUUUCUGUCUGAUGCAUGGAUUCUUCCUUCAGUUCGCUUGGGUGGGUGGGUUGCGACUUGGGACAGGGAAUAUACACUUAAGCGAUUCUAUGGUGGCUCCCAGUGGAUCCAGUAGAUCACAGAAGUGGAAACCAGCAAAAGGGCAAAAGAAAAAGGUACGGGACAAAAAAGGAAGGCGUGAUAUUUAAUUGACGCCCGAAAUAUCACGCCUUCAGUUGCCCAGGCAUGGUGGUCAUUCCAAUUUCCAUGCUCGUUUACUCUUCCGCAGCUGAUUAUUAAUUUCUAACUAUUAAGUUUACCUUGUUGUAUUAAUUAGUCUUUCAUAUGUGCAGUUUUCUGCCUUUCACGAUGACUUACUCUUUUCAGGGGAGGGGGGUAAACAAAUAAAAAAGAGCAUGGGUUCAGAUUUGUUACGUACAUGCACAUUUUAGGUAGCAUUUCACCGCAUUCUUAAACAAGAAUUCAAUAAUUCAAAGAUGAUCGGAGGAGAUUUGAUGCAAAGCGGAUGAGGCGUCGCUUGCUGGUAGUCUUAUACCCCAUUAAACCGUGGAAGGUUGGUACCUUCUUCUUCUAAUCUAAACAAAUCAAUGCACUUGUUGGAGUUAAAAUAUGGUAAUUAUUUGUUAGUUUUAAAGUGGAUUAUGAUGGUUGCUAAAAGCAUGAAAGUGAGCAAAGGCCCGAACGAACUAAUUUGUUGAGGAUUGGACUUCUUCUUGAUCUAAAUUAGUUGAAGAAUGAGUCAGUCACAGCAGAAUACGUAGCAUACACUCACAAAAAUUUUCUUUUUUUUUUUCAAUUGCAGGAAUCCUUUGUCAUUAAAACCCUUUUCAACAUUACUUUUUCUGUCAAUAAUGUAGACAAUAACACAAUAAUUGAUGUAGACACUAAUACAAUAAGAGUAAAUCUUAUAUACACUGACAGUGCAUACACUGUCACCGCUGGAUCAAUGAUACUUGUGCAAAAAUUAAAUUUCAAAUUCAGAUUUUACAUAGUUGUCAUUCGUUCAAUACUAAUAGUGUAUGCACUGUCAAUAUAUGAAAAAAUAAUUCAUAUAGUAAAUAUAGACAAUAACACAUCAAAAAUAAUUUUUUUUUUUUAAAAAAAACACAACGAAUCUUUUGACACCUUAAAAGUGGUAUUUUACAUUUAAUCUCCACCAUUCAAUUUAAAAACACCUCAUCUCCACCUUUAACUAUAGCCUGCCGUCCACUGCAGAAGUCCCCGAUUCAUUUUGGGUACGGGCAAAAUGACCGUCGUCACAAACUUGAAUGAUUUAUGGCCUCAAAUUGGUCAACAGUGCAGAAGUUCAAAUUGGAAGGACAUGAGAACGUCGCUCCGAUACAAUUAAUGUGUAUGGUUCAUAUGAACAGUAGUCGAAUAAGGUGUAUAAAUUAUUUACAAAUUACAGUAAUGUGUUCAAAAACAUAUUAUUAUUUAUUGCAUCAAACACCCGAGCCAUUGGUUCUGUUCUAUGCUGACCGCCGUCCCAACAAAAGCGUAGUGCUAACCACUGGUUCUUGAUGACUUCGCCUUCCGACUUAGGAUGACGAAUACUAGAUUUUGAGCUGGUACCCUGCCAUGCAUAUUCAGAUGGAAGAUUGCCCUCGACGGCAACGGCUAUCAGCAUCAGGUUCGGCGCGGCCAAAAUGAAAUUGGCGUCGCAAAUAUGACUUCUUGGGUUCUCAGAUUCUAAGCGAUCGAUGUGCAUUACGCCAUGAAUUUCUAGCAGCCAACAGAGAUUCCUCAAUAAUUAAUUAGAAGAAUACCUAAAUAAAUGCUUAUCUGCAGAGUUUGUAGUCUAUGAUCCGUAACAUGCCAAAUUACCACAGGCUCUGAUCGAUCCCAUACUUGGAUCGCAUCCACUCAUACUAUAUAUAGUGCAUGGCUGCUGCGACAUUGAUGUCAGAUGAGAUUGUGGGCUAUGAUAGAUACCUUGUAAAAUGAAAAUUGUUCAAUUCUUGAACGCUACAUGAUUUGUUUGAGUUUCGUGCUCCAGAAAGGAUAAUAGUUCAAGAUAGAAACUUGCAACUUUUUUCUCUUCUUAGGCGGAGCCCAGAAACUUGCAAGUUGAUACGGGCUAUUACUAGCUACAAGUUGAAAGCAAUUAAUUUGCUGGUCAAUGCAGCUGGUUAGCCAUUCUUAAUUUGCCUCACUCUCAUAAUUUGCUGCUCUCAAUUUAAUAAUUGCAAUGCAUGUGAAGCUGGUUCUCGCUUCCCAGGUCUACUACUCAUUGGAAGUUCUGACCAUGCGAUGCGAAUCACAGACCAUGCAUAUGGAAAGAUAAUCAAGUUGUCGAUAAGGGAUGAGACUUUUACUGAGGAAUGGUACUGAUGUUGGAAGAAGCUUGUAGCAGAAUAACAAGAUUCGUUGAGACAGAACUUAGUCAAAUUUAAUUACUAAUAAGGAGAGCAGCUGAAGAAACAAUUAAAACUUAAACAAAGCAAGCCAUUCACUUGUGAUCUGAUUGCUAAAUCUAACUUUGUAAGAAAUUAAUUAUCUAAACUUAAAAGACAUUUAACUGUCUUGAUCCACCCAAGAGCCUGGGUUGCCAUUGCCAACACAUAGCAGCACUUUGCCAAAGCGUCUGGCAUUACAUAAUCGAAUUACUUAGCUAGUUACUGAUGUUUCCUGCAGUGGUCAAGUUUACACGUUUUAUGGAAUCAUAAAAAGAGGAAAAGGGCUCCUACCAAAAACAAGAAAGCGAAAAAAAAAAUUAAUAAUAAUGAUAAUAGGAGGAGGAAAAGGUCCAAAGGGGCGUUUGUGUUUGAUUUCUGAAAAGAUGUAAUCUACAGCUAAAUACACAAUUUGUCAACAAUACAACAAGUUUGUAUCAUUUCUUUCAUCGUUUUCACUUCGACCGCAGAAUUUCUUAAUGUUAUCUGCAAGCCUUUUUAUCGUACGCGUGAUAUUUUAUUAUUUGGAAGUUGGAUGGACAAAGAUGCUUGCAGGCCAAAUCCGGCAAAAUUCGAUCAGGAGCAGCCGUACUUUGUGUCCAUACUCCAUAGCAAGCAACCAGUCACCUUUAUUGUGCCAGCUAGCGGCCGAUUGCCGAGGGAAGUGCCGGUGUUGACAUAUGGUCUUAUAUCGUGAGUCUAUUAUGAUCCAUUCACAAAAGACGGAAGAAAAUAUAAGAAGUUAACUACUAGUAACCUUCUCCAAGAAACUAAUAUUCGUCACUUUAAAGUUUUAACCACUCCAUGUCAUAGCAAUCGUACUUUUUUACACUAUCGGUGAUUAAUUACAAAAUAUUCAUUUUGGAUUUUUUCUCAAAGAGAUUCAAUCCAUUCCUUUGUUCUUUGUAUAAGUUUCAAUAGUAUUGUACAAUGUGUUUUCUUAAAAGUUGCAGGUACAAAAUGCACUCUUUAAUUUGUCUAGACAUCUAUUCCUUUAAAAAAAAAAAUAUGCAUUAGGCGAAUGUGGUUUUUAUAAACUUUCACUAUUCGAGAACUUUUUCGAAAAACUAUCACCAUUUGAUCAUUUCUUCGUCACUAGUGAUGAAUUUAGAAACAAGAGAGUAUCCACCCACUCAGCUUAUUUCUAAUCUCUAAGGGUCUAUUAGUAGGCCAUGUUUUUAAUAGGAAUAAAUUUUCAAAAGUUUUCUCCAACUUUUACUACAGAAACUUGUAAAAACACCUUCUAAAUUUUAUAAAAAUGCACCCUAAAAUAUCCAAAAAAAAAUACACACCCAUUUUUCUGUUCUACCGCUACUUUCUUUCCUAACCAUUUCCACCUCCACCUACCUUCAUCCCCUUCUCACAUAGUCACCAUUGCUGUUAUCGCCACCUUCUUCCUUUCUUUCUACUUUCUCCCUCCCUCUACUUUUCCACUUCUCAUUCUUUUCUCUUCUUCAUCUAUCACCCCUUUUCGCCUCUCCCUUCACCCCCACCCUCCUUUCUAUCCCCCAUUUAAUCACAUGACCAGAGAGGAAGAGGGAGAGGAGGAAAGGAAUGGGUGAAGGAAGAAGGGAGGGAGGGAGUGGCGAGAGAAGAAAAAGGUUAAAGCAAGAGAAAGGGAAAGCGAGAAAAAGGGAGAGAGAAGAGAGCUAGGAACGACGGUCGUGAAGUUUUCGAUCGACGGUGUUUGAAGUAGUAAUAGUGAUAAAAAGGAAGAAGAAGAGAGGAAAUAAGAAUAAAAAAUUUCAAUUUAUUUACAAAAGUUUUUCUACAAAUUCUAUAGUAAAUUUUAAUAAAUUUUGUAAAAACAUCUAAAAAAUGUGCUAUCCAAACAGAUCAUAGAUAAGAAGCAAUAAUGUGCAAAGAAGGUGUACUUACUACUUGCUCGUUUGCUAAUUAGACAAAACGAAAAAUACAAUUCUAAUUAACUUUUCCUUGUAUUCGAAGUUAGAAAACUAAUUUUCCAAUCUAAGCUCUCCAAUUUUUCUUUCUCUUUCUUUUCUUUGUUAUUCAAACUCAACUUUACUAAGUUGCUUUGACUAGAAGGAGAAUUGGGCUUGUAUGCUCAAGCUCGCACAACAUUGUGGGUAUCAAUUGCAUUUAUUAUAUAUAUUCAUGGAUCAUAAAAGCCUCUUUGUAUUCUUCAUUCGAUUGAUUUAAAUAUAUAUUCAAAAAAGUUGCAGCUACAAUCACAGCUAACAAAUUCCAUCCUGAACUUUUCCAUGCAAUGCUAACCGUAUUUUUCAACUGGCUGUGCUAAAUUAUUUAAUAGGCUUUUUCAUCAAGAAUAAAAAGACACUCAAUAUUUUGCUGUAUAUAGUCGUUCUGUCAUGGUCACGUGACAAUUAAACCAUGACAUGAAUGAAUAGGACUGCGAUGUGAAAAGUAUAUCGAAAUUAAUUUACUUCCAACAAUAUCAAAAUGUUUGUGAGAUUUAUGCCGGAAAUUUAUUCUCAGGAGUGCCUAAAAGUCUAUAUGCGUUUUUAACGGAAAGCUCUAAAGAAUACCAAUCCAUUUCCUCCCUUUCUUUCCAGAUUUAAGACAUGGUUACUCUUGACACCACAUACUACAUUAUUAAUAAGGUUUGUCCAAAAAAAUUGAGGAAAAAUCAUAGGUAUAUUACUCUACUAUAUACUCCUUGAUUUUCUUAAGACGUGGGAAAAAAAUCCAAAAGGGGACAAAAGAAGAAGAAAAAGAAAAGAAUUGUACUAGUAUAAAUUAGUAAUUCCCGAAGUGGUCCCACAACAUUGACAUCUUCUUUUUAACCUUGGGACAAAAUGGAGGACUUGGUCAAAAACCCAUAGUUUUAACCACAGUUAAACUUGCUCCAGGCAAUAAAUAAAAAGCCUUCACAUCACAAUGUCACAUCCCCUCAUUUCUCCCCUGCAACGACCAAUUUCCCCUCACGCUUCACUGACUCCUCACUUAAUUAGCACAUCUUCCAAACUUCAAUGCCGCCACAAUAUUAGCACCUUUUUGGUUUCUUGGGUAAAUUUACUUUCCCACCAUCCAGAGAGAUCGUGGAGAUGACGGUGUUCACCUCCACUAACGCAGCCGGCGGAUACAUGGCGGGAAAGCAAGUGUUUCCGGUGGAGUACGAAGCAGAGCCGCUCUCUCAGCGACUGGUCGACGCGGCUCACGCCAACGACUUGAAGUCGGCUUCGGAGUUAAUAUCUAACCCCUUCGUUGACGUUAAUCACAUGGGAACAGUUUUGUGUGAAGGCUAGAAAAACCGAGGUGUGUGUUGCAUGACGAGGAUGCCUGCGAAUCAGCGUCGAGUUCGAGGAGUUUAAGACUGAGGUCACGGCGUUGUUCCUAGCAGCUCAUAACGGAAAUGUCGCACUCGUCCGAAAAUUACUGGUUAGUCAACGUCUUUACUGUUUAGGUAGAGCUAUUUAUUUUAUCUUUUUUUUUUUUUGGUUUUUGUUUUGGCGUGAUCUCGUAGAAUAUAUGACUUGUCUAAGAGUUUUGUUAGCCUUGGUUUUUUUUUUUUUUUUUUUGGGGUUUCCUUCUAUUUCUCUUCCAUUAUCAUUUUAUUGUGAAAGUGAGGAUUUUGUUGAUGCCUAUGGAGUUUUGGAGUUCUGAAGGAAUAGCAUUUUUCUUCACUUUUGGGAGUUUUUGGUUUUGCGAUUGGGGAGUUUUGGGAAGUAGGGGUUCGCCGGUGUAUUUUUUGAGGAGUCAACGUGGAUUCUAAUCACUUAUGACCUGUUUGUAUUGGUUUCCCUGAAUUCUUCAACUUGUGGAUUUUCUACGAGUUUUGUUAAUAUUUGGUACUUUUGAGUGUUUAAAGAAUUUUUGAACUAAAUAUUUGCUUCUUACAUCAUCCGGUUUGCUUUUUAGAUAAUUUGAAUUUGAAAUCCGGGGCUCAAUUAGUGUAACGGGUGGACAGUCUUAACGCUUGAUUUGGAAUGAAAAGAGAAUUUAUGUAAAUGAAUUAAUUUAGUCAACCUGGUCGUUUGUCUUGGAGCUGCUGGGUGAAAUGAUGAAGGAUACAACGUUUUUUUUUUUUUUCCUUUUUCAGAAUUUCUUUAGCUCUUAUUCUCCUCCUUCAACGUGGAAUUUGCAUCAUAAGAUGGUAUAACUCUCUCCAUUUACUUUCUUUUACUAAUUGAAUUAAAUUAAAGUGAUUUUCCAUUAGGAAGUGGAUAUGACGAUGCAUUUUGAGUUAUAAUGGUUCCAUCCAAUUAAGUGAUUCUAGUCGUCUAGCUUUACUUCUUCUUUUUUUUUUUUUCUCCAAUAAUCAGGUCUAUCUUUACUACUGAAUCAUUUUUGUGCUCAGCGAGUCUUGUCUGCCUGCUAUAAUUUGCAAACUAGGAAUUCUGAGCAAAUAAAUAGGCCCAGAGAAUUAACAGUCAUGGAUCCUUUAAUUUAGGCCUUUUAAGUAGUUUUUUGUCUUUGUAUUACUUGAGACAUCUGAGUGAAGGUGCCAGAUUCCAUAAACAAGGGGCAGCAUGACACGCUGGUCUGUGAAUGAAUGAGUUAUUAAUGUUGCCAUGUUAACCCAUUGCUUAAAUAGUGCCUAACACACAUUGUUGUUUUCUGUGGACAGAGUGCUGGAGCUGACGUGAAUCAAAAAAUGUUUCGAGGCUAUUCCACAACAGCAGCUGCAAGAGAGGGCCAUAUUGAGAUUUUGAAGAUGUUAAUUAGUGGGGAGCAGCUCAAUCUGCAUGCGAAGAGGCUCUGUUGGAGGCAUGCUACCUGGGGCGGGCCAGAACAGCUGAAGCUUCUCAUGGCCUCUGAUAUGGUCCGCCCACAUGUUGCUGUACACGCCCUUGUCACUGCAUCUUUUGAGGGUUUAAAGACUUUUGUGGACACACUUCUCAAGGUACUUGAUGGUAGCAGCCAACCUUUCUUAGUCAUCUGGGGACAUCUAUUUGAUUGCUUUUUGAUGAUAAGCUGACAGAUCACUGAAGUUAGUGAUUGAUUAUGGUUACAGUUAGUUUCAUAUAGCUAGUAUCUCAUUCGUGAUCAUUUGCUAUUAUACUUUGACGAUAUCCAGGCGUGAUGAAUUUGCUUAGUUCAUGUUGCACCGUCCUUGGAAAUUAGGACGAUAAUGUUGGAACUGGUAGAAUUUGAAACCACUUGUUCUUCCCUCUUUCACACUCUCAAAUAACCUUUUGAAUGAUGACAGUGUGGUGUGGACUGUAAUGCCACAGCCAGGGUGCUGCUUCAAUCUUCCAUCACUUCACUGCCAAUUUUGACUGUAAACUCUCUGGCUGCUGCCAUUCUUGUAGGCAAAUUUCUGUUGUUCGGCUGCUGUUACAGGUAAUGAUGUUGCUGCAGUGUCAUAAAGAUACCAUAGUAGGGCUUGUAUGUCUUAUCAAUUGGGUCUUCAACUUCAAGGGUGAACGGUUAUGCUUGCCUGAUGCAUGCAACCCAUAUUAGGGCUUUUUUUAUGGAUCGGCACGUUUUAGGUGCUCACAAGACCUGUUAUUUCACAGCCACAGUGUGGUUAUGUUCUCAAGUGCAGACUCUAUGUUGUAGGUUGGUGCCAGAACAGAUAUCAUGGUCAGGGGAGCUUGGUCAUGGGACGCUGCCACUGGAGAACAGUUCCGAGUAGGUGGCUGGUCUGGCUGAGCCUUACCAUGUAACGUGGUGUGCGGUGAAGUUUUUUGAAUCCAGCGGUGCCAUACUGAGGAUGCUCCUCCAGCACCUUUCUCCCUAAUAUUCCCCACUUAGGAGGACAAUCAUCCACCACGCGAUUCUCUGUGGAAAUGCCAGACCAGUGUUAGGUGGCUUUUAACCUGUGGUGCUGAUGCAGAAUUCCCUGUCAAAACUAAACAAACAGCGCACCGUCCCAUACAUAUGGCAUCAGAACAUGGGUUGGCUGGAGCUCUUCACCACCUUAUUAAUGCCGGCUGUGAUCUGAACUCUCUCACAGAAUCUGGCGAGACUGCACUGAUGAUUAGUGCCAGAUGUAAGCAAGAGGAGUGCCUAAAAACUUCUUACUGCAGCUGUGCAGACUUUGGUUUGUCCAACAUCGCUGGCAGUGUGCAAGUCAAUUGCUGGAUCAGUACGGUGGCAUAUGGCUUCGAGCGAGCAGUUUUAGAUGUUAUUCGAGAUGGGAAGAAUGCUCGAUCUAGCAAUGCUGCAAUUUUUUCUUCCUUAAUAUUUGUUACCCAGCAAAUGAUAUCGAGGCCUUGAAGAAACUUCUCAAGCAACCGGAGAUAAAUCUCGACAACAACAAGAAAAUGGAUUCUCAGCAGUCAUGGUUGUGGCGGCGGGUGGUAAUGUGGAGGCCUUUAGGUUGCUUGUUCAUGCUGGAGCUGAUGUAAAUUUGGCUAACAACUAUGGCGAAACCGCUAUUACUUUGGCUGAAAAACACCAGAACAGUGAUGCAUUUGAAAAAGUAAUGCUGAACUGCAUGCGUGCCAAGGGAGACAACAGCUACGGUGGAUCUUCAACUCUACACCGUGCGGCACAUAAUGGCGACCUCAAUCUGGUGCAAGCUUUGAUAAACGAAGGAUAUGACAUCAAUCUUUCUGAUUGCGAUGGAUACACCCCACUGAUGUUACCUAGGGCCGGAAACAAGAGCACGUGCGAGCUUUUGAUAUCUCGUGGUGGUAGAUGUGAUAUUAAGAAUGCAAAGCUUGAGACUGCACUCUCACUUGCCAGAGAAAACGGUGGUGGAAAAGAUGCUGAAGCUGUGAUACUGGAUGAACUAGCUCGAACGCCUGGUAGUAGGAGGAGCUCGAGUAAAGCAAAAAGCAAAGGAAGUCCCCAUGGCAAGGUACUAAAGAUGGUUGGAGCUACUGGUGACUGAGGUGGGGAAAAUCUAGGAAGAGAAAUGAUAUGCGCGGCGGUGCGAGCGCAACUUCGGUCGGUGGAACAGACGAAAGAAGCUCGAUGCCGAUGAGCCGGGAGUUUUCCGGGUAAAAACCACAAAGAACAAGGAAGUGCAUUUUGUGUGCGAGGGUGGACUUGAAAUGGCAGAGUUGUGGGUAAGGGAAUUAGGCUUGUGACAAGGGAAGCUAUUUUUGGCAAAUAAAAAACCUCUGGUGAUUCAUAGCUGGGCCUGCACCCGUUCCAAUUUUGGUUCAUGUACAUAGUAACUACCAUAACAGGAGAGAUGUUGCAUAAAAUCAUCGGGUAGUAGUAGUACCUAGUACCAAUGUUUUGCAAACCGGACCGGAUCGGCCGGUUCGACCGAUUGAACUGCGAACGGCCAUGGCAUCGGUCUGAUUCAAUACCAUAGUUGACUUUGUCAGAAAAUUGGUCAAGAAUCGGUCGAACCGUAAAAAUCGCGAUUGAACCGUUAUUGAACCGAUUUUCAACCUUCCUUUUUUUUUCUCCAAAGUGCAGCUUUUUUUAUUUUUUCUCCAAAAUGCGGCUAUCAAGAUUCGAAUUUAAGACCUUUGUAAUAGAAGAUCAAUGUAUUAAUCGUUGCACCAUCACAUCUUAUUAGUUUUUUUUGAUAAUUUAUUUAUAUAAAGCAAACACUUAUAUUUCUUUUUUCCAUUUUUCUUACAAAAUCUCAUCUUCUCAUGGUUCUUUCUUUUUAAUUUUCAACUCUCUCUCUCUCUCUAUCCUCUUUUUUUUUGUCACUCCCUUUUUAAUCAAACCUCAUUAUUUUUAAUUUAUUGAUGUUUUCUUCCAUUUUUUAAUUUGGUUUUUGUCCAUUAAAUUGAAAAAAAUUAAAAAAGAAUUAUUUUUUUAACCCAAAUUAUUUAAUGCUACAACCACUCACUUUUAUCUCAUUUUUUGUUUCUUAUCAAGUUUACAUUUCUAUUUUCGAUUUUCUUGAUUUCUUUCGAACUCCAAACUUUCAUUUUUAAAUUGCAAUCUCUAAAACAUAAUUAAAAUUUAAGUUCACAAUAUCUAAAUUCUCAAUGACGUGAAUUUUGUAUAAUUUUAAAAUAUUGUGAUAUUUUGGAUUGGAUUUAGACAUAAUUGAAAUCGAGAUGAAAUUUAUUUGUUUUAACUUAUAAUUUAAAAAAUUUAUUUUUAAAAAUCCAAGUUAUUAAAAAAUAGUAAACCUUUCAUCAUAUAAAGUAUUAAAUUAAUCCAUUACAUGUCUUAUUUUGUACAUAUAUAUAUUUAUAUAAAUAAUUUUUUAAAAAUUCAUUGAACCGAUGUUGAAUCGGUCCGACCGAUUGAAUCUCAAUCCUUUCACUUCACCGGUUCAAUUAACGGUCCGAUUUUUAAAACAUUGCCUAGUACGCUGUGCCUGUGCUGUCCAGCUAAUUAAUCCUGCGAAUAGAAAUACGACGUUGAUUUGUUUUUCCUCCUACUUCCUCCCUUUCUUUUCAAUUACUGUAUUAAUUAUUGAAAUUUCCCACUUUCUCCAUCCUGUCCUACUCCUUCCCAUCACAUUUCCGGUCAGAGAAUGCAAGGUGGGUUAUAAUUCCCAUUAUAUUAUUAUGUCAGCUAAUUUCACCUCAAGCGAUAAGGAGAUUUUUUAGACCUUUGCAAUAAUGUUACUGAUAGGUUUAACUCCACUAUUCCGUUUCCCCUGAAAAAAAAAAGGGGGGGGGGGACACAAACUAAAGACGUGACUCUUUAAGUCAUUGAAUGGACCUGAAAUUUCUAUUUUAGUUACUUGCAGAUUGUAAUUUAAGAGAAACUGUAGGAGUAAUUUAUUUGUUUUCUACGUAUAUAUAUUUAUAUUAUUGAAAGGAAAGAGUCCUUUUCGUUUGCACAAAUGAACUUCUACAUGGAAUGGGAAUGUGAUGACACAUUUUGUCCGUCACUUGGUUUAUCGUAAAUCAUUUACGUAAUAAAAAUUUUGUCUCAUCAUGGAUUAUGAAUUCUCAGUGGAUUUUUUUUUUUUUUUUUUGUCGAUACGAUAGACUAUUCUACACUAGGAGUAAAGGAGAAUCUGAAAAAGUCCAAAAGUAAUUCGAAAGAGACUGAACCACCGUUGAACCAAACGAGUGCACUAUGCAUGCGUCUGUUUUUUUUUUCUUUUUUAAACAGAGUCACAUAAUGUAACAAUUGGUGGAGUCAAACUUUAAUGCUUUAAUGCUUUCUCGGUGGAUCCUUCUGCAAUCAAGGUACCCUUCUUUUAUAUAUACUAGCAUGGUUCUGGCCGCGCUAUGCAGCGGCCUACCCACUGGUAUGAACAGCUUAAUCCGUAACAAUGAGGAUAAUUUCCUAAAAUAUCAUCAUGUAUAUAUAAGCUCAAGAGGUAAAUACUAUGCAAAUCACAAUAAUACAUUACAUAAACUCAAUCAUUCAUGUCUUAGUAGAAUAGAUACUUGGAUGCCAGCCACAGUUACAUAUUAGGAGGCUUAAAUAAGCUUUAUUGCCCAAUGAAGUACAGCAUUGAUGGUUAAACAAUUACUAAGUAUAUUACGAUCCUUUACUUUUUAAGUCAAAAGAAUAAUGGAUCAUAAUAUAAUUCAAAAGAUAUUGUCUAAGCAAUGGAGGAAAGGCAAUGAACAAAAGAUUUAACAAAAGUACAGAAAUAGGCCAUAUUAGUCUUCCUUUGCUUUAGCUUUCUUGGUUGGACUGUCUUUGAUAUUUGCAGGUGGACCAUACAGUUUUGCAGGUUCUUUGGCAAACUCUUCAGGAGCCUUUGUUGGAUGUUUAGCAUGUGUGUCUGCUGGUAAAUCUUCUGGAAACUCAAGGCUUCAUUUUGCUCCACUGGUUGCAGAUGUCUGGCUGUCUUUGUAAGAACUGGCUCCAGCAAUUUCUUCAAGUACCAACUUUGUGCUUGGUGUGAACAAUUGAAGCUUAUUUAAGUCAGCAUAUUUAAGUUUGUCUUUUUGUUUCUUUCCAACAUUCUUAGAUCAGGGGAAUCAUCAAACAUUUCAUCUAUCAAUCUAAAACCUGUACUAAAUUUUCUUUUUUUUUUUCAUUUUGAAACACAAAAAAUCAAAAUCUAAUUUUACUAUAAACAAAGCAAAAUGCUAAUCCAAAGGCACACAAAAUGACAGAAUCAAAGCAUCCUAGAAUAGUAAAACUAAGUAAUAUAUAUAAAAUGACAACCUUAAUAAGCCAAAGGACAAUGAUACUAAAUGAUGUAAUUAUUGAAUAGAUAAGCAGCUAACAGCAUCAUGCAACAUUUGAAAUAAAAAACAGAGGGAAAAGUAAACUAUCAUAGCAUAACAUCAAACACAUCGCAUUCUUAAUUAAGAGAAAGCAAUAAACAGAGGCAACAACAGUGAAAAAAAAACUUGCAGUUCAAAAUAGAAGGUGAUAAAAUAGAAACAUACCUAUAUUUUCUUUGCUCGCCUGAAUGUUGGCAAAAGUCCAGCAGCAUUUGAAAAUAAUAUAAAAACAGAGAAAAAAAGUAAACGUAAGCUAAUCGAAAAAAUAGCAUCAUAAUUAUUCUUUUAUUUAUAAUAUCAAACACAUGGCAGUCUUUAAUUAACGGAAGGUAAGAACAUGGCAAUAAAUAUAAAUAAUAAAUAAACAGAAGGUAAGAACAUUCAUCAAACUAAAAAAUUGCAACUUAAUAUGCUGACUGAAAAAUUGACAGAAACUAAAAUUAGUUGCUCAAACUAAAAUUUGCAGCUCAGUCAUCAAACUAAAACUAAAAAAUUGCAGCUCGAAAUAGAAGGAAAGAGAAUAGGAAUUACCUAGAUUUUCUUCGCUCGUCUGCUGAAUACCGGCAAAACUGGGAAACAGAGGUAUAUAUAGAGUUGGAAAUAGUAAGUUCUGAAAGCUAUAGCAUAGAUGAUAAGGCGGUAGAACAGCCAUCCCUAAAAUGAGCUGAUUUUGGGGAAAAAGAGAUUUGAGUGAGCUGUUUUUUAGGGAAAAAGAAGAAUUCACGCGAAUGUGGAUGAUUUUUUGAGAGGUAAUCAAAGGAAGUACAAUUAGUUGGUGGAAGUACAAUUAGUUGCUCGAGGAAUUGACAGAAAAUUGAAGAUUUUGCAGGCUUCUAGAUUUUGGGGGAAAAAAUUUUACUGACCUAAUUUUUGGGGUAGGACAAAAAUUCACGUGCGUGUGGAGGAUUUUGUGGGUUGCAAUCAAAAGGAAGGACAAUUGGUUGUUGAAGGAAUUGGUAGAAAACUAAAAAUUUUGCAGGUUGAUUCGACGGGAAGAAAGCGGCUAUUUGAGAGAAAGAAAGAGGCUACUCGGCGGGAAAAAAGGGAAAGGGAAAAGGGGGAAGGAAAUUCUGGUAAAUGAAGAAGAAGGAAGCUCGAUGACUAAUAAGACCAUUAAGCUACUGUUGACUAACUUACAUCAUGAGUCAUCAGUCAUACUAAUCAUGCUAACAGGCAGGAACAUUACUUCUAACGGGUAUGACUGCAUUAAUUUGUAUAAUUAUAUAAUUAAUAAUAUAAUGUAAUUCAAAACACCCAUGUGAUAAAAAAAUUCACAAAUAGUCUACAAUUAUUGCAUUUGACCAGAAAAUUAUCAAAGAGAUAUUUUCAAAUAUACAAAAAUAACACUAAAUAGUUAGCAACUAUUUAAUGAGUUAGUUUUCAUAAAAAGAUUCAAUUGACCUUUCAAACCAAUUAAAAACCAAUCAAAAUGAACAAAUAAAAAUAAUUAUAUAAUGUAAUUCAAAACAACCCAUGUGAUAAAAAAACCCACAAAUAGUCUACAAUUAUUUGCAUUUGACCAGAAAAUUAUAAAAGAGAUAUUUUCAAUAUACAAAAAUAACACUAAAUAGUUAGCAACUAUUUAAUGAGCUAGUUUUGAUAAAAAGAUUUAAUUGACCUUUCAAAUCAAUUAAAAACCAAUCAGAAGGAACAAAUGAAAAUAAUUAUAUAAUGUAUUAUAUAAUGUAAUUCAAAACAACCCAUGUGAUAAAAAGGUCCACAAAUAGUCUACAAUUAUUUGCAUCUGACCAGAAAAUUAUAAAAGAUAUAUUUUCAAAUAUACAAAAAUAACCCUAAAUAGUUAGCAACUAUUUAAUGAGGUAGUUUUCAUAAAAGGAUUCAAUUGACCUUUCAAACCAAUUAAAAACAAAACAAAAGGAACAAAUAAAAAUAAUUAAACCAUUGUUACCAAUUAGCCCCUAAAUAGUAAGGAACUAUUAAGACCUUUAAUUUCAAGACCAAGGCUCAAAUAGGCCAUUUCUCACUCUUUAAAUUCCAAAAAUCAGAAAACAAACUCCUUCCUAACUCCUUCCUCUAACAAUAUAUUGACACUUGGCAUUCAAGGGAGAACUUGAGUUGUUCUCUUAUCUAGUAGGUAGAUAUAUAAUUUUUUUUAAAAAAAAAGAAAAGAAAAAUUGGAGCAAGCCUGAAUCCUCCUGACGCCAGUCGGUUUGGGUCGUCGGAGCAACCAACCAAACAUUAGUGCUAUACCUACGCUCAAUUGGGUUUCCUGCACUUUGUAUGGGCCUCAAAAUAAUCCAAUUUUUACAUGGGUGCCCACUUCACCUAUUCAACUAAAACCCCCAUAAGAAAUGCCCGAUCUAAUUAGUCUCCACGUACCCGAUCCGAUCGUCACAAGGCCUGCACUUAAUCUCCACCGUCAGAUUUUACCAGAGGCACAUCCUAACCGUCACGAGCUCUCCACAUCAGUUUUCUUCGCAUUCAACUCUCGACGGAUUUUCACUCAUCAAAUCACCGGUACCUCAAUUUAGAGCACCAAAGCCAGCUCAGAAUCAUCCUUCAUAGUGCAGCUCCGAAGCUCUUAUGGUACGCAUCUCCAUAUCGCCAUUGCUCAAAUGCUUUCGUUUGAACUGAUUCUCUGUUUCUUUUCAAAUGUUGAAUUUGUUGGUAGAUCCAUGAGAAAGGAAAUCUUAGUUUUUUUUUUCUCCUUUGGGUUACUUUGUAAGGAUAAGGAGUUUUAGGGUGUUAAUUUUGAGGAGGACUUACUUAUAUACAGUUGAAAAUUCGAGACUGGGUUUUGUGAUUAGAAUGUCGAAUUUAUCUGUUAAGAUACUGAUAAGCCCUAGGGAUCAAUUUAACAUUUCCGGUUAUUCUAUUAACUUUUGGGUGGAUUUUUUUAAAUUUAAUCGACUUUGGGUACCCCUUUUGGCGAAAUUAGAAAAAGAUUUUUUUUUUCUGUUGAACAAAGGGACAAACUGACCAUCGAGUUCUCAUGGUUUUUGCUUAUUUAUUUUUCUUUUUUCUCUUUAGGAGUUAAUAGCUGUACCUGCUUAGUGGUAUUUUUAGGUAUUCAAGCUUUGCAUCUUAAGUUCUCUCUUUCUCUCUUUUUUUUUUUGGUUUAAGAAUUUGUUCACGGGUAAAAAAGGUUGGACUUUUGGGUGGAGCGGAAUGCAUGUAAGUGGUUCAUCAAUUGAUGAUCGAUUUUCUUCAGUCGAGGACUGUAAUUGAGUAGACUACCAUUUUGUUCAGUGGGCAUAUUCUUCCUCCCAUUUUGCUUUAGUGUAACCUCAGCAUGUGUGGACAUAGAUUUAAUAAAGACCAACAAAUAAUGCAAUGUCAAGUGGAGAAAGGGAAAGAGAGAAGGAAAAAAAGACCAAAGGCCUGCUGUCAUACAUGGUCAGAAUGAUUGAUAAUAAGAGAAAGAUGUGGAUGUCAGGCAAAUUUUUAACCUGGAUUUUGCUUGUAACUUCUUGCGUAGGCACCCAUAAAGGGCAUCCUUUCUUCACAAAGGAUAUCUUUGGUCAAGCAGUCUGAGCAUUGGGUCCUGGGCAGUAGAUUAUUCAGCACUCAGGCUGCAUCAACUGCUAGCACCCCACAGCCUCCCCCUCCUCCCCCACCUCCUGAGAAAACCCACUUUGGUGGCCUCAAAGAUGAGGAUCGCAUUUUUACAAAUGUAUAUGGUUUGCAUGACCCUUUUCUCAAGGGUGCUAUGAAACGAGGAGACUGGCAUAGAACAAAAGACCUGGUACUCAAGGGUGCUGAUUGGAUUGUCAAUGAAAUGAAGAAAUCUGGUCUUCGUGCGGGUGGUGGUGCUGGGUUUCCCUCUGGUCUUAAAUGGUCCUUCAUGCCAAAGGUGUCUGAUGGUCGUCCCUCCUAUCUUGUUGUCAAUGCUGAUGAGAGUGAACCUGGAACCUGUAAAGAUAGGGAGAUAAUGCGCCAUGAUCCACACAAACUAUUAGAAGGUUGUUUAAUUGCUGGAGUGGGUAUGAGAGCUACUGCUGCCUAUAUUUACAUCAGGGGUGAGUAUGUCAAUGAGCGGAAAAAUCUGGAGAAAGCCAGAAGAGAAGCUUAUGAAGCUGGCUUAUUAGGAAAAAAUGCAUGUGGGUCUGGUUAUGACUUCGAUGUACAUAUCCACUUCGGAGCGGGUGCUUAUAUUUGUGGUGAGGAGACAGCUCUUCUAGAGAGCCUCGAGGGCAAACAAGGAAAACCCAGAUUGAAGCCUCCUUUUCCUGCUAAUGCAGGGCUGUAUGGGUGUCCCAGUACCGUCACAAAUGUGGAAACAGUAGCUGUUUCACCUACCAUUUUGAGGCGGGGGCCCCGAGUGGUUCGCUAGUUUUGGUAGGAAAAACAAUUCUGGAACAAAACUUUUUUGCAUCUCAGGGCAUGUGAACAAGCCUUGCACAGUCGAGGAGGAGAUGAGUAUACCAUUAAAGGAGCUUAUAGAGAGGCACUGUGGUGGUGUUCGCGGUGGAUGGGACAAUUUACUUGCUAUUAUCCCAGGAGGUUCAUCUGUCCCAUUGAUACCCAAGCAUAUAUGUGAGGAUGUGCUAAUGGACUUUGAUGCACUUAAAGCUGUACAGUCAGGGUUGGGGACUGCUGCCGUGAUUGUGAUGGAUAAGUCAACGGAUGUUGUGGACGCAAUUGCAAGGCUCUCUUACUUCUACAAGCAUGAGAGUUGUGGCCAGUGCACGCCAUGCAGGGAAGGUACAGGGUGGCUUUGGAUGAUCAUGGAAAGAUUGAAGGUGGGGAAUGCAAAACUGGAAGAGGUUGACAUGCUUCAAGAGGUGACGAAACAGAUUGAAGGGCACACGAUUUGUGCAUUGGGUGAUGCCGCUGCUUGGCCAGUCCAGGGUCUGAUCAGGCACUUCAGACCGGAGCUCGAGAGGAGGAUCAGAGAACGGGCAGAGAGGGAGCUACAACAGGCUGCUGCUGCUUGAUACUUCUGUGCAGGUUGGUUCUGAUUUUCUUUUCCUUCCUUUUCUCUUUUCAGGUUUUUGGGAGGUAUUGGGAUUGAUUACAUUAGUAAGUUUAACUUUUUUUCCUUGUUGAUGUCAUAUUCGGAAGUGAUGCACAAUUGGUUGAGGAUCUCAUUUCUGGUUUUAGGCAACCUUACCAUCAUGUGGGUUCUUUUUGGUUUGGUUUCUUUUGUCUGUUAGGAUCAGUAUAGUAUUAACUAGUUAGAAGACUUGGGGAUUAAUGUGGAGUACUGGUUUAUUCUAGAGUAAGCACAGGUACUCCAGAAAACAAACUAAAGAUCUAAUCUGAUUUUGAGUAGCACCAAGGCAUUGCAUUUUGGUGCACUGCUUCCUCUUGCCUGUUUUUCUAAUUUGACUGGGCUGUCUCUACCUCUUUAUGUUCUUUUUGCUCUGCGUUUAGCUUGCUUUUCUUUUGUACGAGGAAUUGACAGUUUAGUGCAUUCAAUUUCUCUCCGCCUUUUGCGUACAGCUUUUGAUGUGGAAGUCAUUCUUGGUUUUUUAUGUGCAGGUGAGGACUUAUCCUGCUAGGGGCUAUGUAAUAAACAAUUUGAGACUUUUGAAGAAUACAUGGACAUGCAAGCCAGUCUGCUGUCUGUCCAGCAGAGCAGCAAGUCUAAUUUUUAUGCUUGUAUCAGACUGAAUUGCUCCCUACUUUUAUGUUUUUUUUUUUAAGAGCUUACUGGAUACAAGUUGGGUUCUAAGAUCAUUUUAUCAUGGUUUUGAAGAUUCAGAAACCUGAUAGUAUAUGGUUUUUGUCAAUAAACUAAACAUUAAUGUUUGAAUGUUUUCAGAGACUGUAUUGGUGGGAAAGUUAAAGGAGAGUUGAAGGUUUUGACUCAUAUCAUGAUGAUAUACAUCUUAGUUGUUUUUGUACGUUAACUCUCUUAUGUUGCACUGUUUGCCGAAACAUCUAAUACGGAAACCCGGGAUUCCUUUCGCUGUUUGCGAGAGAAGAGUGAUCUGUUAGGCUGUUUCAUCUGGAAUUCCCAGACUCAGACACCUCUUACUUUCCUAGGGUAUCAGUAAAGUUUUUUGCUGUGUAAUUUUCGUUAUAUAAACUGCGGGAUAACGGAUUUUCCCCUGAGAGUCAUCCAAGUUCCAACUGUGCAAAAGACGAUGUAUUGUGAUUUUUUUAUUAAUUGUUACUCCAGUCCAUGCUGAUUUUCUUUUUUAAUCUGUCCAUUUCCUGAGCAGAGGAGGACUAAAGAGGUAUUCUCUCUUGCCCCAGUGGUAGCUUCUCAGUAUCUCGUGUCUCGCUCACAGAAAAUGGAUCCAACCCUGACUUUCAAGUCAACAUCCGGAUCAGGCAUGUUGACUUCCUCAUGUUGGAGGAGCUAUAAGACAGUGAUCGUGCUUUGUGCCUCAUUUUAGAUUAAUUUUAUGCUUAAGGACGUUAAUUAGAGCCAUUGGUCAAACCUCUCCAAAUUUAUAAAAAAAAUUUGGGAGAGAGAAUAAAAAUAUGUAGUCAUGCAUCGCUAAAAUGUCGGAGUGACUGGCGGCAACGAUGUAUCAGCAGCACUUAUAACAGUACAGUAUGUGAGGAUAUUUUUACUUGGGAUCCUCGGUGACAUGUUUUCUAUGCCAACUCAAUGCCAUCAAUAGUGUUGCGCCAAGUGUCUUGUUAUUAAUUAUAUUUUAAUUUUUUAAUAAUUCAACUUGGCUUGAUUUAACACAAAUAUAAAUAAUAACAAGACACUUGGUGCAAUACUAUUGGUGAUAUUGAAUUGACAUAGAAAACAUGUCACCGAGAUUCCAGGUGGGAUAUUUUUUUGUUUGUUGGUUGACUUACUCUGCACAAACAUGGAAUUAGUUAUUCCGGCCUCAUUUUUUCCUUUUAUAUACCUCUAGAUAAUUCAAUUUAAAAGAUUUUUCCAUAAAAUUAAAAUGGGUAAUUAUCCUUUCUUUUGUACCUUUAUAGAAUUGAAUUUAAAAGAUUUGGGUUCAAAGAAAUACCGGCAUUCGAGAAAACGUUAUGAAUAACCAUUUUUCAUUUCACUCAAAACCACCUCAAAUGCUUAUUGUUUCAACUCAAUGAAAGAUAUAGGAUAAACUAAUUUAUUAAACAAAUUGAAAUUGAUCCAAGAUGGCAUUAUUGUAAUAUACUGCCUACAAAAAAGGAGGAAGAAAGUAGUAAAUGCUUAUUGUUUAGUGUCCAAAUCCAAAAUGCACAAGGCAGAUGUGAUCGUGAUGACCAAUCACCACAUUUAAUUCAAGGGUUAAUAUAACAGUUUUCUAUUUUUUUUUUCUUUUAGCGCCAAAAAAAAAAGAAAAAGAAAAAAGAGAGAGAGGAAGACAUGCCAUGGACGAAGAAAAGAAAGCUGUAUCAAGAAGGAACAGAAGAAGGCGGGAGGACAGGAAAAGGAGAGAGAAAGAAAGGAUGAAUGAAUCAAAAGAAACAGAUGGAAAGUAAAGUCGGAAACCAAUCCCCGGAAUGUAAAGAAUUCCUUUUACAACGUAACACGUAAAGUGGAAUUUUUUUUUUUUUUUUUUGUUUUAGCAAAGUAAAGUGGAUAUUACUGCUGUACUUUUCUUUUCUCCUCUGAGAUAUAUAUUUAUAAUGGGGAAAAAAAAUCAAAGCAAAUCAAAGCAAAAAAAAUCAAGAAGCUCGAGUCACCGUCGGAGAAAGGAGUGGACUUUUAUGCUCGAACUACGCUACGCUCAGCAUAAUUACCCAACUUAAUAGCAAAUUGGCAUUAGCACCUUCUUCUUCUACUACUUUGGGGGGACUUCUGCAUAUACAAUUUUUUCUUUCAACUUUUUCCUCCAAAUUUUCUCACCUUUGCUCUCCAGAUACAAACAAAAAACUAUCACGAGCUUAAAAAGUUGGAGAAAUUCUGGACUAAACGAACAAUGGAUUACCAUCAUUAACGCAAACAAAGUAAAAUUUACUCGGGCUUCUCAGUCUCCAUAGCCUGUCUACCAAAGGUAAGUGUACCCCUUACUUCCACCCUCUUUUCUUUUAUCGUGCUACUUCAUUUUGGGAUUUAAAAGGGCUGCAUUGUCUGAUUAUUUAUUGAGUUUUGAUGUUUAGGUUUCUGACUGCUGGAAUGGUACUAUUAUGAAUCCCUUAUUUCUUUCUUUCUUGGUGUUUUUUUCCCUGUAACUUGAUAAAAAUCCUGUCUUUAAAUGGUUAUCUGUUCUUACAACAAUUGAGUAAGCUGUAAAUAUAUACAGGAAUAUUAAUCUCAGGAAAUAAGUUCAAUCGAGCUGAAAUGGUUGUAGUUUUUCCCCUGCUUUACUUCUCCUUUGCUCAUUUAUUCAAUUAAACAGAUUACGUUAUGUAUCAUUAAAUGUUGUUUGAUAAAGCGCAUUAACAAGGGAAAAAAAAAUGCUGAACCUUUUAAAUUUUUGUAUUUCGUGGUAAUUCUUUUUUAUUGACUUUUUAAUUGAUUUAUUGCUGCUUGUGGUUAGAACUCUAGCUGAUUACAAGCUUGGCGAAGAGCAUUCAUCUGUGUGAGAUCAUUCAGGUAUGGUGCUCGGUUUGAGGUCAAAGAAAAAAAGGGGUGCUUCGGUUCAAAUUGAUUACCUUAUCAAUGUAGUGGAGAUUAAGCCUUGGCCCCCAUCUCAGUCUUUGAGAUCGGUUCAGUCCGUAUUGCUUCAGUGGCAAAAUGGUGAUCAAAAUUCUGGUUCUUUCCUAACUGUUGCUGGGGAUGCGAACAUUGCGUUCAACGAGUCCUUCACACUUCCUGUAACUUUACAUCCAGAUAAAAAGGCCCGCGAUAGAUUUCAGAAGAAUUACUUGGAGUUCUCAUUGUAUGAGCCUCGUAAAGAAAAAGCCACUAAAGAGCAAUUGUUAGGGACAGCUAUAAUAAAUCUAUCAGAGUUUGGAGUAAUCGAAGACAUUUUGCCCAUUAUUGCUCCACUGAACUUCAAGAAGACUUCCAAAAGCUCACCGCAGCCAGCUCUUUAUUUUCAAGUAGAGCCCCUAGAUAAGGGCAGUUCGAAGUCCUCACCCAACGUGAGAUCCUCCAGAACAUCAUUGGACCAGGAUGGCCAAGAAGCCCAUGCUGAAUUCAAUGGUGACGACUCUGAGAUAGCUUCUUUCACCGAUGAUGAUGUUUCUUCUCAUUCGUCUCAGACAGUUGCCUCUUCUGUGUUUGAUGCUGCAAGGGCUUCACCAUCUCAGAGUGAUAAGGUAGCUGAUUCCACUCACUAAUCUUUGUGAUCUCUGUCUCAUGAUUAUAGCUUUUUCCUUAAUUAGUACCUUGAUUGACAAUCGUUUUGCCUUGGCUGAAUCUUCAUUCUGUAUUGCUCAAACUGGGUGUAUUGUCCCUAUUCUAAAACGGUGACAUAAUUCCUUCUUAAACUGAAUGACAUUCUCUGUGUGUGUGUUUCCACACGUGCGUGGAUGUGGUUGUCAGUGCAUGUGAGCACACAUUUUAGCUGACAUUUACAAAUCUACAGAAUGGAUUGGAGGCUGUCAAUGAAAUUACAGGAAUGGAUAAUCAACACUCAAAUGGAAGAUUGCCACCAUCUUCAUCCAUUAGCUUAUCAUUAAAUACAGGACACCCAGUAAACAACCAUACCUCGAAGUCCAAAGUCCCUGGGAGAAGCAAGACAUCAUUGCAGAAGAAUUCGUAUAACCCCUCAAUUGAAUCUUCUUCCUCAUUUGAUGGCUAUUACAAUAUGUAUGGGGGAUCUAGCAACUACAUAGAGUGCCUUGAGCAGGAAACUGUGACCCAUGGUGUUAGCAAAGAGGGAAAGAAUGAAGGAAACAAUCCAGAAUAUAAAAAUGAGCCAGUUGAUAGAUUAACUCAGCCCAUACAUGAUGAAAAUGACAUUGAAAAACAUGCUCCCAUUUUUAAGGGCAUGGAUGUUGCUCAGUUGGAAGUGAAUGGGGAGAAGCAAGAAAAAAAUUUUGGACAGGAUGAACAGUUCCCAACUGAAAAGAGAUUGUUUUCAGACUACAAGUCAGUCGAUAAAUUACCACAUAAUGGUUUCAGAAGGCUAGGUACAAUUGGGGGUGUUACCUCCACUAGGGAAGCACUUGGGGUUCAGAUUUCAAAUGGUCGACUAAAGCGUGUCAAGUCACAGUUAUACUACUCAGCUGGAAGAAGUGAAUAUUUUGGAAAAAGCCACGACACAGAAAGGGCAACAAAUGUACACAAGCCUAAGAAUGCUGAUAAUAGUGCUAAAACUAUUCAAGAAACAGAGAACAAAGAAUCUGUAGAUGGAAGUUCCAAUGCUUAUGGUCAAAGUGUUGCAGAAAAUCAAAUGAAAGUGCUGAGAAAUGAAUCUCAUGAUUAUGGAGCUGAAUCAUAUUCCAGAAUUCAGAUGCUGGAGGAAGAGUUACGGGAAGCUGCAACUCUCGAGAUUGGCCUUUACUCUGUGGUUGCUGAGCAUGGGAGUUCUGUUAGCAAGGUUCAUGCCCCGGCUCGCCGCCUUUCUAGAUUCUAUCUUCAUGCAUGCAAAGAAAAAUCCCGAGCUAAACAGGCAAGUGCUGCAAGAGCAGCUAUCUCAGGUUUAGUUUUGGUCUCCAAAGCUUGCGAAACGAUGUUCCAAGGUACAUAUUAGUCCCAUAGCUAUUUUGUAUCAGUGAAGCACAUUACUUUAGUCAGUAUUGAAAAAUAGGAAAGCCAGGACUUGGUGAAUGGAAGCAUCAGUAAAAUAGGAAAGGAAAAAAACAAAAAAAAUGCUGGUGACUAGGAAGAAAAGGUGCACUUUUCUAAGGUUAUUGUUACAAGGAAUUGUAGAACUUUUAUUUGAUACUGCUUCAGAAAAUUUAUAUGUGUCAAAGGCAAUUGCAUAUUAAAACUCACACUGGUACAUCUGUACCUCCUAUGCAGGCUGACUUUCUGGUUGUCGAAUGCAAUCAUGUUGAGAGUUAUGUCAUCCAAACUGCUGCAGAAAUAUCAAAUUUAGAGGCGAAGCAUGCAGGAAAAAGUGAUCGCUCUGUCUCUCACUUGGAUUCAGCUUCCCAAAGAGACAAGAUAGCUUCUCUAUGUUGAGGAAAGAAAUAGCGAUUCAGUUGAAGAAUCUGAUGACUGGGAGGACAUAGAAACAUUUAUUUUUGCAUUGGAGAAGGCUGAAUCUUGGGUUUUUUCUCGAUUGUUGAGUCUAUCUGGUGGCAGGUUAGAUUCCUAAUUUUUUCUUGCGCUGCAUUUAAUCUUGUUUUUAAUCAAUCAAAACUGUCUUCUAAAUCAGCAGUGUGCUUAUUUUGCCCAUGCAGACUAUAACUCCACACAUGCAGCCGACAGUUGCAAAAACAGGUGGUAGAACUAGGGGCUUAGGUACAAAGAAGAAUAAUGCAAGUGGAUAUGGUUUGGGUGAUCAAGUGCAGGGUAACUUCUCUAUAGAACUUUGGAAGAAGGCUUUCAAAGAUGCCUGUGAAAGGCUUUGCCCAAUUCGGGCAGGAGGACAUGAAUGUGGCUGUUUGCCUGUCAUGCAAGAUUGGUACGCUUUUACAUUGGAAUAUAGCGAUUAAUGUGCAUUCAAUAGUCACAGACAACUCCUGCUGGAGACAAAUAUUUCUAGUUUUUAGUUGAUCUACCUGUCAUGGCAUGUAAACAUACUUUUAAGUGUGUUGGUUACGGAGUAUUAUGAUUCAAUACAGAUCAUCAAAUAAAUAGAGAAGUGGGUUGUCAGUAAUAUACGUGAUCAUAUAGAGUUAUAUUAAUGUCUUCCAGCACUCUACGAUUAGUACCAUGCAUUCUCUGAGUACUGCAUUUUCAUUGCUUGAUUUACUGGAAAUAUUUUAUCCUGGAAUACGUGGAUGGUUUUACUAGGAUAUGGUUGUAAUUGACCAGAUCAUCAUUUUAAUGUUUAUUCUGUGUAUUCUAGGUAAUGGAGCAGUUAGUGAGUCGAUUGGAUGUGGCAAUGUUCAAUGCUAUCCUUCGUGAAUCAGCGGAAGAAAUGCCUUCAGAUCCUGUGUCUGACCCCAUUAGUGAUUCUAGGGUUCUCCCAAUUCCAGCUGGAAAAUUGAGUUUUGGAGCGGGUGUACAACUGAAAAAUGCUGUUAGUAGUGAAGCAGCUCUUCAAAAGUUUUACCUAAAACUUCUGUGCAAGAUGUUUGCAUUACUUAAUGCUUAUUUUUGCAAUAUUUUCUUCUUUGCGCAGCAUUUUGACUUUCAAGUGAAAAUGAUGGGCGACUUUGCUUCCUUUCAAAAUUCCAACUCUGAACAUUAGAUGUGCAACAAAAGAAUCUGAUUAGCAAUGAUUCAUCGAAUCUAAGAACAGAGCCUCUUUUUCUAACAUGUAGCUUCUAGAAUUAUCUGCCAACCACUUUAAGUCGAAGUUUCAAUCAAAUGAAGUAUUUGUUUUAGAUGUUAAUUAAAUCUGUUAUUUUGUUAGUUCUGUUGGAGCGUGCUUGAAGAACACUGCUUUGUAGUUGGCCUAUAUAAUAUCAAUUGUUUUAGUCAUUAGUUGGGAUAGCAGGAUUCUUUAUGUUAUUUAUUAUUAUUUUUUUUGGCUGGUGUUUGUAGAUUGGUAACUGGUCUAGGUGGCUCUCAGAUCUCUUUGGCAUUGAAGAUAGUGAAUCACUUGACGACAGUGAUACUGCUGGUGAUGACAAGGGAUCUGAAUCCUUCAAGGCUUUUCGUUUCCUCAAUGCUUUGAGUGAUCUCAUGAUGCUUCCUUUGGAGAUGCUUAUGGAUAUACCAACAAGAAAAGAGGUGAAUGGCUGCUACAGCAAAUUGGUUUGAAAAAUUCUAGUUUCCACGUGGCUUUAUUCAAUUUUCCAGAUUUUGCUUCUUUUAGGUUUGCCCACUACUUGGUCCAACAAUGAUCAAGAAGGUGCUUAGUAAUUUUGUUCCAGAUGAGUUCUGCCCAAACCCAAUUCCACAAAGUGUUAUUCAUGCACUGGAUCAUGAGGUUGGUUAUCAAUUUUAGCAGUCAUUUGGAAAUUAUGUGCCAUCUCUUCUCUUGACAGCUGGUUGAAUAAUGCAGAGCUAGUUCAAGAUGGAUUUAAAAUCCUAGAAAGAGUUAAUAGAAUAGUAUCAUGCAUGGGGUACCGGCUUUAUUUUGCUGAUAUAUUUGCAUGUUGAUCCAGGAUGCUUCGGGUGUUUCUACAGAAUCAAUCACAAGUCACCCAUGCACUGCCCCUCCUACAAUCUAUUCACCUCCUCCGGCACCUUCACUGCUACGUUCUAUUAAAGAGGUUGGAAACAAUAAUAUACAAAGAAGCGGGUCAUCAUUACUCAAAAAAUCGUACACAAGUGAUGAUGAGCUUGAUGAACUUGACACACGCUUGACUAGUAUAAUUGCCGAUAGCUUCCAGAGUUCUGCUGCAAGAAAACUCAACUGGAUACCCAGAGGAAACGGCAAAGGAAAGGUCUCCAGGUAUCAGCUACUUCGAGAGUUAUGGAAAGGUUAUGAAGAGUAAAACCACUUGUAAUUUGUAAAGCAUUAUGUAUAUAUAGAGAGAGACACAGAGCGACGAAUUCCGUUGAACUGUGGAGAUGAAACCUGCAGUGACAGGACUCUUGUGCAUUCCUUUUCAUUCAAGUUUGUUUGUAUUUAUUUGGCCCUUUAAGGCAUGCCAAACAGUUUUCUAGAAAUGUUUAUUCAUUAAGGAUCUCUAUGUAAUUAACCGAGGAAGGGCUUCCCUUUCCAAGGAUCUUCACUCGACUCUGAAACGAGCAGUCCAAGUGCGACAGAGACAUCCAAUGGGUUCCAUGCAUGCUUCCUGAGACAUCACAAAUAGCAAGGGCAUUUUUCAACUUCCCAAUUGUACAAAGAUCACCAACAAUUCUCUUCCAUUGCAACUCCGAAACUUGGUUAUCGUCGCCAUAUUUUAAAGAUUUAAUGAUUUCAUGAGGAAGAAAAGCACCAGCGGCAAUCUUUUGCUUUCCACUCUUGACGCUAUCAAGAUACUCUCCGAACCGUUCCUCGUCAUGUUUAAGGAACAACUCUUCGUAAUUCUGCAUUGCAAUUGAGGGAACUCUGCCCUAAGGAAGCUCAUUCCAUCUGUCGGCUAAAUCUCAGGCAGCUUGAGAGCCUUGCAGAGUGGUACAAGGACUUCCUUUCGUAAUCGAUCCCGAACUCUAUAUGCAGAAUGAGCAUCUUCAAUUCCGUCAUAUUCAGGCAAGUCUGGAGGAAAUAUUCUCCUUGAGCGUGGACCGAUCACAUUCAGCAUAGAGAGAGGGACGCCAUUUUGCUGCAAAGCUUAUAUUCCUGAGCUUUCCCAUCUUCACAUUCUCCAUAUCAUUCUUCAAGGCCUCAGCAAAAAGAUGUGCGACCUGAUUGUGUAAGAACCUGAAAACUGGAUCGCUGUUGUACCUCUCUACACACUUCUUGCCUGAAGCAAUCCUCUGUUCCUCGGUUGCGAUUCUGGGCAGCAGCAUUAAUUUCUUGCACCAUUCUUCUCCGCCGUACAGCUUCCUUUUUGCUAUCUCCCUCUUACCUUUUCCUGGAGGUCAGGACCUUUGAGGAGUCUAUGCAGAAUCUCUGGCAAAUCCUUGAAGUACCCGAAUUAUGCUAUUGCGGGAGCAUUGCAAGCCAAAGUCUUGGGAUGUUUCUGAUGAAGCCACAGAGCUGAUGAAUAAAACCCCUCCCUAUCACAUUUCCCUGAUAUGUCAUACAGCCACAGAGCUGAUGAAUAAAGUCGUGGGAUGCAUGUUUUGACGAGGAUCUGAUAUAAUCAUAUAGCCUAUACGGCUAUAUACGCUCCAUAACCUUAAAAAAAAAAAAAAAGAACAGAGAGAGCUCUACAUAUCAUAUGCCUUCUGUUCAAGUUUUAAUGUUGAAGCAACCUUUGAUUUCUACCGGAUUAAUGGGACCAAUAGAAGUCGUUCGCUGUACACAAGAUACAGGAUCUGAAGGGCCUAUACAGCGGUUUACGUGGAAAAAGUAAAAGCAACCAUUUUUCUUGUAACAAAACAACACGUAAAGUCAACAGAGUUCACAAUUCAGUACUUCGAGCAUAUAUGAAUUAGUACUUCCAUAGAAGCGAUAUUCGAUCAUACUAAGGUUGUGUUUGGAUUGCAUUUUUCAUGAAAAAAUUACUGUAACGAUUCGAUGUAUGUGAGGAAAAAAGGUAACAGGGAAAUGUGAUCACGGAAAAUGACGUAAUUUUUUGACGGAAAACAGCAAUCCAAACAAGGCCUAGUGAAGAAAGGCGCAACGGUCGAUUGUUCUUCUGGGAAGUUACUUUGCUCCAGAACCUACUACUGGCAACCCUAACACAAUAAUAGAUGGCUGGAUUCAUUAUUGUCACUGUCUUGAAAUGCGUCGGUAUUAUGUUGAGGGUGUUGGAUAAAUAGCUACAACAAUGUUAACACUAUCUGCUUGAGUCGUGCGUAGCACUGUCCUAAGAAACUAUUUCAUGAAAUUGAAAUGUUUCCCCAGGAUUAAACAAGCCUUCUUCUAAUUGUUGCUAAUAACAACAAGAAAAACAAGAUUUCUUCUUAUUGCAAACUAGAAGGACCAGAACUAGCAAAUUAAAACCAGCAGAUAUAUAUAAAGACAAGAAGAUGAGAACAGAAUUAUCAAUAGGAUAUCAACUAACAAAAAAUAAAAGAGAGAAAGAGAGAGAGAGAGAGAGCAGCUAUCAAAAGAUAUCAACUGAAGCUGUUGGGUAAUUUUCUGAGGGAGAAGUGGAUCCUAUUUAUAGACUUCAGAGUGAGGUGCAACCCUUCUCACUUCCGAUGUGGGACAAAGACUGCAACCCUUCUCACUUGACAAUGUGGGACAGAGAAAUAAUACUUCUCAUUUUUCCGAUGUGGGACAAAGAAUAUUUUUGAAAUACUAUAUAUUUUACAACAAUCUCCCACCUAUUUCAAAAAAUUCUUUGGAUAAAGGAAGAAUUUUAAAAGUACUCUGCUGGAUUUGGUUGAAAUGUAAUUAGAUUGGUGUCUUUUGGACUAUGAACCAAACAUAGAUUGAUAAAACAUGAUCUACAGAAUUAUUGGUGAAAUAUAAAUUUCUAUGAACCAAUAACUCUUGAUGUAUGACAGAGAUUUUAUCAAUCACAUUACAACCCAUAAUUUGCUGUUAACGCGAUUUUGCGCUUUUUGGCCGUGCGCCUGCCUGGUUAUUCAUGAGAGCUCUAAAGAUUUGACCAAUGAAUCUUAUAGGAGCGGCCCCACUCCACUCCCAUAUAGGUGAAUUCAUCAAGUGUGUAUUGCUUUAACUACACCUCCCUAAUGGGAUAUGAAUUCAUUAAGAGUUUUAACUCAUCCUCACAAUUACUCAAAGCACUUAUCUCUAGAGGGACUUAAAUUUGAAGUGCUUUAUUAUCAAUAUUGACUUGUUAUUACCCAUAUGAACCUACUUCAUGGGAUCACCAAUCACAUAGGUUGGGUUACCGUCUCUAUUGACAACUUGUUGGUCGAAGUCCCAUUUCUUUCGUAGUUUGAAGAAUCAAUUUUCUUCCUACGGGUUUAGUCAGAGGAUCGGCCAAAUUCAACUCUGACUUUACAUAAUCAAUGGAAAUAAUUCCAUCUCUAAACAGCUGCUUUACGACAUCAUGUCUCAAUCUCAUGUGUCGACUUUUACAAUUAUACGAUUUAUUUUUAGCUAUGGCAAUCGCUGCUUGACAGUCACAAUGUAUGGACACAGGAGGCAACAAAUCCUUAGUUGAAGGAAUAUUAGCUAAGAAAUUUCUCAACCACUCGGCCUCAGUCCCUGUCAGUUCCAGAGCUACAAACUCUGACUCCAUUGUUGAUCUAGCAAUGAUUGUCUGUCUAGCAGAUUUCCAUGCUAUUGCACCACCACCAAGGGUGUACACAUAACCACUAGUGGAUUUCGUAUCAUUUGAAUCAGAGAUCCAAUUAGCAUCACUGUAACCUUCUAAUACAGUGGGAAAUCCACUAUACAGGAUACCAAAAUUCAUGGUACCUCUCAAAUAUUUCAUUAGUCUGACUAAUGCAAACCAAUGCUCACGGUUGGGAUUAUGAGUAUAUCUACUCAGUCGACAUACAGCAUAAGCUAUAUCAGGUCUAGUAAAAUUCAUCAGAUGCAUCAGACUCCCAAUAAUCUGAGCAUAUUUAGACUGAGCAAUUGGGCCACCAUUAUUUUUCUUUAAUUGAGUGUUAGCAUCAUAAGGAGUACUCACAGGUGUCACAUCAUAAUUUUCAAACUUCCUAAGAAGUCUUUCUGUAUAAUGUUCUUGUGACAACAUUAUACCAUCACCUUUCCUUAUGAUUUUAACACCCAAUAUUAUUUUGGCUUCACCCAAAUCUUUCAUAUCAAAAUUAGAAGACAAAAAAUAUUUAGUACUAUUUACAAUAUCUAGACUAGUACCAAAUAUAAGCAUGUCAUCCACAUAUAAACUGAUUAUCACAUAUUGAUCAUUUAUAUUUUUGACAUAUACACAUUUAUCCACUUCUACAGACGAAAAUCCAUCUUUCAUCCAUACUUGAUCAAAUUUCUCAUGCCACUGUUUAGGAGCUUGUUUUAGGCCAUAAAGAGAUUUAAUUAGUUUACAAACCUUAUUUUCUUGUCCAGAUACAAUACAUCCCUCAGGUUGAAACAUAUAAAUUUCUUCUUCUAAGUCACCAUUUAAAAAGGCUGUUUUGACAUCCAUUUGAUGAAUAACAAGUUUAUGGAUAGAAGCUAAAGCAAAUAAAACUCGAAUAGACGCAAUUCUAGUUACUGGUGCAAAUGUAUCAAAAUAGUCAAUAUUUUGUUUUUGAGAAAAUCCUUUUGCUACUAAACGAGCUUUGUACUUUUCUAUAGAGCCAUCAGAGUUAUAUUUUCUUUUAAAAAUCCAUUUGCAACCAAUAGGUUUUGCACCAGGAGGUAAGUCUACCAAAAUCCAAGUUUUAUUUGACAAGAUAGAAUCAAUUUCAGAUUUAAUUGCUUCUUUCCAAAAUUUACACUCAGGAGAAGAAAUAGCAUCGGAGUAUGUUAAAGGAUCAUUAUCAACAAGAAAGGUUUGGAAAUCUUUUCCAAAUGAAAAUUCUUUUCUUGGCCUUUUGCUCCUUCUUAAUUCCUCAAUUGGAAUAAUUUCCUUAUUUAUUUCAACAGGUGCAUGAGAAAUUUUACUAGACAGUGGAAAAAUAUGUUCAAAAAAAUUCUGCAUUCUUUGUCUCAAUAAUUGUAUUACAAUCAAGUAUAUCACUUCUUAACACAAGAAAUCUAUAUGCAGCACUAUGUUCAGCAUAUCCAAUAAACAUACAAUCAGAAGUUUUAGAACCUAUUUUCCUUUUCUUAGGUUCAGGCAACAAGACUUUAGCAAGACACCCCCAAACUUUUAAAUAUUUCAAAUUUGGUUUAUAAUUUUUCCAUAACUCAUAAGGUGUUUUGCCAGUCUUUUUAUGUGGGAUUCUAUUUUGUAAGUGACAUGCAGAUAAUAUAGCUUCUCCCCAUAAAUUAUCUGAAGCAUGAGAACUAAUUAACAUAGAGUUCAUCAUUUCUUUUAACGUUCUAUUUUUCCUUUCAGCUACUCCAUUAGAUUCUGGUGAAUAAGGUGGAGUAUAUUUCAUGUAUUAUGCCUUCCUGUUCACAAAGGUUAUCUAAAGUUAAAUAUUCUCCACCCCUAUCUGAUCUAAUUCUUUUUAUCCUUUUAUUAAGUUGAUUUUCUACUUCAGACUUAUAGGAUAAAAAGGCAUUAUAAGUAUCAUCUUUAUUUCUAAGUAAAUAAACUUUGGUAUAUCUGGAAUAGUCAUCUAUAAAGGUGACAUAAUACCUUUUCCCACCUCUAGUCAUUGUUUGUUUUAAAUCACCUAAAUCAGUAUGAAUUAAAUUUAAUAACUCAGUUUCUCUAUGGACAGUUAUACAACUUUUCUUUGUUAUUUUAGCUUCUGCACAUAUUUCACAUUUGUCCAUAUUAUCAUUAAUACCAGAAAUUAGGCCACAUGAUUGCAUUUUCUUUAUAUAACCAAUAUUAACAUGUCCUAAUCUAGCAUGCCAUAAAGAAAUGGAAUCAAUAAUAUAAGCAGAAGAAGAUGCAUUUUCAUUGAUCACAUUGGAAAUAUUAAGUACAAAAGGUCCCUGAUUACAAUAGUCUUUCCCAACAAACACAUUAUUUCUUGUCAUUAUAAUCUUAUCAGAUUCGAAUGACACUUUCACCUCAACUUUUCCAAGCAAAGCCACAGAAACAAGAUUUGCCCGAAUAUUUGGAACAUGCAGCACAUCAUUAAGAGCCAAAGUAUUUCCUGAAGUGAGUUUCAAUAGUACUUUGCCCUUACCAGAACUUUAGCAGUUCGUGAGUCUGCAAGGUAGACUACUUUUUCAUCAUCCCCUAUUGAAGUAUAGGAGGAAAACGCUUCUCGAUUUGCACAUAUGUGCCGAGUAGCCCAGAGUCUACCACCCAUUCUUUAACAUUAGCUGCAAUGUUCACUUGAGAGAUGACUGCAGCAAUUAUUUCAUCUCCUUCGGUUAAAUUAAUCUUAGGAGGAUUACCAUUUGCUUUGUCACCUUUAUUGUAUCUAUACAGGGCAGCAUAAUGUUCUGAUUUUCUACAAUAAUGGCAAUUGCCUUUCUUUUUCUUAAAGUUGGGAAUAUUAGGCUUGUAAUUGGGAUUUUUUGGUCUAUUAUACUGGGACUUAUUGGCUUGCACAUAGCUACAAUACACAUCAAAUAAUUCAUUUAAAAGUGUUUGUAAAAUAGUAUAUCGACAUACCUUAUUGGCAUAUUUCCACGACUCUUGUAUCUUGACAUCUAUUGUGGCAGCAGGUUGAGAUUCCGUCAGUGCAUAGGCCACUCCAUGUAUGUCGAGUAGAGAGUAGACACGUUCUUGCCACCUUUUGAAGUUUUCAUCAACAAAAACCUCAAUUCUAGAGACGUCAGGAAAUGGCUUCGCAAAAGGUAGUGUCACUGCAACAGUUGCUGAUGAAGACUGUGGGGUGUUAACAUUGUCAGAUGCCAUAGUUUCUUAGAUUGUUGGAUAAAUAGCUACAACAAUGUUAACACUAUCUGCUUGAGUCGUGCGUAGCACUGUCCUAAGAAACUAUUUCAUGAAAUUGAAAUGUUUCCCCAGGAUUAAACAAGCCUUCUUCUAAUUGUUGCUAACAAGAAAAACAAGAUUUCUUCUUAUUGCAAACUAGAAGGACCAGAACUAGCAAAUUAAAACCAGCAGAUAUAUAUAAAAGACAAGAAGAUGAGAACAGAAUUAUCAAUAGGAUAUCAACUAACAAAAAAUAAAAGAGAGAAAGAGAGAGAGAGAGAGAGCAGCUAUCAAAAGAUAUCAACUGAAGCUGCUGGGGUAAUUUUCUGAGGGAGAAGUGGAUCCUAUUUAUAGACUUCAGAGUGAGGUGCAACCCUUCUCACUUCCGAUGUGGGACAAAGACUGCAACCCUUCUCACUUGACAAUGUGGGACAGAGAAAUAAUACUUCUCAUUUUUCCGAUGUGAGACAAAGAAUAUUUUUGAAAUACUAUAUAUUUUACAACAGAGGGUGUUAAGAAGGGUUUAUCCUUUCAAAUCAUUCCUUGAUCCGCAAGUUAUCCGUCUUGCCAAAAUUACAUACACGUCCUUGAUCACUCAUGAUUUGCUUUGCUGUAAGGGUCAGUCUUGCCAGCAAUUUAAAUUGGAGGGUUUAAAAAGACUUUUUCCAUUCUCAUCUUCACGAGACAAUUAUUCAAGCUAUUGUCCUGCCAACUCCCAAGAACUUGAUCAGCAAGGAAGGGGAUUUUGAGCCAAUGCAAGUUAGUUUGUUCCACGCGCAAGGCCAUUACAUGAUAACGAAGAAAUUGAGCUUGACUCAACAAAAAAUGCCAUGCACUCGAACCUCCUUUCAGUUUUCACUUCCAUUCAUUCAAAUCUGAUUAAAUUGAAGGAAUAUCAUCCAGUAAACACUGCACAAACGGUUUCUUCAGUUAAACACUUCCAUUCAUUCAGAUUUGAUUAAAUUGAAGGAACAUCACCCAGUAAACACAGCACGAUCACUGGCUAACUGCAGGCUGCAGCUUAGUCCUGCCAUACUACAAGCCAAACAGAAUUUACUUCCGCGGACUAGUUACUGUCAAUCAUCGAGCAUCUCACCAUCUGAUUUUCCGGCCAAAAAUAAAAGAGGCAAAAUGGUGAGAGCCAAGUAGAGCAACUCCGGAUUACUUUCUUAGCUGUCUAUACAAAAACAUGAUCGAGUUCCUCACAAAACCUACGAGUCACGAUGUAUGGAAUGGAUGGUUAAUACUGUAGGCCCUUGAUGAAAAGGCACAACUUUAAUUUAACUUUCAAAAACUACUACAAAAUACCAAAUUCCAUCCAUGUUGAGGCGCUCAAAAUAUAUCAGCCCUUAAGACAUAGCCUGCCAACUAUCAUACAAUUAAGGUGCAAAAAGCUUACAUGCACACUUAUUUUAUUUUAAUAUCCUAAUUGCUAACCACAUAUGAUUUUCCAUUGUAACUGCUACUUUACUUCUCAGGCUUUUCUUAGAAAAAUGGCUCGGCAUAGCUUAGAUAUGAGAUGAACCGCGCUUUUAGCAACUGAGUGUGGUAAGUAUGAUGAAAUUGGAGUGCAACCAACAAAUGAAACUGCUACAAUAAUUUUGAUUGACAAAUCAUGAAUGCCAAAUUUACCAAUUGGAAUAGGAAAUCAUUAGCAUUUGGUGGCUGUUGACGAGGCAUAAAAACACAUUACCAUGCGAUGCACCUUAACAAGAAAAAACAAGUAAUAUAAGCUAGAAAUUCUACCUUUUUAACUGUAGGCCUCCAAACUGGUUCUUUAAUGUGUCAUAAUGCCCAUAACCAUGAUAUAGAACACGCACUGGAUUUUCCUUUCCAUAUUCUUGACCAUACUCGGCUAUUACUUUGAGGGAAUUUGUCUUCUUAUCCAACAUAUGCACUGUGAUAGGAACCCUGAAUCAAAAAUUUAGAUUAGCUUCUCAGGUAUCAAUACCAUGAGCACUACCAACCUUCAACUGGAUAGGCACGUUACAAUGUUUGAAUUCUUUCAUUUAUAGCGUGGGCAUGGAUAGGUUAAAUCAGAGAAAUACGGUAGACCUACUGUAAAACAUGGGAAGACAUUAGUAGCUCAGGCUCUCCUCCCCAACUAUGGGGCCGCCUCAUUUUCAUAACAUACGUGUCAAAAUCACCUUCAACAAACCUGAAAAGCAACAAAUUUCCCUUGAGAACAAACUUUGUUUUUGUACUUGAAAACAUGCUUGAGCUGUGAUAGAUAACAUUUCUCAGGACAUCCCGGAUGUGUUCGAGGAUAACAGAGCUCUGGUCAUACUGAGACCCAAGUUGUGCAAGAAUGAAUUGAAAGACAAAUUUUUAAAGGUCCAGGUUAGCACGAACCCCAAAGGUCAAGGUUCGGAAGAACAAGAAAUGUAUGGACUUGCUAUGGCCUUGAUCAAUACAGCCAGUACUGCCAGAAUGACUCGAAAGAAAAAUCAAACUUCAAACGUGAAGCUGGAUGCUGAACUGAUUAACAUGAUUUCAAAAAGGUAGGUCAAUUGUUCAGAAGAUAUGCAUGGACUUGCCACGGACUAGGUCAAAGUGUAGUAAACCAAGCAAAAGAGCAGUAUCCCAAAGGCAUAUACGCAAGUCUUACCACUCUGUAUCUGCUCGUCUUUUGAUAAGUUCAUCUGUCACCUGUAAGAACAGAGUUGCAUUUGUUGGUCAAAAGAACUCAUGAUAACCAAAAGUUUAGUCGGAUCGUUACUAAGUUUUGCUUCUUCUGCAAUACAGAGCUGUUAGCUGGAAGGACACCACAGGCAGACAGAACUUUUACUUUGAGGGAGCAAAGUAUUGAUCAUGGACAUAACAGAGUGCGACAGAAAUUGUUUGAAAAACUUAUUAGUCAAGGAAAACCUGCGUUUUUGAAAGGAAACUUGUAGAAACUCUUGGAAUGGUCAACCUCGUCAGAUAUUCAAUCGCCUUAACAUUCUCUAUAAUUUAGUUACUCGUGUCACUUAGAACACAGCAAAAAGAAAAAGUAUCAUUGUGCCACAAGUCAACUGUAAAUUAAGUAGUGAUAGACGAAAUGUGGGGUUAAGAUUUAAUUCAAACUGGAGCAAAAAAGAAAUGCUGUACAGGUAUUAAGUCGAAUCCCAGCUAGACAAGUAGUAUUAAGUUGAUCCUAAAAGCACCAGAGUCCAAGAAUUAGGAAGAGCAGAAGAAAGCUAAUGAUUUACUUUGGCUCUGAGCUCAUCAGCCAGCUCUCUCUCAUCGGCUUCACUUGGAGAUGGCUUUCCUAAUCUCAAACAAUCACCAUGGACCACAGACCUGAACAAGCAUCUCCCAUCUCCAGGUAUCCCUGCAGCAAAGUGGUGCAAAAAGACCAUUUGCCGUGGUUGACAUUAUUAGGGCAGCUUAUGUAACAACAACAUCAAAGCAUAUUGUUGAUCCAAAAUAACAGGACUGCAAGCAAAGAUUAUUUGCCGUAACGUUUCAAACUGCAUACCAUAUCUUCAUCAUGCAGGAUGAACGUAACGUUAUUGUAAUGUUUUACAAUUCUAACAUAAUAGGAACGUAAAAAUAUAUGUGAGGAAGAAAUGGAUGAAAACGCAAAGUACUUGUUGCUCAUGAAGAUGAUAUCCACUUAUUCAAAAGCAAAAAUAGAAUAACCGGAAAAAAAAAAAAAAAAAAGUGUGACAGCACUCGCACACCUAAACCAAAAGCCAUUACGAUUACCAGAUUUUAUUCGCUCCUCAAACAUCAUAAAGAUGGACCAGCAAAUGAUCUAGUCACUGUAUUUCCCGUUUUCUCUUUUUGAUAACUUGAAUUUUUUUUUAAAACAAAUAAAUAAAUAUAUAGCAACACAACUCAAUUAAGCAAAAGAAAAAUGCUGCAAUGCAAGAAAAGAAUCAUAAAGCCAAGCCAAUGAGUUGAAGCCAAGCAUCCAUGCCAGAGUUAUUAUGACGUAAGAAAUGGUAAAUGCCACAUAAAAAUUUUUUCAAAAAAAAAAACAGAGAGAGAGAGAGGAACAAAUAAAUAACAAUAAGCAGCAGAUACGAAUGGUGCGGAAGUGGUUACCAAACUUCCAAUCUCGUUUCGGCAUGAGAUCAAAGAUGUUUCCAACUCUUUCUUUUUUUUGGCAAUUUAAAUGGAGUACUGUACGUAGUUCAUGUUUUUAUGGAAUUUACCUUUUUGUAAAUUCGAAAUACAUUAUUCUGAUUCUGUAGCAGCGAGACGGGGAGAGGCAGACUUUCAUCAGAAGAAGAAGAGAAUCAGAUUCGAUUCAACGCGAGAAGAGCAAGAAUCGACUGAGUGAGGGGGCUGAGUUACAAUAUUGAGGCGCGACUGACUCGGGAAGCGGAGGCACGAUGGGCUCACUGCAUGUGUGGGCUUUUAGUUUUAGGGCCGCAAUUGAUGUGGGCUUUUAUUCUUAGUACGAAAAUGUACACGUGUUCUAUUGUUUUAUUAGAUGUGUCAUGAUUUUCGGUUAAUUUUUCAUGAGCGAAAUAAUUAUUUGGAUUGCACGUUAUUUAUACAUACAUGCUGAUUUACUUGUAUGAUCAAUACAUUUUUUAAUUUUUUUAUUUCACAUACAUCAUAUAAAAAAUUACUACAAUAUUUUUUUAUAAAAUUAUCUCAAACAAUGAAUCUACUAUCCAAACACACUUAUAAUAUUGGCUCAUAAUUUUGCUUUUGUUUUUGGAGCAUCCCAUAAUAGUUGUAAUUUCGACAAUUAGACAAAAACUUAACGGUUAAAAAGAAAAAAAAAAUUAAAAGAGUUGCCAUCUCCAAAGCAGGGACCUAAAGCGAAAGGAAGUCACUGUGCUUGUAACUUAAUAGACAUCCGUCCUAUCUUUGAGAAGAGAGUUAGGGGGGGAAAAUAGAAAAGGUCAAUCUUUCGAAUAAGGAAGAAGAACGUAAUUGUAAUAAAAUUAAGAAAAGAAGCAAAAAAAAAAAAAGAACGCAAGAAAAUUGCUGAAAAAGCUUCUCCUUAGAAAUGCUUGACCUUCUUGUCGCACAAGCUUGGGCAAACCCUUGACCUUGUGGUUCUCUUCUUUUUUUCUAGACUUGGAGAGCUUUGCAAUUUGUAGGAUUAUUAAAUCAAAAGUCUUUUUAGAAUUUAUUUAUUUAGUUAGGAAACUACUUAUUUUGUUGUUUAGUUGUAAUUUCCUAGUAGUAGUUGCAAUAAAAGCCUUCAAAGUUCUUCUCUGUUUUUUUUUUUCCUCUGUUUCUUUGUUUUGUAUGCGGGUCUCGAGAUUUAUUUAGGCUUUGUUUGGAUUGCUUAUUUCCGUCGAAAAAUAUUGGGAGUGUUUGGAUACCUACGCUAUCUCAAAUAAUAUUUUGCUUGCAUCAUAAACACAUUUCCCAACCUAUCUUUUUAUAUUCCCAAUUACCUUUUUAUCUCACAUACAUCACAUCACAAAAAGUGCUACAGUAAUUAUUCCAAAUAAUAUUCAAAUAAUACACUAUCCAAACAAACUAUUGUCGUUUUCCGUGAUCACAUUUCCCUAUCACCUUUUUCCCUUACAUAUAUCAAAUCGCUACAGUAAUUUUUCCAUGAAAAAUGACGGAAAAUGCAAUCCAAACACAACCUUUGUCUUCCCGUGGUUUCGUUGAAUCGAGAAAGCAUAUUUAUUGUGUUUCAUAUAGAGUAGUUUGAUUAAUAUGUAUGUUUGUUUGUUUGGAUAAGAGGUUAUUUGGAUGAUUUAUUUGAAAUAAUUAUUGUAACAUUUUUUAUGAUGUGAGAUAAAAAAAGACGAUUGAGAUUUUGAAGUAAAUUAUUUUGUUUCAAAUUAUCUCAAUCCAAACACUCAUUUUAUUAUUAUUUUGUUUUACGGGCCUACACAACUGCAUAUAAAUGGUAUUUUCUUGGUAUUUUCUUUUGUGUCGACCACGCCACUAUAAUAUGUUUUGAUACUCUGAAAUUUCAAAUGGCUUCUGCUGAAAGUUCCACACUCAAAUUUAGACGUAUUAUAAAAGCGCAAGUCUCGAACGCCCCCCGUCCCAAAUGCAGCAGCCUCGUAUACAUAACAAGUUUUCUGCCGCCUAACAGAGCAAAGUUCCAACCAAAAAAAAAAAAAAAAAACAGUGCAAAGUUUAAAACACGAGAUCGAGAUAUCCUAUCCACCCAUCAUGUUUUCCCUAAACAGUGGCAUUCCUUCAACAACGUCGGUUCUAUCAGCAUACACAACUUUUGCUGCAUCCGCUGUUCUAGUGCGCACCGUGCUCAAUGAAGUCCAGCGCAUGACUAGCCGGCUUAUACCCCAACAACUCCAAGACAAGCUCUUCACCAAAAUUGGAUCCCUUUUUGGGAAUCUCUCUUCCCAGAUGUGUAUAACCAUUCUGAUCACAAUGGCAUCACCCCGAAUGAGAUGUUCGAGGCUUGUGAAACUUAUUUAAGAGGAAACAUAAGCCCGUCGGUCCACCGGCUCAAGGUAGUGAAGGAGCCAAAAGCAGAGAAAUUGUCCGUCAACAUAAGCGAUGGCGAGACAACUUUUGACGUAUUCGAGGGGAUACAGCUUGUUUGGAGAUUGAAUUGCUCUGAGACUCAGAAGACUGGCACCGACUAUGAUGGCUACUUCUCUUCUGAAAGGGUGGAACGUCGAUCGUUUGAGCUUUUCUUUAACAAGAAGCACAAGGAUAAGGUAUUAGGAUCUUACCUGCCCUACGUGCUUGAAAGAUCGAAAGCCAUCAACGGAGAGAACAAAGUGAUAAAGCUGUACUCGGGUGGAAAUUGGUACGUGGUUAUUAAUCUCCAACAUCCAUCCACGUUUGACACGCUGGCAAUGGAUCCAGAGGUUAAGAAAGAAUUGAUGCAGGACUUGGAUAGAUUUGUGAGGAGGAGGACUUUCUAUAAGAGGGUUGGGAAGGCUUGGAAAAGAGGAUACUUGUUGUAUGGUCCUCCAGGAACCGGCAAGUCCAGCUUGGUUGCUGCCAUGGCGAACUAUCUCAAAUUCCACAUCUAUGACUUGGAGCUUUCCAGUGUGCGAGGCAACAACGACCUUAGAAGUCUACUGGUUUCGACUCAAAACCGAUCAAUCCUUGUCAUUGAGGACAUUGAUUGCAGCAUUGAGAUGCAGAACAGAGAAGCUGGCCAAUCCGGAAGAUGCAGUGGUGAGAUUCAGGUGAUCCUCUAUUUAAAGCUUUAUUUAUUAUUCAAAAGCCUUUCACCUUUACUGAGUCUUCUUCCUCUGCAUGUAGCCAAGAAAUAUCGUGCUAUAUCUUUAGAAAUUAAUUGAUCUUAUUUGGCCUGGCAGCUAACAUUAUCAGGAUUGCUGAAUUUUAUCGAUGGGCUGUGGUCGAGUUGCGGUGAUGAAAGAAUAGUUGUGUUCACAACCAACUACAAAGAAAGGCUGGAUCCUGCACUGUUAAGGCCUGGACGGAUGGACAUGCAUAUUCAUUUGUCAUAUUGCACUCCUGGUGGAUUCAGGAUCUUGGCUUCCAAUUAUCUUGGUUUGAAGGAUCACGACGGUUUAGUGAAAUUGAAGAGCUCAUAGCAGAAGUGGAGGUAACCGCUGCUGAGAUUGCGGAAGAGCUCAUGAAAAGUGAAGAAAUUGACUUUGUACUUGCGGGACUCGUUGCUUUCCUUGAGAAGAAAAAGAAGGAAAAGGCCAAGUCCAAUAUUGGCAAAGAGGACGAAGUUAAGGGUAACAAGAAAGAGGAGGACGUAAAGUUACCAAGGAGAAGUAGGAGGAAGAGAAGCAGAAAAUCCAGGAUAUGAUGGUUCCAUUUAUUUACAAUCUGUUUAUGUAGCUUGUGUUCUUUUCUUUGUUUUUUUCCCUUCCUUUCUUUCUUUCUUUCUUUCUUUUUCUUCUGCGUCUUUUUCUUUCUUUUGUAUCGUGUGGAUACGAAAGUACUAGUAAUAAAUAUCUUUUGAAGUAGUAUCGAGUUCACACUAAUUGGCUAUUGGCAUGUUGGUUGUGAAGUAUACCUCAACAUUUAAAUAAACCUAAAUCGGAAAAAGAACUAAAUCUGAAAUUUGUGGUACUUGCAUGCGUCAGUCAUUACUUAGACAGAGACCAUAAUGUCUUGUUUCAAACUUUGAAAUUACUACAAAUAUUCCAUCCAUUUAUAGAAUAUUCUCCUCAUGAAAAUGCCUUUUAAAAGCUCCACCACCUCCUCAAAACAGAAAAAAAAAAAAAGUGAUGUUUAGCACCAGAAAGAUGUAAGCAACAUAAUUGAUCACUGUAAUUAGCCUGAGAUGUACAAGUUUCUCGGAUAUGCUAAAAGCCAGUCAUGAUCUAAGAAAGCAAAACAAAUGACAGCCUCCCAUUUUCCUGGACUCGUUCCUUACAAAGCGAAUAAGACCAAUAAGGUAGAAACUUUGGAAGAUUGACUGGUUCUUUCUCACCUUCAUUCAAGAGUUAUUGGAACUGAGAUGGUCAAAUUUGAUCCCUUUAAUUAACACCUUUAACAUAGCGCUGCGCUCGAUUGAACUAUAUUGACUCAGAACUUCUCAUUUUAUGGUAGCAUGUGCCCUCGUCAUCUGUGUAGAAGAAGUAAAUAGAGCUGCUUUUAUUCCCUCAGGACCAACAAUCGCUGCCAGAACGAUGUUGAGACGUCGUCCAUUACAUACGUUUGUAGCGUCAAUUUUAGCCAUUAUUCACAGUGCCUGCGGUAAAGCACAGGACUAAAUGGACCUAUGGGAUCAUUGACGACAAAAACAACCAAAUUCAUCAGUUCUACCUUUCCGUUUAUAUAUUCUAUGCAGUAUCAAUGCCUAGCAAUCUUGUCCUUUGCUGAUGAUCACAUUCUAGCCAUUGAAAACAUGGUAGAAAACAUUUUUCCACCAUCAACGCAUUUAUUCAACGGGAUUGACAAGCUUGUUUACAAUGCAGAAUAUUUACCAGGAAGGUUUGACGAUGCCAUGAAUGCAAUCCCUAUAAUUAUGCACCAAGUUCCAUUUCUUGAUUGGGUAGUGAUGCAUCUCAUCACGGCUAAAUUUUCUAAUCUCUACCUGAUGAAUUGGGAUCAAAGAAUACACAAGAGAAGGAUAUAAUGAUUGAUAUAGUCUGCAACAAUCCCGGACCUGGGCUAGACAUUUCGAUGGAUAAGGCAGCCUCCCACAAAGAGAAUGAUGAGUUUCCUUCGAUGUCCACAUCUCAUCCUUCACGAGAAAUGGCCAAAGAAUUUGAAAGCGAAAAGGGUUGCGUUCAAAUGCCAAAAAUCGCACAAUGUCAACUCAACGAAGAUACAGUCACCUCCAGAAUUAUCCAAGGGGUCUUUCUACAAGCCAUUCCAAGAUGAGAUGAGGUGCAGUUACAAGGAAAUGCUUGAAAAGGGAACAAAGGGAAAUGCUGAAACUAAGAGGACAAUCAUAAUAACUCACAAUAUGAAACUCCUCGAAGCACAAUCAGUGAAGGAGGAGUUGAAAUAGACAGAGAGAAAGACCUACAGGAAAGCAUUGCGGGAUUUGACCUGGAUGAUCCAAUUUUAGAACUAUACGAAGCAAGCUGGCACCUGAAAUAAAUCCAGUAAGUAUCAAAUUAAGGUAUUGCUGCUAUGGCAAUCAGAUAACACACCUGAAAUGAUUUGCGUGGUAGAUACCCGUUUGGCAAACAAGUUUUUGAUCAAGUUUGUCUUCUACAAGUUUUUUAACAACUUUAGCUACAAUAAUCUCAAAAAACCUAGAAGUUUUUAAACUAUCACUUCAAAAUAUCCAAAAAUUUACACAUUUCAAAAAUUUUUCUUAUAACUUUUACAGUAAGCUACAGUUAAAAUUUUAGACAAAUACCCAAAAAAUUCAUUUGCCAAACAGUACCCAGGAGAAACAUGGUAGUUGCCUAGUUCUGAUCAUUGAUCAGCAGCCGCAGAAUAUAGCAUGAUUACGGUUCGCAUGCAUUUCUACAGUGCUGAAACUUGUAAUGUUGUUUUUUAUAGUACAUUUUAUGAUAUAUGGACUGUAUGCAGAGUUGCAUUUGUCCUACAAAUCGUUGAUGAAACAAGCUCUUUUUAACAAGCUUUUUUUAUUUACAAUUGAUUAUUCGCCCUGCUUCUGAACACUUUUAACUUCCGCAAACGACAAUCUUGGCAGAAUCUAUGAAGAAAAGCAAAUAAAGGUUGGGAGAAAAAUUAACUUCCCAAGCAAAGUGACAAUUGAUACCUUUUUUUUUUGGAGCAAAAACAAUUGCGUGGUUGAAAUGAAAGGAAAAGAGCUUAUUACAAGUCUUGUGUGAAAGAAGGGGCCAGGAGAAUCCACGAGGUUGGACAUAGAAGACAACAUAGAAAAUGCUGAGACACAACUUGUAAGUAAGCGCUGCGAUUGACCAAAAAAUUAAUAACGCCCACCGUGGGGCUCGAACCCACGACCACAAGGUUAAGAGCCUUGCGCUCUACCGACUGAGCUAGACGGGCUUGUUGCAAGUUAAACACAUGAGCUAUUGAAGUUUUAAAAUGGCAUUCCAGCAAUAAACCCAGCCCGGCCGACAAUCAAACCAAUCAACCAGAUGAACCAGCUAUUGGGCUGAGCUGAGUUUCUAAUUAGACGUUUAAACAUAAGAACCGUUGACUGGUAAAUAAUUCAACGAUUCAACCGAAACCGACCAAAUUUUGUUCACAAACCGAGUUUUGUGGAAAAAUUUUUAGUUAGCUUUUAUUAAGACUCAAACUUGGGAACUUAAGCACAUAACUAGAGCAUAGUUACCACCAGGCCACUUACCAAAUGUUAGUAGAGUAACUUUCUUAUGAUAUAUGAAUGUUUUAUUAAUUCUAUUUUUUUUUAAUUUCUCUAAAACAAAUUUAUUUGGAAUCUUUUAAUAAAAACUUAUAACCUUCCAAACUCUAUAAGUUAUAAAAUGGAUUUCAAAAAUAACAUAUUACAUAAUUCAUGUUAAAGGCAAAUAUUGUUUUUAAUAAUUUUUUGCACUUAAAAUUCAUAAAUAAGCUAAUAAUUAUACUAAAUACAGAUAAAAUUUUACACUUGAAAUUUGGUGGAUUACUAAAUAAAUUUAUAUUUUAUUGAUUUUAUAUGAAUUAAUUAUUCUAUAGUGAAUUAAAUUGAAUGAGCAUUUACUAUGACAUUUUUAUUACAUUUAUAUCAUAUAUUUUAUAUCAAAAUUUAUAAAACAUAAUAUUUAAAUAUAUUUAGUGAUCACUAAUUCAACCACUCAUCCAUUGAUUAAAUCAGUGAUCCAUUAACCCUCCUCGCGGGUUCCUUUCCAAGCCGGUAUAAUAACUAUGCCAGCGAUACAAGGAGGCAUUGAAGGGCCCAAACAAAGAAAUCGAUCCCUCCCUGCGUCAACUCAUUGAAAGAUGCAACAACUCACUUCCAGCUCAUGCUCAACAAACAACACCACAACGGCAACGUGAAAGAGAAAUCUAAGAAAUAAUGAAGGAAAAUUCACAAGAUCGCCUUCCCUUUGAAUAGCAUGCCAUCUAACUCUUCAAUUGGUCGCGAUGCAAGUUUACAUCAUUUACAGACUCCCGUUCUUUAAGUACCAGGAGAUUCACUUUUAAAACUUCAACUAAGGGUUCACUUUUGGGUAGUUGUACGCUAUUCUAUCAGGAAGAUAAAGCAAGCAAAAUUUAGUGGCUAUAGCCUUACAGGAACCUGUACAUAUCUUCUGUGGGAAACAGGAAACUGGAAAACACGAUGCCUAUUGAAUAGGACAGAACUAAUUAAUACAAAGGAGAGAUACGUGAUUUAAUGUACAAGAUUGUCAGCAAAGGAACUAAGAAGAGUCUCUUAACACUGGUAUACAGAAAAACUCUUGUUCUUCCACCAAAAACUCCAGGCUCUUCCCACUUUUCUUCUGGAAACUGAUUUGCAUAGUGGUUUUGCAUCUUCUGUGGUUACGGGAAUCUCACUACAUUCAGGCUGCAGCGCAGCCUGGACAGCUGAUGGCUCCCGCUGCCUCUGCUCACGAAACAACAUUAAGAGCUUCUGAGCUUUCUGUUUUCCUCUCGUCGUCCCAUUUACAGAAAUACAAACCAAAGAAGGAAUCACUCCUUCUUGAAGGACCAUUUGACUGCACUUCUCAUUGCCAUUGCAUAGUAUUAAAAGACAUGCAGCAGCUUGCUCCUGCUCAACAGGCUCACCAACAUCCAAAAUAGUGCAAGCCCACUGACAAGGCCAGAAGAAGAUAUGAUUUCCUCACGCGCUGAUCUACUUGCAGCCAAGUUUAUGACAACCGCAAUGGAUUUCUCUGUCCAAGAAUGGUCACCCGAAUUUGUGAUAAGGACUUGCAAACUGUCAAUGACACCAGCUGAUAGAAGGGGGGAUAUUGGCUUGGUGCCAGAAAGAUUAUAAAGGGCAUGGAGCGAAUCAAGCCUACAUUGUACAUCAGGUUGAUGCUGAAGAACCUGAAUCAAGAAAGGGACAGCUUCACUGGAUCCAAUAAUGGGCUUGGCCUCUUCAAGGCAAGACAGGUUAAGGUAAAGGGCUGUUGCAGCUCCAGCACAUUUGCAAUUAAUGAUCAUCUUCCCAGCAAUUCAAGCACUUUUCCUUCCAGCAUCAAGUCCUUGUUUCUGAAGAGCAGCAUAGUGAAAUUGAAUAAGAACUUCCAGUGUAUAAUAAUCUAUUCUAAUAAUAAUCCAUUCUAAUAAUAAGCACCUAUAAACUGCAAUAUAACCUCUAUCCCGCGUCUCUGUAGUUGAAAACAAUGUCCAAAAUUCAAGACAUCAAGAUUUACAAAGAAGUACCUGUUAUUAUUCACAGCCAGAUUGAAAAGAGCCAUGGCUCCAACUUCCUGAGCUGUCUCAUUCCUUGCUUGCAAGGCCGAGUCCAAAAACCGCAAUAAUGCUUCAACAAAACCAUUUGCCCCCAUGUAUAUUCUGGCUUCUUCAUCAUCCUUUAGCAAGUGCCUUAUCUGUUCUACCACUUUGCACUGUUUUGUUAUGUCGUCUUCUUUUUCUAAGAUGACCAAAAAGUCUUUAUACUUUCGAAUAAAUUGACCCCACAUUCAUGCUCCUGUGGAGAAACAUCUUCAACUUCAUUUCCUUCAGCUUCCUCAAUAACACCACUAUCCUCCAAGGGUACCACCUUCACACCCUUGAACUUGAAGUACCCAACAUUAUGGUUAAUUUUGAUUUUGCAGUAUCACUGUCUGACAGAGCCAAUCUCCAGUAGUUCAGAUCAAGAGACUCGGGAGGGCCAUCUGGAACAGGAACUCCAUUCUGUUCACACCAACUAGCAACUAGACCCUUUACACAGUAAUUUGGAGUCAAUCCAAGAUGACACAGCUGCUGCUGAGUUUUUGGGCAUGUCUUGUGCCCAUCGCUGAACCACUUCUCUAUGCAGAUUCUUUCAUACGUCUGUCCAGAAGCAAUAAUUACAGGAUCAUACAUGAGUUGCAAUGAUAUUGGGCACCUUAAUUCUUCAGGAGGACAGGAAUCUGCCCAGAUCUCCUGAAGUUUGGCUUGAAGUUAAAAGAGCUGAGUUUUGAGAGUUGUCUGUCAAAGGCAUGGCCAUUAAUUCCAGGCCCACUACCAUCCUCAAAUGAUCCUUGAACAGUUGGAGAACAAGGUGUAGAACCCUGUGAGUCAUUAUCAUCCGAAAAUUCAUUUCUAAAUAAUUUUGAUAUUUUCUCAUUAGAUGCAAAAGAUAAGCCACAAUUGAUUCCUUUCUUUUGUCUUCCUCAGCACGAGCUCUGUCUAUAAGUUUCUUCAAAGCCCGUCUCUCUCUAAGUGCAGCUCUUGAAGAUGUGAUACCAAGUCUAGAAGCAGCCUGGUGAAAAGAUUCAAGUUCACCAGUGUCGUUAGAGUUGUUGAAUUUUCUACCUUGCUGGAGCAAUGCAAUUAUCUCGUCACCAACUUGUUUCUCCAUCGAAUCAAGUGAGAAUUCAAUCCCCAUAAGAUCAAUCAAAAUUUCUGAUAUCUGAAAUUAGAAAAAGGCUGGGUUGACAUCGCUUCCUUCAAGAAGAACCAAUGAAAUACAAAAGGAGAAUGCACACUACUAGGUUAAGAACUUAAAUGAAAAGCAAUAGAAGAGGAGGAGGAGAUGACUGCAACAUUUACGAUGCAUAAGGCAGAUAGAUCUACAGGAUGAGGCUCAAAAGUCCAGAAGAUAUGGUAAAAUUUGAACAAACCAAUGUCCGAAAUGCUCAAAUCUCAAGUUGCCCCGAAAAAAUAGCUAAAACAUUAUUUUUCAACCAGUUUAAAAGUAGCAAAACCACAUACUUAUCUUGAUCCAAAAUCGUCUUUGCAAUACACAAGCACUUCAAAUGUCCGUUAAUGAAAUAUUAAUGAUGCUUAAUUAAUACAUGCAAGACUGAUUAGAGCAUACAUGUAUUGGACCACAUCAAAGACUAACAGUAGUAGCAGGAUCAAGUUAGAUCACUAAAAGAAAGAACUAAUAUAAACGUUACCUGUGAACCAAUAGCUUGUGGAACAAUAUCUUCGACACGCCUCAGACCAUCUUCAAGAGCGCAUCUUGCCUUUCUCGAACUUUAGAACAACAGAGUCACCAGUUAUAGCCUGAUCAAAAGAAUGUGUUAAGUGAAUAAGUGGAGAAAGAAGAAAUAAAAUUCGACGGCUUUCAGUAUGAUAAAGUCCAAAAUUCCAACUAUGAGGAAUAGCAUGCAAGUCAUUGUACUAUCAGAAAAACAGCUGAGUCGCCACUGUUUUCACGCAAUCAAAUAUUUCCUAGUAGCUGUCUAUCCAAAUAACAGGAAAGCGAGGAGAUAAAUCGUAUCUUCUGGUUACCAAAAUGACAACCAGAAAAAAACGAAUAGUUCACUAAAUGGCAAAUGCAGGUUAGAUUUUUUAUGACGUUUAGUGUGAGGGGACGAAUUGAGAACCAAAGUCAAGAAAAAAAUAGCUUAGAUAAACACCACAUGUAAACAAGAUCACAGCCAUACCAAGUAAAGUUUACUACACUCUGCACAGUGUUGAAGAAUAUUCUUCGUCUUCUCAAGGGCAAUGUGCAAUGCACACAAUGCUUGAAUGCCUGAUGUACUUCUUGGCCUUGCUGCUUCCAAGUCAGGAAAUAUCCCCAAUACUUUAGCAUAAAUUGCUGAUAAACUCUUACACAUCCCUCCAUGCAACUACAAAACCAACCACAUUUUUUGUCUUUUUGUCAAUUGCUUGCAACAUUCAUGAUAUUACAAUAAAGACCUUAGAAAGUUGUGAUUGAUAUUACAUAACACAACAAAAGAGUUAAACCAUCAAAGAUGCUGCAACAAAUUGGAUUCAAUGCCCUCAAAAGUACCUCCAAUUCAUCAGGUGAACUAUAUUUUUUCCUAACGUAAUCAAACUAAAUCCUGCUACCAAACAUGACCCAACUAUUAUUAUUAACAAAAGUGUCAUUUUUUCAAAGAGAAUCAUCAUACACCAAAAUGGCUGAAUUAAAAAGCAUAAGUGUACCGUUAGACAAAACCUUUCAUUGAGAACAAAAUGCCAAAUAUCAAGUACUAAAGGAAAAAGAAUCAAAACGAGUCAGACAAACAUGUACAUCAGAACCCUCCAAACAUCCAAUAUAUAGAACCAUCCAACAACCUAAAGGCAGAAUAUACCAAUUAGCAUACCUUUGGUUCCCCAAUUAAGAGCAAAAUUUCUUCAACUUCAGCAGUUUCCAUGAUUCACAUUAACGGGAUUCAACUUUACUCACCUGAAAAAUUAGUACGUAACUAGAAAUAAUCAGAAUCUAUGAAUAAGGUAAUGCACCAAUAACCAUGGCAAGUUAACUAAUAAAAAGAGAAAAUUUAAACAAUAAUAAAGUAAAAAUCAACCCCAAACGGAAAAUAGCAAAACUCAAAUCCUCAUCCAGAUUGUGGAAACGAAGAGAUGCUAAAAACAAAAUCCUCGCUUCUUUAACUAAAAACCCAUCACUUGAAAAAACAAAUUCUGACAUGUCAGAAUACAAGUUAGUUCCUACAUAAUUGGGAUUCGAAUGAGAUCAGAAAGGCAUAAUGAGGCAAACGAUGCAAUAGCUUUGGUUGGAGCAAAGUCGAAAAUUUUGUAGUUUUACUUAUAAACUUCUUAACAAAAAUAUAGGAGCGGAAAAAAUCUUAACCGAUGUAGAAGGAAAAUAUGCGUUCAAAACAACAGAUGAAAACGAGUACAGCAAAGCCAAGCCUAAAAUCCAACCAAAGAGCAAAUGUUUUUACCCAAAUGAUGUACAAUCAUGAUCAAGCAGAACCAAAAUACAAAAAGGUUUGCAAUUAAUCACGUACAAUGAUUGACGGAGGCUCGAGGAAAUGAAGACUUGAGCAGAAAUUAAGGACCAUGUGUUGUAUUGGCCUUAUCACAAGCAGAAACUUUAAUUGCUUCCUUUGACCAGCUUUAGCUAAUUUCACUAGUUCUCUCUCAUAUAUUCAGGAGAUAUUCAAGAAACCAUAUAGGAAGAAAGAGAAAGGGCUGCUUUUCAGAUUUAGACUGAGGGCGAAAGAGAUGAUUAUGAUGGUGAUGAUGAUGGAAAUUGGAAAGCCAAAGGUAAUGAGAGAGGGAGAGGCUUUGGUUAAUUUUAGCAGAGUAGGGAAGAGAGGGGCCAGGGGAGUAAAUAGGGAGGAAUAUUUGAAAUUACUAUUUAAAUAGGGGUACAAAAUAAAAUAAAUGAUAUCAAAUCUGGGGACUAUGAGUGAAGGUUAAUUUUUUCAGUAUUCUGUUAUGGAAAGUACUCUUUCAUCUUCUUUUUUUUUUUUUUGGAUUUAAAAAUGAUUUUCGAGGGUUUUCUGUAGAAAAAAUAAUAAUUUUGGAGGGGCUCUCGGAAUUUUGAAGGCCGAUUUUGUCUCCCAAGUUCAUCGGCCGACAGUUGCCGACCUCCUGGUUUGUCGGCUAGCAGAUCUGGCUUAAAUGUGAUUGUAAUUUGUCCAUUUUGCCAUCCUUCCUUCUCUUUCUAGUCACGGAGGUUACGCGACUUCUUUUUUGAACGAUUUUCACUUUCACCGGCACUUUAUACCUUGAGUGACCACGGAAUUUUUUUUUUUUUUCUUCCUUCAUUGUAUACACAGCAGUUUCAGGUGUUAGUUUUCACAUACAAUAAUUAUAACGGUGCCUAUUCAAAUGAUAAAUUAGAUAUAAUUUAAGUGUUGCUAACAAAUAAUAUUUUAUAUAUUGACAAUGCAUACACUAUCAGCGUUGGAUAAAUGACAAUUAUAUAAAAUUUAAAUUUAAAAUUUAACUUUUGUACGUAUGCUAUAAAUCAAACGACAUUAAUGUAUACACUAUCAGUAUAUAUAAAAUUUACUCAAACAAAUAUUAAUGAGUACUUGUCAGAAAAAUCAUAACUAUGAUAAUAUACAAUGAUAGUUUUACAUCUCAAUUGCUACUGCAUUUCUAGUUGUUAACUUGCAAGUAUAAUCAUUUUUCUCAUUUGCCCUGUUCCGUGGAAUAGUUGAGGAUUGACAUGCAAAAUUAGAGCAUUAUCAUAACCGUUUUGAAUGCCAGAACGGUAAUAAAUGAUUAAUUAAACCUAAGCAAAAGAGAAACAGUAAUCAAGUGCAAUAACAAGAAUCGGAUGAUGAAUAAGCAUCAUUUAUUUUUUAUUAAUUAUUAUUAUUAUGGUGGCUGCUUCAGCAUUUUUAAAGUGAUCAAGCACUUUGUGAAAGGAUCUGAUUUAAGUGGCAAGCUCAGUCGAAAAAGAAACAAAAAAAAAAAAAAAAAGCGAAUUAGGACAUGAUGGUGCUUAUUGAUUGCCUAAUAAAAUCUGCAAGGUGCGCCAUGAAAUAUAGCCUGACGUGUAAACCAUCCCGAUUAAACCCCAAGCUAUACUUUAAUAAUAACCGUGGAAUCCAAUUUGGCCACAUUUUAUAGAUAAACCCAUGCAAUAAACUAUCUAACCUGCCUGCAUGUUACGAUGUUCUUGAUUUAAAUGUCAAUUUCCCGUAUUUGUACUUUCAUCAAAAAGCAUAUUUUAAUGUCAUUUUGUGAUGUUCAUGAUUUAUCACCUUGGUAAGGAGUUCAUUUAUGAAAUAGAGAUUCUUUAACCAAAUUAACUAAGGCUUUGUUUGGAUUGCAUUUUUCUGAAUUUUUUUGGCAAAAAAAAAUUACUAUAAUGAUUUGAAAUAUGCGAGAUAAAAAAAUAAUUGAAAAAUGUGUCUACGAAAACGUUACAAAUUUUCUUUGAAAAUCUAGAAUCCAACACACGCCCUAAACAAUCUAUUGGAUAUAGAUAUAGAGGGUAAGAGGGCUUGCAAUUGAAUGUAAAUAUAUUUACCGACAAUUCAACACUAAAUCAUUUCCAAUUGAGGUUAUACUCCUAAGUAGCCUUUUUUAUAAUUUAACCUGCAUAUGCAACAAAUUAAGACAAUUGCAUCUGUUAAAUAGUAGCGGUAAAUCAUUAACAAAUAUGAGUCAACCAAUGACUAACUGUACAAUUUGUAUCAUAAUUUGAUUGCAGUAUUUUUACUUAAAAAUAAUAUAUCAAUACAGUUUUCACAUUGACAGUUUGAUUCGAGAUGAUUUCUUAGGAGCAGUGAUUCGAUCUUAUUAGCGAAGAAGCCGAACAUGUAUUAGCACAUGAUUUUAAUCUCACUUCUAAACUUUUAAAUCCAUGUACUUUCCUCUUUUUUUGUUUUAUUUAUCAAUUCCAUGAAUGUGGACAAAAAAACAGUUUGACAAGGGUCUUGAUGUAAAAGUCAAAAGGUUGAAACGUUUUAGAAACUGGAUGUCAUGAGUUCAAAUUCCUCUUUUUUCCUCCUCUUGUUCUUGAAUUCCACCUCCCCCUUGUGGGGACGGCGGGCCGGGGAUAGGGAGGUGCGAAGACUAAUGAAAAAGGAAUGCAGAGAGGGAUCACACGAACGAUUAGGACGCUGGUGAGGGCUACGGAUUGGGCAAAAAGGUAAAUUCGUAUUAAUUUGAUACUGUCGUCCCCAACUCUGACCAGCGGAUGUCGCCAUAGAUGAGUACGGCAAACGUGGAUUUAAAUUAGUAUCAGAUCAGUGCCAGUCCACGUGGGUGAAGUUUUCACCAUCGAUUUUCGCACAAUUAUUUUGCAGCGCAAUUGAACCUGCCAAGUGCCACCCAAGUCACCCCAAAACAAGGGAAAAUUAAAAUUGCCAAAGCCAGAUCCGUAAUUAGCGGAAACGCUUGUGCUUAUCCUAUGAUAUGGAGUGAAAUCGUGCUCCGGGUAGCCCACUUUGGAUUAGGCCAGUAAAUUAGGUCUAAUGAGUCGGGACUUUUGUAAGCUCGAGGCCAACUCAUUUAAUUUGUGACACCUUCAAAUUUCAGGUUACGAGUUUCGAGCUAAUAAAUGUAAAACUUAUAUUCAACUCUCAUAAUAUUCGAGUUAUGAAUCUUAUUUGAAUUUAGUCUAAAUUCACUUAUCAAUUAAUUUUAUUAAUAUAAUUUCUAUAACUAUUAAGUUGUAAAACUAAUUUAACAUUCACAUGAGUACAACAUUAAAACUAAAUAUGAACGAGUAAUGGUUCUUAAAAAGUAUAAAUCAAUAUUUUUUUCAACAAUAUUUAUAUUUAUUUUGUUCGAAGUAAAUAGAAAAUAGUAAUGAAAUAUGUGAUCAUAAGCCAAUAUAUUUUCAACUAUUGGAAUUUUUUCAUAGUCUUGUGACUUGAAUACAAACAUACCAACACAAAAAGAAAUCAAUUAAUAUUAUGCUAUGACAAAAAUUUAUUCAAUGAAUAAAAAAUAAUUACUCAAUAAAAAUAUCAUAUAAUUGGGUAUAGAAUUGAUUAAUUGUAUAUAAUAUAAUACCAAAACAUAAAUAUUAUGUAUAUUACCUAUAUAUAUCAGUAUAAAAUCAAAAUAUAAAUAUUACCUAUAUUAUAAUAUAUAUAUAUCUAGGUAGGGCCAGGCCUAUAUCGGGUUUGAAUCUGAUAAAUCCCAAGCUCGGCUCAUAGUUAAUGAGAGCCUAGUUUUGAAGCCCAAACUCAGCCCAGCUCACUGAUAUUGCAGAUUCAUCGAGCUUUUUAUCGAGUUGAACGGAUUGGACUCGGACUAGUCCGACCCUAUUGAAAAUCAUACUCUGGAUUGCUAGUUUAAAAAUAAAAAAUGUGAAAUUUUGAAGUUUUGGUAAAUAAAAAAUAUUGUAGAUAUGAGUGAGGUUAAAAAGGUGAUCACAAAAUAUGAAUUUUUUGAAGUUUUGGUUAAAAGAUAUACUAUAGAUGUAUGAAAGAUAAAAAGAUAAUUAAAAAAUGUGUUUAUAAAAAGCAUCAAACUGAGUAAAUCUUAUAUACACUGACGGCAUAUACACUAUCAAGGUUGGAUAUAUGACACAUACGCAAAAUUUAAGUUUUAAAUUUAAAUUCGAAUUAUGUGUCAAUGGUGAAAGUGUAUACACUGUCAGAUGAUUAAUCCUAAACUUUUUGCUUAAACAAUAGCAAUCCGAAUAUGGCUAUUUUUCUUUCUAUGGGUUAUGUUUUCUUUGAAGCUCGGUAAUUUUGGUUUGAUAUGCUUACUACCUUUUUUUUUCCUUCGUGUACAAUAUAUCUUUUGCCUUUUUCGACAUUCUCUUCUACAACUAAAUUUUUGAAAGCCAUGUUGGAAACUAGCGCUGAGAGGAGAAUCAUAAUUUUAAUUCCAACAGUUUGGUUCCUGAAGAAAUAAUUGAUCCUUGUUGCUUUUUAUUUUAAAGAAAAAGAAAAACAAUUGGCAAAAUAUAGCCCCUAAUUGUUCCACUUUCUAUCCGAAGAAGAAGAAGAAAGAGAUAAUUGACAAUUUUAGCAAUCACCAAUAACGAAGGUCACAUAUAGAUAUUAGUCAAAACAACAAGGUUAAAAUUUAUUUUUACCUGGGUCAGCAAAAAUUUAUGCAACUAGUUUUUUUUUUUUUUUUAUUUAAGGAUUUUUCUCUAACGGAUUGACACUCCUUAGUGUGCUUAAGUUACAUUUAACCAAUAUCUUGAACACAACAUUCACCCUCUUGCAUUUUGACAUUUUUUUCCGAAUCAAAUUUUUUACUUUUUUUAAAGAAAAAUUGACACAUGAAACUUCUCUUAAAAAGUGAUUACUGGGCCUGCUAGCCAAACUCCCUUUUAUUUUAUUUUUUCAGCCUAUUAGACUUCAUUGUUUGAAAUGGAAAGUGAAUGUGAUUUGUGUGCACAUUUUAAGUAUUUUAUUUAAUUAUUGUGGCUAACAUCCACGCGAUUGCCAUCAUCGUUAGUAAUUGGUCAAAUUCUUUUAAUUGUCUAUUUUUCAUAUCAAAAGUAACAGCAUUAAAGAUUAGAUUUGUUUACAAUCAAAUUUGAAAAAUUACGUCAUCGAAGAGUCUAAACUUUAGGUACCGAAACUGCAAUUAUUCCUUGCUUCAAAUGAUAAAUGUUUGCCUUUUGACACCUAACUUAGGAAUUGAAGGGUGGAACCGAGGAUCCCUUUGUCCCAUGCUACCAGGAAAAGGCAAAAAAGGAUGUCGAAUUGAACGCCUUCCGAGUGCUAAUACACAUUCCAAAAAAGAAGUGGAUUAGCAAGUGAUGGACUAUCAUUCCAAAUUUAUUCGUGCAUUCAUGAAGGGCAGUCAAAUCGUGCCUGCUUUACGAAUAGGAUCGAGGUUCCGGCGAAGCUGCCGGAAACUGUUCGUAGAAGCUUGAGAGGGCAGAUUGUACAGUUACAGGCUGAAGGGCAUGCGACAAACUAUUUUAUUUAUCCAAAACCCACAUCCCACGAGAAAACAUAAAUCCGUAGGAAGUAAACCAAGAAAAAAAAAAGAAGGGAUUUAUUCCAUUCAAAGCAAACACUUGAAAAGCCCAAAUCGAGAUUACAAAAGUGGCUUGAGUUUACCAUACCAUUCAGAUUCAAAAUAAAAGCAUAGCCAAUCAACAACUCACCUUGAACUUGAGCUCGAAUUCUUGGUGCUCAUUUGAAUUGUUAUUUUUAAAAGUUUUUAUAUAAAAUGUACCAAAAUAAUUUAAUUUGAUGUAUGUAAAAUAAAAAUAUUUUUCCCUAGAAAAACUAUCAUAGUUUUUAGCUUUUUGCCUGCUCACUUCCUCAAAAAUUGGGUGACAAAAACGCAUAAUGCAGCAUAAAUCAUCAGUCCAAAAGUUGGUGGCCACCACCAAAGCAUUAAAGUUUGAUGGGGUGGGAGGCAAGCGCUCACCAAAUCUUGCUUCCUACCAAUUGCCACGUUAAAAGUAGCCUUGUUUAAAAAAUUCAGGCCAUUGCGUAAUGCGUCCGUUUGAUUCGGGUGGUAGUUCAAUCCCCUCGAAAUUAUCCCUAUGACUGAUUAGAUCCGUUCUCUCUCCUAAUAUAAGAUAGAUUAGGUUAUAUAACAAUUAUGUCUCUGAAAAAAAAAGAGAAAAAAAAAGGGAUGCAUGCUGCAACAUGUUGUGAUGAUAAUUGUGCACAUGCUUUGAAAUAAAGAUGAAUGGACUAUGAAUUAUUGGGUGGGGAUGAGAGAUGCGGUGCUAGCGCGAUGCAUGUAGCAACCCAUGCGGGCGACGACCGACAGAGUGCGCCAUGGUGGCUGCUCCGGGAGCAAGAGGACAGCCACAUAUUAUCAAUCAAUUAACAUCGUCCAUACAUGAGGACACGAUCUAGUUCUUCCAGUCUCUCAAUAUUGUCUCGAUCGCGCUAGCUAUUCUGAACAGGGAAUUUUCAGUAAAUUAGGUUGCGCGGUUCUUUCAUGAUUCUGAUGUUAAAUAAACCUUUUUUUUUAAAAAAAAAAAAUUUUUGGUCUCUAUCGAUGAACAAUUAUUCGAACUCUGAACCAGGCUCAAAUUUGUUCCUAAUUUUAUCCACCUUUGAAGAAUAGAUACAGUAUUUAAUACCACCAUCUUUUAAGAUUUACGGCUACAUUAUUAGUUCGUAAACCAGCCGAAAUGGCCUGUCUAAUCAAUCAUCAUUCAUUUAUUCUCAUCACGCAUGCAUAACAUUUUUUCAUUUUUGCGCUCAAAUUGAUUCGAGUUGGAGGCCCUUCUUGCCCGGGUAAAUAACUUUUUUCGAACGGUUUGUAUUUGGAUAUAUAUAUAUAUAUAUAUAUAUAUAUAUAUAUAAUUAGUUAGGCUCAUGAUUUGUUGAUUAAUCAUUUGAUCCCUACCUAAGGAGACUGCUAGGGUUCUGUCUUCUCUGUCCUUUAGCAAUAUUCUUUCCUUCUUUUUUUUUUUUUUUUGUUUUCGUUUUUGCCCCAAUUUGGCCAUUAAUGUACGGGAACAUAAUAAAUUAUUAUUCUUUCUCUUGAACAAGGAGUCAAUAUUAAUAUGGGACGACAAACAAAAAGGGGUCAAAGUCAAACAACAUGAUUGCUUGUUGUAUUAACUAUUAUGAUUGAUUGUGCUCAAAUUUUCAAAUGAACUGGGAACAUUUGGAUUGGAGUCCAACGGUUUCAUUCAUAUAUAGUACAUUAGUAUUCAGAAGAUGGAAGUGGGAUUAAUUAAUUAAGAGUUGUAAUCGUACUACUACUUUUUUUUUAAAAUUUAUUUAUUUUCCCUUUUUUAAUUAAGCAUCUUACCUGCCUUUGCCGGUGGUGUACAUAUAUAUAUAUACACACACAUGACUACAUGAGUCAACCUUAGGCUCAUAAUUGAAGUCCAAGCAGUAGCAGCGGAUUCCUUGUGUUGGUCCUACCACUGCCAUGCAUGCCAUGUUACUGCAGCUACGUACUUUUCUAGUGAUGAAGGAAGGAAAGGGUUCUCCUCUCCGCCACAACUUUUUUGCGUACGAGGUCGGGGUGAGAUAUUUUUUUGCCUUGCUGGUGCUGUUACUUGUGUGGGAUGUGGAGCAUAGGGUACUAACUCUUCGGAUCCAGAUCUGAGAGAUAAGCGUUAUGGUCAUUAAUUAAUGAAUGCCUGCUCAUGAUGAUGAAUCGAUGAUGCAUAAAUAAACAUGGAGUUACUAAAACUGAUUGAAUUUGAUUGAUUACCUCUGCAGCUUAAUUUGGUAAUUAGGUCUGUCAAUCGGGCCUAAUGAGCCGUGCUUUGAUGAGUUCAAGUUCAGUUCAUUAAUUUGAAACAUUUUCGGGUUUCGGGCUAUGAGUUUCGGGUUCAUAAAUGUGAAGCUCAUACUCAACUCACAUAAUUAUUGGAUUCUGAGCCUUAAUCGGGUUUAGCCCAAACUCACUUAUUACUCCUUACUUUUCUUAAUAUAAUUAUUAUAACUAUUAAGUAUUUAGUAAAAAAUAUAUUUGGAUAUAUAAUUAUACAAUAUAAUAUAUAAUAUUAUAUAUAUAGGUAAUUAAAGGGCCGGGCCUAUAUCGAGUUUGAGCCUAAUAAGGCCCAAGAUCGCUCACAUUUAAUUCGGGCCUAAUUUAGGCUCAAACUCAACCUCGACUCACUAAAUGAUCGGGCUCAUCGGGCUUUUAUCGGGCCGAACUCGGGCUGGCCCAGCCCCAUUGGCAGUCCUAUUGGUAAUGCCAUUCCAAUUCCAAUUUAAGAUCUCUCAUACAUACGAAAACCUCCUCUCACACUCUAUAUAUAUAAUAUAUAUAUAUAUAUAUAUAUAUAUAUAUAUAUAUAUAGGGUUAAUUACAUUUACCCCCGAGAUUUGACAAAUAACGAAUCGAUCCCUGAGAUUUGACCAAAUAACAGAUUCCCCCCUCACACUAACUUCUGUCACUUAUAAGUAACGGAAAUAGCCAAAAGUCUGAAUAACCUUAUUAAUUUCCAUCAAACUUUUAAGACAUAAAAUAGAAAAUAUGUACUUACAAUUUUAGCCCUUUAGGCAGGAAACAAGACAGAUAGCGACUUUAUCAUUUCAACCCCUACAAUCCCAACAUCAGAUUAUCAUACUGCACUCUCACUUUUCUUGAACUCUCUUUCCAUGAAACCCUAUGUUUCUAUCGUUGCUUAAUCCUUAAAUCACUAAGAUAAAACUCAAAACUACAGUGCGUUGUCUACAUAUCAACAUAUUGUGGCUGGAGAAAUUUUUCACAACAAGGUUGUAGGUUCGGAAAGCUAUUGGAGGCCUAAGCAUGGUACUAUCUUUAACUGAUCAUUUCUUGCAUGGGUAUUAUAUACUAUUUGAACCAAAAAAAUGAGUUCUGCAUGCACGGAUCUAAUAUUUAUUUACAUUAGAUCCUUCUUAGUUUGAUUUCUAGGACACAAAUAUGCUUCAAAUUAGGGGUUUUUGAUUGUGAUGCAUCAAUACAACAUUGCCAGCAUUUUUUGUUGCUACUGCAUGUAUAAUAGUUAUAUGGGUGGUGAACGUAGUCAUAAAAACAAGAAAUCCAGAUUUAAUAAUGUAAAUCUGGAGUUUUUGUGAAUUUUUUUAAUAUAUCACUUUUUUCUACAUUGGCAACAUACAUAUGUAAUUUUAGUUGUUUGAACCACAAUAAGGUUGUAUUAGUCGUUUAUCAAAAUAGUUUACAAUUUAGAGUUUAAUAGGAAAUCUUUAUUUAUUUCCUGUUAUGUCAGAUUCCACGUUGAUUCAUAUCUUCAAACUUAGUUGCAUGCAAAUCGGUUUUUUCUCAUCAUAUUAAUGCUAUUUGUUAAUGAAGCACAUGAUAAACUUUGUUGUUUUCGUGUUUUAGGCUGGACUUGCAAGUGUCUACGACAUUACUCUUCAUUGUGAAAGCAUGAAGUUCGAACUAAGGAAUAUUGAUCCCGAUCGCUAUUCUUACAUUGACUUGUUAUCUGAUGUUGUUGUGAGAAUGUUUUGAAUCGUAUUUCUAGUCGACAAAAUAUCAUGAUUGCUUUAUGUUGUGAUAUCCCUGGUACUUGGAAACAAUGAACAUUGAAACUGAUUCGGAUGUGCUGGAAAUGUUGGUUUACAUAGGAGGAGAAUGGACGUAUCAAUGUUUAUGUUAGGCCAGGUUUGUGAUGAUGUUCAAGAGAACUUGAAUGAAAAUGCUGGUAAUGGGAACAAUAUUGAUGGAAAUGGAAUAUUAUGGGGCUGAAUUUAAUAAUAUUAGUGCCAAUGUUAAUAAUGAUAAUGAAAACAACACGGGAAAAUGGUAACAAUGUUGAUAUUGCUAUGAACUUUGAAGUGGUGGGUGUUAACUUCCAUGGGGCAGACAGUAGCAAUACCAAAAGGGCUGGUAAGAAGAAUUCAAAAGGUUGGGCAGAAGGAAAUGCUAGACAAAAUACUAUAACUAGCAAAAGGUUGGGUAAAAAAAGGAAUUCGAAAAUGUUUUGAAUGGUGUUGAUGCAGGGAUCCAGGAUGAAGUGGAAACUGAUGAUGAGCUAUAUGUUUAUAGUGACAAUGAUGAGAUGAGUGUUGACUUAGAUGAUGAACUAUUUAGUACAUUUGUACAAGAGGGAUUGGAAAAUGAGUUAGAUUCUGUGAGAGACUUGUCUAAUUAUGAGUCCAAUGAUGAAGUUGAAGCUGAAAAUGAGUCCGACAGUGACUUGGAGGAUGAUUUAAUGGGUGCAUGCCUAAAUAUUGCUGAGUUUUCCAUGCCUGAGGGAGAGAAAAUUUAGGCUCUUAAGGGAAUGAUAUUUGCAAAUGUUGAUACUUUUAGAAGGGUGCUAUAUGAAAUAUAAAAUUCAGUGGAUUUUCCUCUAAUUUUUGAUAAAAAUGAAAAGUCUAGAGUUACGGCGCAUUGUGGCAAUCAAAGGUUUGAUUGGAGAGUACAUGCUUCUCCAGCACCUGAUAAGAUGACAUAUGGUAAAAACAUGCACACCUGAUCAUACUUGUGUCAUGAGUGAAAAAUUGUUGCUGUCUGCCAAGUGGAUUGCAAGAAAAUAUAUUGACCUAUUGAGGGCAGAUUCCACUGUUAAACCUGAGCUAUUAAGGCAUGAAUUGGCUAAGUAUGGUGUUUUUCCUACUGAUAUGCAGCUUUAUAGAGCAAAGCAAAAGGCACAGGACAUUAUUGAUGUAGCCAUGGUGAUAGCUAUAGCUUGCUGCCAAAGUAUUGUGUCAUGAUUAUGAAUACAAAUCCUGGUAGUAUAGCUAAGAUUCAAUUUGAAAUGACUUUGGAUCAGCUGUUCCUUCAGUUAAAAGAAUGUUUGUGGGGUUAGAUGCACUAAAGAAAGGAUUUUUUGGUGGCUGCCUUCCUUUCAUAGGAUUUGAUGAUGUCACUUGAAAGGCGGCGUAUGGAGGGGUUUUACUUUCUGCAAUUGGUCUAGAUGGAAAUAAUGGAUUGUAUCCUAUUGCUUAUGCCAUUGUUGAGAGUGAGAAUGAAGAAAGCUGGAUGUUUUCUUUGAAUGGUUAGCUGCAAUGCUUGAUGACUUUCCAAGGGAUAGGCCUUGGACUUUCAUGACUGAUAGGCAAAAGGUAAGAUCUUAACAACUCAUUCAAUUAAUCAAUCACUGAUUUUGGGAUUUUAACACAUGUAUUUUUUGACGUUUGUAGGGACUGAUUGAAGCCAUUAACUCUAAGGUACCAUGGGCAGUGAACAGAAAGUGUUGCAGGCAUAUAUAUAGCAAUUUUAGAGGCCGUUUUCCAGGAGUUAUGCUUAGGCAAUUAUUUUGGCAAGCUUCCAGGGCUUACACUGAAGUAAACUUUAAGGAGGCUAUGGCCAAAAUUAAGGAUUUAAAACCUGCAGCCCACGAGUGGCUGGAGAAAAUUCCUUAUCACCUGUGGUCUAGGCAUGCUUUCCCCACAGAUUUGAAGAAUGAUCACAUCACAAACAACAUUGCUGAAUCUUUCAAUCAUUGGAUAGGAGAUCUAAGGGGUAAGAAUGUGUUAACAUUGCUGGACAAUAUUCGAUCUAAGUUGAUGAGUAGGCUGCUAAAAAGAUUUGAAAAAGGCUGUCUUUAUAAGAAUAAUGUGGUUUCAAAUGUGAAAAACAGACUUAAUGUACUUGCUAAUGAAUGUAGAAAGUGCACUAUACUGCUUGCAAGUGGUAACGAAUUCCAAGUGAAGGAUUGUAAUGUUUCUUACAUUGUGAACAUCAAUGAGAGAACAUGUGAUUGCAAGGUAUGGAACUUGUCUGGAAUACCAUGCAAGCAUGCAACAGCUGUUCUUAUUAACAAGAGAGCAGAUUUGGAAAAUUAUUGUGAUUUUAGCAAGACAAAAGAAUUUUACAUCAGAGCAUACAAUGAAGUCAUUCAUCCAAUCCCAGAUGUAAAGUUUUGGCCACCUAUUGAAGUGAAUCCAUCAAAAGUACUACCACCAGUACUUAGAAGAAAAGCUGGCAGGCCAAGAAAGGCCCGGAGAAGGGAGCAAGGAGAAGCACCAGCUGUAGGCCAAGGAAAAAGAUCAUCCACGCUGAAGUGUAGUUUGUGUCAACAAUUUGGGCACAAUAAAAGAGCUUGUGAAGGUGGUCCAAAGAGGGAUAGAAAAGGCAAUUUCAAGAGAAGAAAGGUGGAGUGCACUAUUCAAACUCUUACAUUCUUACGUACCAUGGACUGUAAUCUUAAGCAUUUUCUAACCUUGUUUUCAUUCUUACUGAAGUUACUUGGUCAGACCAGUGGAAUGGAACCUCGUGUAUCUACUGGAACUAGCAGACCAACAUCUACUUAUUGUCCCACACAAGAAUCAGUUACUCUACCUGCUGGAAGUACACAACCUCCCAUUGAAGUCUCUCAGGUGACUUCUAAUGUCAUGUACUCAAAUUCUCAUAUUUGUAGAUUUUGCUAACUAUAAACAUGCAUGAAAUUGUAGGGAGAAAGCAAUACUAGACAUGUUGCUUUAUCUCAAACACCUGAAGAAAUGUUUGGGAGUUCAAGAGCUUCAAAUCUACUGGGCAAAAAUCUUGCUGCUAUGGUCAUUGGAAGAAGAUCAGUUGCUGGCAACAACAAUGGAGGGUCAAUAUCAGGAUCUAUUCCUACUUCAGCACAACCAGGGCCUACAUCAACAUUGCCAGCAACUUCUGAAAAAAAUUCUCAAUCUAAAUAUGCAAUGUUCUAGCCUUCAGGCUUUGUUUACAUAUGCUUUUUUUGACAUGGUUGCAAAUGAAGAUAAUUAGGAUUCUCAGUCUAUUGUGCUUGUACUUAUUAGACUUUAUGGCCAUGUUAUGGUCUUGUUGUUCUGUUGACGGUUCAUAGCACAUAUGUGGUGCUGAUACUGAUAAAACUCUGUGACCAGUGUAUGGUCUUUUUGUUCUUUUGAUGAUUCAUAGCACAAUGGAACUAAGUUUUGCUUGUUUCUCUGUUUGUUUUCACUAGCUCUUUUCAAGUGCUUGGUAUGAGAUAUUUUAGAUUUUAUGCAAACUGUUGAGUGCAGCUGAGUGGUCACAUAUUGCAUGAUUUUCCAGCCAGGGUUAUGCGGAAGAGACUCAGGUUAUUUUGCUGAAAUGGAGUAUGGUACGCCUAAUUGUGUUCUUGAUAUAGGCACACAGUACGCCUCUUCAGGAUCCUGAGUUGCGGCUUGAUGAAAAGAAGCUGAUUCUCAGCAAUAGCGUAUGCAAGGAGCCUGUUAAAUCUAUACCUUGGAGAUUAAUUUUGUCAAAAUCUCCUGUGUGGGCCCUUAUAAUUUCUCACUUCUGUCACAAUUGGGGAACAUUUAUUCUUCUAACAUGGAUGCCUACAUAUUAUCACCAGGUGCAGCCUCAUUCAUUUGUGGCCUCCUCAACUAUAGCUUCUAGAGCUUUAAGGACUUCUUCUAAGUUUACCAUGAUAUAGUUCUCUACGAGUUUGAUUUCUCACCUGACCUCUAGAUUUGUAAGCUUAAGCUUUUGAUGGUUAGUAUAAUAUGACAUUUUCUCUAAACAAGAAAAAACUGAAAGGAUAGUAAAUUGGCAGCUCUGCAUUCUAGACGAUUUGCUUGUUAAAUCCUGAAAUUAGUAAAAGUUUAUGCAGUUCUACCUUCAACCAUUGGUUCCUUUACACUUCCUUUCCCUUGUCUAUUCAAUUCUUCUUCUUCUUCUUCUUCUUUUUAAUUAUUUUCAUACUCCUUGUUUGUACUAUUUUUUGAACUAUGAAAACAUGCAUAGCCUAACAUGUUAAAAGUAUAAUGAUAUCUUCACGCGUCACUUGGAAAUGAUGCUGAUGCUCCUAGUAUCGGUUUCUUUUGUCAUUGUUUUCUUGAAAUAAUUUUGGAUUUCAUAUUACUGCUCACAGUAAGUCUAGAAUUCUCUUCUAGAUAAUGAAGUCACGAUACUCACCAAUUUUCAUGUUAAUAACAGCUUAAUAAACCAUAUGAUCGUACUGACUGGAAAUGAUAUUGUUUUCUUAAUUCUGUUACAGGUGUUGAAGUUUAAUCUUACUGAAUCUGGAAUGUGUUCGGUCUUGCCUUGGCUUACCAUGGCCUUCUCGGCAAACGUUGGUGGGUGGAUUGCUGAUUCUUUGGUGAGCAAAGGUGUAUCUGUCACCAUUGUUAGAAAGGUGAAGUAUUAUGCAUGUAGUUGAACUGACUAAUGUUUAUGGUUAACUCAUUGUGAUUUAUUACGUUGGUUUUGGCAUACUUUGUGCUGGUGAUGACGAAUUGUAAAUUGUCAACACAAUCACAUAGUGUGCAAAGUCUAAAUUGUGAAGAUAUGUACAUGCUGGACCACUUAUUUUAGCUACAUCCACUGAGGCUGGUUAUGAUAGGUCCAAUCUUUUUCAAAGUUGCUUUGGCCUUCCUGUGGCAUUUGCACUUGAGUGCAGCUAGAUUAGUCUCUUUUAGUUGUAAGUUCAGUGGCUGAACUAAUUUAAUGUUUUGAGAUCUUCGUGCAGAUAAUGCAGACGAUUGGAUUUCUUGGCCCUGCAUUUUUCCUGACUCAGUUAAACCAUGUUGAUUCUCCUGCAAUGGCAGUUUUGUGUAUGGCCUGCAGUCAGGUCUGUGAAUACCAUACAAUGAAUCAAACAUUAAUUAUUAUCUAUCUUUUUACAUAGGAGGACUUGGGAUUCGAUCCUUCUUCCGAAACCAAGUUCGGUUUGAAGAAUUUGUGGAUUUCAGUCCUUAAGCUAAUUGUCCAAAUAUGUUUUGGCAGUGGUAACAGCUGAGACAGGGCUUCUGGAAAAAUUGACAUUCUUGCAAACCAGAGGAGAUGUAUUGAGACGUUGCACCGAGUCAAUAGUUGUGAACGGUUUAGGACUUGGAUUGGCCCUUCUGAGUGGUAUUGUAAUAUUAACAGCAGUUUUACCAAAGCAUGAAGCUCCACACUUUAAGAUGAUGUACACAAACAACAAAUGCUUGUCUUCUCAGUAACAAUUAUCCAAGUUUUUGUUAUGAAUAAUUAUUUUAAUUGUUUGCAUGAAAUGAAGUAGACUAUAAACAACUCGAAACAACCAAACGUUAUACCACUGAAAUAACACUAGAGGUUCCAUUUCAUCCAAGAACAUUUACAACAAAUCUUUGUAGCAUUUUAAACUAGACACAAAAGACAUUUCCAUCAGCUAACACAUAUGAGCCGUGAAAAUCUAGAAAGCCAGUGCCACUUUUUUCAACUUCUUAACAUGUUUAUAAGUUGGGCAAACAAGUAUGCAGCCAACAAGACAAGAUUUAUUGCUACCAAUAUCUUAAUAUGCCCAAGCCAGCUCCAAAUAGAACAGAGCACCGUAUUUGCAUCAUUUCUUUGGAUCAUAUGACUUGCUGCACCAACGUCUCCAUCUACAUUUCUCCUCAGCCAUGGAUUAUAGUUUACUUCAGUAAAUUCAGAUCUUGCACCUUGCAUAAAUCUUGGGUUAUAGUUCACCUCAUUCUCUACAACAUAAUUUGGCAAAACCCACUUCAACCAUCCAUGCACACUACAAUUAUAAUAAAGCCUUCGGGGGUUCUUUUGUGUUCGAGAUACCAUAAUUGAAGCUAUUUGACCACAACCACAUCUUAUGCUCUCAAAGCUCAAAUUUUCAAUAUUUGAGCUAUUGCUUGAUAAAGCCAUUCCUACAAAAUAAAAGUCAUAUUAUAAAAGUAAAAACAUUAACAGCAACCAAACUCAAUUAGAGUAGGCAUUAAAGUGACAAAAAAUAUAAUUCCUGCAAAAUGUAAUUAACCCUCAUAAGAUUUACUAAAAGCUAAUCAAUUAGGCUUAUUGCUAACAACUACAAAAAUAUUACUCGUUGUUUUUACUUUGCAAAUUAUUUUUAAAUUAAACUCUUCAAUUUCAUCUUAUUAACAGACCAUAAAUCGUAUAAUUUUAUAAACCCCAAACCUUGAGAUAUCCUAAAUGUGGCCACGGAAUAACAAAAUACCAACAAAAGCAAAUAAAUUACACAUAAAUGAAAAUUAAUCUAAGAAUGAUAAUGUCAUAAUUAAAGAACCCUUAAAUUCCGUCUUAAUUAGAGGCAACUCCAUAAAUUCUUAAAUCCCAAACCCUAAACAAUAACUCUUUCAAUAUUAACUCAUCUUAACUCACCAUUACAUUAUGAUUCGGAACCAGCACAUGCUUACCUGAUGUAGCGGCAAGUUGAUUUUUACGUAAGUAGCUUGAUUCUCUCCAAGUUUUGUUGCUGUUGUUCUCUUGAAGUUUUUGCUCGUUAAACUUGGGGAAAAUGGGCCCUCUUUUUGUCCAGAUAAAGGUAGGCAAUGGGGAUGUGUUUUUCUUCUCAAGUCAAACGUGAUUGGGAUGUAAAUUAUAUAUUUUUAAUGAAAAGGGUAUUUUCGGAACUAUAAUUAAUCUUCAUUACAGCUGGAUACAAUAAAUGGCAAUUUCGUCAUUCCAAGUUUUCUUUUUCCUGAUGUCAAGUACAAUGACUAACGUCUCUUAACAGUAGGGGGGUGAUUGUUAAAUGUCUGGUUAUUCAAAGGGGUGGACUGUUAUUUGGUCAAAUCUCAGGGAUCGAUUCGUUAUUUGGUCAAACCUCAAGGGAGGUAAAUGUAAUUAACCCAUAUAUAUAUUUGAAUUCUCGCAAAUCAGUGGCCCUCCAUUUGAAUUUCCGUUGCAGUUAUGAUAAAAAUCAUCAUGCAUGCAUGCCUGUCAAGUGUCAUGUUGGUGAUGUCCAAUCCAUUAUCCAGCCAAGCCAUACAUAGGAGCAUUUUGUUAUAAGUAGUAGUAGUAGUAUUUGCCUGCCAUUUGGCACCAGUUCUCUCUUUUUUUUUUUUUUUGGUUUAUCAAUCAAUCAAAAUUCAAAAGAAGCAAAGGGUUGGUGUCCGUACGAUCCAAUUAGCUACUGAACUCUCGGCUUUUGUUUUCUUGUGGGUAUAAAUUCUGAGCCUCAGAUGGAUGAGUUGUGCAUUGAUUGAUCUCAACAAACCCCCCAAAGACUAACAACAACACGUUUGGAUUGGAGGUUUAAAUUCGUGGGGUACGUUGCAUUGCAUAUUUGCAUUGCAUUGCAUUGAUUGGGCAGUUUCUUUUGGUGGAUUAAGGACAUAAUAAUAAUGUUGGAUUCAGCAAAUGCAUGUGAAUUGUGAUCCACAAUUACAAAAAAGUUGGUUGCUUGCACCUUCUUUGCAUGAAAAUCCACCGAAAAUGGUCAUAACUAACUAUAUCACACACACACACACACACACACAUAUAUUCACCCAUCAAUUACUCGAUUCAAAAUUUUUUCUCUCUCUCCUGAAAGUCGUAGUGAUUUGUCCCGCAAUAAUUUGUCUCUAAACCAUUUAAUAAAUCGCAAUUUAUCUUAGUACCAGUAGUCUUUUUUGAAGCAAAAGUCUUGCGUGGCCACUGACAGUAAGAAUUACUAAUUUGAUUACUCGCGUGGCCCCCAAAAGCAAUGAUUUUUUCCUUUCUCCGUUUUACUAGUUUGAUGAACGCUGUACUGGAUGACUGACUGUUAGUAGUGGCAUUUGCUACUUCUGGACACAUUUUUUAUUUCUCAUAAAAAAAAAAAGCUUGCACCCGCUGGUUUGCCCGAGAGGUUAAGGGGGAAGACUUAAGAUCUUCUGCACAUAAGUGCGCAUGGGUUCGAACCCCAUAGCCAGCAAAUUCAUUUUUGAUUUAUAUUUCAGCCCUCAAUUUCCAAAAUAGCAAAAUUCUCCAAAAUCAUUUUUUGACGUAUCUCUCAACCUUCAAUUUCCAACAUGGAAUUCUCAUGCAAACUCAAAUAGGGAACCCUCUGUCUAGGCCAUAAUUUUACAACAUUUUGGAAAAACACUCUUCUUCAGGAAGUUGCAUCUUCUUCGACUUAAAUUCAUAUAGUGAUGGAUGGGUUCAGGGUUGUCUACUGGACACUUGUUAGAGAAAUCAUAUGAUGAUCAUUCCAUCAAUCAUAUUGAAUAAUAAUGCAAGAAGCUAAAGUAAUUAGGAUUUACUCUCAAACCCCCUUACACGAAAAAAGGGGAAAAAUAUAGGUUUGUUUCCAACAUUAUGCUUCCUCAUUAUUCUAAUAGAGGAGGCCAAAUUGCAAAAGUACCCAAUCCCAUAGAACCUUUUUUUUUUUUUGGUCGAAUGGGAGGGUUUAAAGUCAAAAUCUCCUAUAAUCCCUUGCUCUUUACCAUCCAACCCAACUCUUUUCCUGAAACUCGGUUAUAAUAUUGCUAUCCAAACACAGGCAAAAAUAAUUUUUUUUUUCCAUGUUAAACUAGUAAGACCAACUUUUGUUAUGCUGCUUACGAAUCAUCGCAAUUCUGAAGGUAUUUAACUUGCAUUGACAGAAACCAAUUGUCACCCAAAAUUUCCACAGAAUGGCCGGCCCGUGUCAUAUUAGCCAUUGCCUUUCCAUGAAUUGCAGCCCAUCUCUCUUCCGAGUGGGCCUAAUAGACGGUGUGUGCGUGCGUGGAGCCCAACUCUGUCGCCAGAUCCAAUCCUCCUCGAGCCCUCUUUCUUUAAAAAAACGAGUCCGCUUCGAUUUAAGAAUCCGGGUCCCCAUUUUAUUCGUACCAUUCUAAUGCUUUAAAUUAGCGCUGGAGUUUUGAGCAAAAAACUUGAAUAUAUUCGCAGUUGCACGGUGAAUUGCCAAAUUUUUAUCCGCAAUUAUCUGCUCUCUGCAACAAAGAGGUAAGGAAAACGUAAAUCUUGCUCUCCCUACUGUCAUUGAUCGCAAUUAACUUUACGAUUGGGCUGAUUUCUUUAUCCAAUUCAUGAGAAAUUUUUAGUUUAGGUAAUUUCUGUACUUUUAGCCGAAUAAAGAUGGACAAAGAGAGAAAUCAAAGUUUGUUUAUCUUGAUUUUCUGUUUGAUUGCUCAAAAAGAAAUUUUUUUGGUCGAAGGUGACAAUGAUGAAGAUUGACUUCAGUGGACUUGAGCCGAAUUCUUUGUUGAGGGGAAACCCUAAUGAAUUGCUGAGCGGGCUUUCGACUGCCCCAGAAUUUCAGAUUCCUAAUACUAAUGAUGUAAGCCUUUUUAAUAAGUAUCUUUUGCUCUUUUGUUGUUGGGUUUUUCUUAUUUUUAAUUUAACAAAAUCUGGUUGGAUGUUGUGUCUAGUUUGAUGGGUUUCAGAAAGAAUCGGUUCAAAUGGUUAAGCCAGCAAAGGAACGACGACUUUGGCUUUCAUUUUCAAAGAAGGUGUUAUAGUAGCUGCUGACUCGCGUGCUAGCAUGGGCGGUUAUAUAUGUAAGUAUCUGGAUGUUUUGAUUGAGCUGAUGUUCUUGUGUUAAAUGAGGUUGUAGUAUAUAUUUGUGGUUGAAUUCUAUUAUCCUUAGAGGGUGAUUUUGAAAAUUUACUGAUACUGGUUGGUGCUGAUCGCUAUAUUGUGAUUGGUGAUUGUAUGCAACAAUAUUGGCUGUUUAAUAGUUCGACAUGUUCGUUUUAGAGUUCUGUUAAGAAAAUACGUUAGGAUGUUUUAUUGUUUGCUGUUAAUAGUUUUGAGGUUGAGGCUUUUUUUUUUGGCUUCAUAACGGCUUUAUCUAGGCUGUAGCAAAGCAUGGAAAAUGUUUGAGUUUGAAAUCUGUAAUUUUCCUCGGAUCUAUGACUCCCGAGACUUAUGUCAUUAGCUAUCUGAAUGCCUUAAAAAGCAAUAUUUUGUCGUAACAGUACCAUCUUAUGAUAUUGGUUUUUAGGACAAAUCAAAUUUGACCAUCCUAAAACUUCAUUUGGUUGUGAGGCUUCUACAUUUCUUAAUUCUGCUAACCAUCAUCAGCGUUUACCAAGUUGCAUGUGAAAGGAGCGAUUUUGCUGAUGUAGUUUUCUGCUAAGGUCAUUAGAAAGAUGUAUCUUGUAAUUUGAGUGCAGUAAACUGGUAGACUAAACAACCUGCAGGUUGAAACUGCCUUGCGAGCAUCCUUAUGGUCAUUUGUAAAGCUCCUCUAGCAUCGUCUCAUGUUGUGGAUAAACAUAUAUGAGAAGUGUAACUUGAAUGAGGUGUGCAGUUGUAUAAAUUAAGGUGAUCCAACAAUGUAAUUAUAGUUCAUUUUAUGCUCUCUCUCUCUCUCUCUUACUUAGUUGAGCGUGUACCUUUCUUUUGAAACUUAGCACUAUAACAAGGCUUUGCACUUAAGAACUUGCUCAUAGAUAUCAGAAUUCUUACAGAGUGUAUGAUUUCCUCAUCCUAGCUAGUCAAUAACUGUGGGCGUAUGAAGCAACAUGCCCCUGUGGAAUGAUCAACAGAGUUGCAGAUAGUGCAGAUCCUUGGGUUGCGUCACUGUUUGUCGUACCUUGGGCUAGGCUAGUUCUGGAUGUAUGCUCUUGAACCUUUAGCUAGGGUGAAUGCAUUGAAUGUUGGAUGUACUCUUUUGUUGCUAGCAUGUCUCUGUUGUUAGCAUGUCUCUGUUGUGAUCUUCUGCAUUAGGGGCCCAUAUUGGAGAACCAAGCGCAAUUGCCCUUGUAGUAGCGCUGCUUGCCCUGGUUAGCAUAGUUUGGUACCCAUUUGAAUGGCUGAUAUGUGUCAUAUUUGGAUGUCACUUUUACCAGAUUCUUAUAUGUUGUGAUGGACCUAUAUACCCCACCAUUUCUUAAUUAAUGUGAUGGACCGUAUACUUUUGAAAUGUAAACAUAGCUUUCUCCUGAAGCUAUUUCUGAUGAUGUUCAUUUUUUGACAAAUGAAAAUUUUGCCAUAACUAAACUUUGUCCACUGCAUUCUGAAAAUCUACAACUGUUGUAUUAAAGAUUGGAAAAGCUUGGCAAAAGAAGAUGUUGCUUGUCAUUAAACUUAGUUUUUGUCAUACUUUUACCGAGCUCUUCAAUUUGCUUAUCAUGCAAAAUGAUAAAUAUGCCAUGAAAACUAAGCCACAGUGUUGAUCCUGCAGCUUAAUAUCCUUUGGUGAUUUUUAAAGAAUAAAAUUUGUAUUAGCUAUUAACCCUGUUUUAACUCACAGCAUCACAAUCUGUGAAGAAAAUCAUUGAAAUUAAUCCCUACAUGCUGGGCACAAUGGCUGGAGGUGCUGCUGACUGCCAGUUUUGGCACAGAAAUUUGGGAAUAAAGGUACUUUUACUAUGCAGAACCCUCUCUUAGUGAUACUAUUAUGUCUAGAGAGCAAGCGCUAUGUUGUGUCCUCCUUUUUUCUGUUGGAUCCAUGCUGCUCAAUGAUGUUAAAGUACAUGGAUAGUGGUUAUUCUUUUUUUUUUCUUUAGUAGUAUUUCAAGUAAUAGUUGUAAUCAAAAUCUGGGUUAAUAUAGCUCUCUAGAAUUAUUGAGCAUUCCCUAAUCUGUUUGCUUGAUUUAGUAUUCAGGUAGAAUCAGGUGAUUAGGGACACUUAAAAGUUGGGAUGAACGUUGGUCAUCAUGCUUGUUAACUGCCUCUGGACUUUACAUGUUCCAUGCAUUAGAUUAUAUAUAAAUGACCAUAUCAAAAUUUAGGAGUUGGGGAAACAAUAAAUGAAUGGAAUCAUGUUUACAGGGACAGAAUAAGUCAUGAAAUUUUCCUCUAGAUUAUAAAUUUUCUGCAAGAUGGGUGCUAAAUAUAGAAAAAUUGGACGAUUAACAGGCAAAGAUCUUAUCUCGCUUCAGAAUUAGUCAAGUAACGGUUCCUUUCUGCUAACUUUGCAACAUUUCAUCAAUGUAAUGUUUCGGGUCUGUCAUUACACAUUUUUCUUUGGAAGUUGGUUUGCAUGUGCCUAUUAAGCCCAUCUGGAAAAGCAGAAAGCCUAGUAAAAAGUUAGUUACUUGUACAUAAUGCAUUAUCUGGCUAUGGGAAGAAAAUUGAUCGGUAGUCUUGCAUAUUUCAGUGCCGCCUACAUGAACUCGCAAACAAGAGAAGAAUUUCUGUUACGGGGGCGUCAAAGUUGCUAGCCAACAUACUGUACUCUUAUCGUGGAAUGGGGUUGUCUGUCGGAACAAUGAUUGCUGGGUGGGAUGAAAAGGUACUGCUGGUUUUCUGCAGGGAUUUGUCAUGUAUUUUGUAUGCAGAUAUAGCAUCAACUCUAUGUUCUGACUGAGCAUUCUUUAUGUGUUUCUUUAGGGUCCUGGCCUAUACUACGUGGACAGUGAAGGGGGACGGCUUAACGGAAACAGAUUCUCUGUCGGAUCUGGUUCACCAUAUGCUUAUGGUGUUCUUGAUAGUGGGUACGUUCUUUAUAUAUUUUUCUGCUCCAUCAAUCUUAGCAAUUCUUUGUUGUUUCAGUGGGUCAGAAGUGAAGGCUGGGGUCUGCUUGCAUCAUUCUUUAAAAUGCUUGCCUUUUUCGGGUGUUUCUAAUUAAAUAAAGCACGGGUGGUUGCUAAUUUUCCUGAAACGUCUUUUCUCUUGGUCACUUAUCUAGGUACCGCUUUGAUAUGUCGGUAGAAGAGGCUGCGGAGUUGGCCAGGCGUGCGAUUUACCAUGCUACAUUCCGGGAUGGUGCCAGUGGUGGUGUUGUCAGUGGUAUGCUUCCUCUCUCCUCUGCUUGUAAUCCGAUUCUAUACCUGAAAAUUUGUCGGUCUGUUCUAGUCUUAAGCAUGUUUUUUCUGUUGCUUUGUCUUUCUGGUUUUCAGUUUAUCAUGUGGGACCUGAUGGGUGGAAGAAGCUCUCUGGCGACGAUGUUGGGGAACUUCAUUAUGCAUAUUAUCCAGUUGAGCCAACAGUUGAACAUGAAAUGGCAGAGGCAUCAUCUUCUUGAGAUACUACGAUAUUUUGGGGGGGGGGUGGAUUUUACCUUCAUAUAUGUUCACAAUUUGUACUUUGAUAUUAAUCUUGCAAACAGUUCCCAGGAGACCUCCUUUAUGGUUUUCUAGUUUCUUCGGACCGUAGGAUUCGAGAAGGCUACAUUUAUUUUUCCAGAUUUUGCUUCUUGCUGGUUCUGCUUUUGGUAAAAAAUGUAGAUUAUUCGACAAUCAUUAACAGUUCGUUUGGUAGUUGGAUUUAUGACUUAACCAUCAGUACCUUACGAUUUGGUUGCAGUCUCUGGUGCUAGAUGCCGGAUAUGGUUUGUUUCAGUUGUUGUACUUGAUGACAGAUCUAAGAAGAUAGGCGGGGAAUUGAGCCCCGCGUGGCGGUUUGUGAAUUUGCAGUGUCCUGGAAAGAAAUGUGCAACAACAAUAAAAGAGAUUUGAGCUGUGUUGUCAGAGUUGCGGGAUAUUCAAUUUGACACCAUUCUCAGCUAUGGAGGGAGGAAAGUGAAAAGGAGGUGGUGGAGCAGGCCGUCAGAGUCUAGUAAAUUACGAGAUCGGAGGCUGUCAUUUGAACUGAUAGAACCCAAUAGUUGAACUUGUCCAUUUCCGUUGGAGGCUUUUGAUGUAUAUAUAUCUGUCUACUAUAGGAAACGAGGAAGGAAAGGAAAGGAAAAGAAAGAGGUAUUUCGUCGUUUAUAUUGCACGCGAUGGGAUGCAGCAAGGGGGGAGUUGGGAAUGUAACUUGUUUGCAAUAAUUAGUAGUACAUGUCUUUUGCUUGAAGCACCAGUCGCGUCCGAAAACCUUGCUCGUUUUCUUUUCAGGGUAAGGGUAUGAGUCGUAUGACCAAGACCAACCUCAUACAAAAAAAAAAUAAAAAAGAAGAAGAAGACGAGGAUGUGGACUUGGCUUUGUGGAUAUGGCACAGGGAUUAGUGUCGGAUCAUGAUUUCCCGAAAAAAGUAGAAUUUAUAUGGGUAGUGCUUCCGUUAACUUUGCUUCCUAGACAAUUUUAUGGAGUGUUUGACUAAAUAAAUUUGGGUAAUGUGUGAGGAGGGGCGGGGCCUGCAGAGACUGCUGAACAACUUCAAACAACAAAGUAGUCGAUGGAUGAUUCGUAGGUGGGGGAGUGGGUUUAGAAAUCCCUUCACUGCAAAGCAUCAUCUUUUCUUUUUCUUUUUCUUUAUGUGUGUGUGGGUGGUGUUGGUGUUUGUGUUCAAAUAGCAUCUUGAGUUGGUGCUUCCGUUUCAUCCUAUUAUUAUUAUUGUCUCCCAAAAGCAUUUUCUGUCAUUUGCGGCUUAGCAAAGUUGCGGCCCUGAAAAGCACACAGCCGCCCUGCUACUGCUAUAAAUAAUCAUCAAUCUGUUGAGUUGAUGCUUAUGAUAAAUUGAGGGAUAAUCCACUUCCCCCUUGUACCAAACCAAACGUCACUUUCUCGGACGGGAAAAACAACCGACGAGUUUAGAAGCUACUAGUAUAAUAUAUAGUUCCGUCCGAAUGAAACAUUUGAUCCACAAAAAAGAAAAAAAAAAAAAAAGGGGAUUGGAUAUGCAGCAGCAUGUUGUUGUAGUACAUGUAAUACAUGAAUCUCGUCGUCUGCUUAGAAAAUCCAAUCAGCUCUCCGCAAAUGUGGAGUUGAUGGCGUCAAUCAGCAGCACAAUGGAUGAACUUCAUGAAACCAACCAGGUGCAGGUGCAGGUUCAGGUUCAGGUUCAGUAAUCGAUCGUCUAGGGUGACGACUCACGGACCAAUCAUCAUUAUUAUUAUUAAUCAACCGAUUCCGUUCUCUCUCUCUUUUUUUUUUUUUUUUUUUUCCUUCCAACAAAUGUGGGUCCGAUGAUAGCUUCAGCUAAUAUAUAUAUAUAUAUAUAAAUAUAUAUAUUUUUUAUAUAAUUUUAUAAAUCUGUGCCUGAAAUCAAUUGUCCGAUUGGAGGCGCAGCAGCAUUAGCAUCACGUGCAGAUCAGCAGACGGGAGGUACAGGUACUACCCUUGAGUGAUGUACUGCUGCUGUCUGGAGAAAUGUACGCAGAGAAGAAACAAACGACGUAGGGAGCUGGGAUUUAAAACAUUAUUAUUAUUAAUUGGUUUGUGUUUUGUUAGCUUCUAAGCAUGUUCUCAUGAUUGAGAGGAAGAUGUAUACAUAAUAAUAAUGGAUAAUCAAUCAUGAAUAUCUCCACCAAAGCCAAUUUGUAUCCGCGUAAUAAUAAAUAAUAAUCAUCAUAGAGUGAUGCAUUUGUUACUCGUACUCGUCAUGGAGAAUCAAGCAGUAGUAGCAGCAUUAAUCAACAAAGUAAUACUCUAAUAUUUGAAUUUUAAAUUUUCAAAUUUCAGUUUCACCGCGCUUUAAAAAAACACGUGAAUUUUAGCUAACGUCAUUAAGCUUAGGUUGAAGUAAAAACCUAUUUAUUUAAUGAUGGAUCAUCGUUUCCUUUAAUGCCAUGGAAUAUCAGCAUUAUUGUUGCUUUAUGCCAGUUUUGAUUGAUUUGUCAAGCUACUGCAUUCAACCACAAUAAUACUCCCUCCGUCCCAUUUUGAUAGUCCUGUUUCUUUUUUCACACAGUUUAAGAAAAAGUAGUUAACUUUGUUGGAAAAGUAAAUUUAGAUUGCUAUUUCCUAAAAUGCCCUCACAUUAAAUAUGGGUACAAUUUCAUGGGAACUUGAAUUGAUGGUAAAAAGAAGAAUCAACUCUCGUUAAAUAGGAUAGGUUUAUAAUAUAUUGUAUCUACACGUACCGGUAACAUUUUCCUUGAAUACAUUUGUUAAACAUAUAGAGUAUAUAUCUGUCGUAUGUAUCGGUGUAUAUACAGUAGUUUUACUCAUAUUAUUAUUAGCACGGUAAACACACACGUCGCUAUGACUCAGUUUGACCAAAUUGUAUGAACUGAAACACAGGGGGGUUUAAAAAAAAAAAAAGGAACAAACCGCUAGGGGGUUAUACUUAUAUUACACACGAUGGUAAGACUUUCGCUUGAAGUUUUAGGAGUUAUUUUGUGGGUAAAAGUCAAUGUCCCAAUCCCAACAAAGAAGACAUCCACAUGAAAUGAGAGUAGAUUGCAUCGCCAUCAUUAUUUUGUUUCUUUAUUACAGUAGUAUUUACUAAGCUCCCCACCUCCAGUAUACAGCUUUUCCCCAUCAUAAAAAAAAAAAAAAGCCAUCUUGCUUUCCUUCUACUACUCCCUCUAUCUCUUGGCGGGAGCUGGACCCACCAAUCAAAACGCCUCCUCUCCCCCCCGCCCUCUACUCUCUUCCUUUUACUCUCUCUCUCUCACUCAUAAACCUCAACUACUUCCCCACCCCCCACGCCUCCUCUCUCAUUUCCACCACCGCCACGGCCCACCUACUCCUCCCUCUACAGUGCUACUAAAGCAUUCCCAACCCCGAAGAACAAAAGAGUUAAACAAGAAAACAAAAAGAAAGGGAGCAGCAUUUUGCUUGAACUUAAUUGCAUUUGUACAACUCUGGCCAUGCUUUGGUCUGACAGUUAAAAGUUAAACAUAAGUCCUACCUCGAAAACAGAGAAGAUUUCACAAUGCCGGUUUUGAGAAUUUUUUUAUUAAUUGUGAUUUCUGUUGUAUUUCAUGUCGUCUUACAACUUAAGCGGGCGAAUUCUCUAACCGCCGAUGGCUUUCCCUCUUGUCCCUCAAGUCCGCCAUCGACGGCGGCGGUUCCGCAUUAACUGACUGGAACGAGGACGACGCCAGCCAUGUCACUGGACUGGAAUUUCGUGUAUGAACAUUUCCGGCUCCAAUGAUCCUCGUGUCGUCGGAAUCACCGUCUCCGGCAAGAAUCUCCGUGGCUACAUUCCCUCCGAGCUCGGCACGCUUAUUUAUCUCCGUCGCCUUAAUCUUCACGGCAACAACUUCUACGGUUCCAUCCCUGACCAGCUCUUCAACGCCUCCUCGCUCCACAGCUUGUUUCUUUACGGUAACAACCUCUCCGGGCCGCUGCCUCCCUCGAUUUGCAAUCUCCCUCGUCUCCAGAACCUUGAUCUUUCCAACAAAUUCUCUCUCGGAAGCCCUCCCGAAGGAGCUCCGGAGCUGCAGGCAGUUGCAGCGAUUAAUUCUAGCCAGAAAUAGGUUUUCCGGCGACAUUCCGGCGGGGAUCUUCCCGGAGCUCGCUAACUUAGAGCAGCUUGAUCUCUCAUCCAACUCAUUCACCGGUUCGAUCCGGAAGACAUUGGAGAAUUGAAAUCGUUAACCGGGACCUUGAACCUUUCCUUUAAUCAGUUUACUGGGGACAUCCCCAAGUCUUUGGGUGAUUUACCGCUCACGCGUUAGUUUUGAUCUUAGGAAUAAUAAUUUAAGUGGUGGAAUUCCCCAAACGGGGUCGUUUGCUAAUCAGGGUCCGACCGCAUUUCUCAAUAAUCCAAUGUUAUGUGGAUUUCCUCUGCAAAAAACAUGUAGGAACAGUUCAAAUAAUCCUCCAGGGGUCCAGUCGUCUUCACGGGAUAAUGAGGGGGUGGAUUCGCAUAAAGGGCUAAAACCGGGGUUGAUCAUACUGAUCGCAGUGGCCGAUGCCAUAGGAGUGGCAUUUGUAGGACUGGUGAUCGUGUAUUUGUAUUGGAGGAGGAAAGACUCCGGUGGCUGUAGCUGUACCGGAAAGUGAAGUUUGGUGGGAAUGAGAAGAGGAAGCUGUGUGCUUUCCCUUGUGUAGGUGCAUUUCCGAGUAAUGACUCAGAAAUUCAGUCGGAGAAGGGGGUUGAUGGUGGUGGAAGUGGUGCUAAUGGGAGUGAGGGGGAUCUUGUUGCUAUAGACAAGGGCUUUAAUUUUGAGCUUGAUGAGCUGUUGAGGGCGUCGGCUUACGUGUUGGGAAAGAGUGGCUGGGGAUAGUGUACAAGGUUGUGCUGGGGAGUGGCGUGCCAGUGGCAGUGAGGAGGCUGGGCGAGGGUGGUGAACAGAGGUACAAGGAAUUUGUGGCGGAGAUUCAGGCUAUUGGAAGGGUGAAGCAUCCAAACAUCGUCAGAUUGAGGGCUUAUUACUGGGCUCCGGACGAGAAGCUUCUUAUCAGCGACUUCAUUUCGAAUGGCAACUUGGCUUCUGCUCUUCAUGGUAUGCUCUCCGACUCUUGCUAUGCUUCAUUUGGCUGCUGCUUGUUGCUUGGAUGGGUUUUUCAUUUGCACGUGUUUUGCUUUAUUUAAAGACAAAUUUAGCUAAAUUGAAUCUGGAAAAUAGAAGAUACGAUUUCAUAAAUGAUUCUACUUGGAAAUUAGGGAACCAACAAUGCUGUAGCUGCUAAAAUUUUUGUCGAGAUUCUCUUCAAAUCGCAAGACGGAGUAGGGUGUAUAUUGAUUUAAAUGCAUAUGAAUUACUUUGGAACCGUGUUAGAACAGUUGCAAUCUUUCUAAACGAAAAAGAUGAUUCUCUGUGAUUCUCCUUCUGAUGUUGGUCUCGUACUAGAAAAUUGGCCGACUUUCCUGCUAGAUCUUAGAGGAUUUAUUUGGCCUUGCAUUGGCGUGAGCACUGUAGUGGCAAUAAAAUAUUUCAUAAUGGUGAACCUCAUACGUAGUUGAAAACUAGGUGGAGCCAUCAUGCCCUUUUAUGGACCAAAACCAUUGGCGAAGCAGUGGAUCUAGGACGACGUAAUCCAAUGUGGUUCUAGCAAAUUAUCAUUGCAAAACUUUGUAUUAAUUUCAAUAAUCUUGGUGUCAUCUGAAGUGACAUUCUGCAUAAACUUUAUUAAUGCAUACUUGGCAACUGCUACUAUUGAAUAUUCUGGAUCUUCAGUUCUUUCGAAGUUGUCACCUUCCCUCUUUCCUUUGCUGCUCACUUCUGUCUGCCUAUGGUAAGGUAAGAGAUGAAUCUGACAACAUAAUUUGGGUCAAGAAGAUCUCGUAUUAACAUCUGCAUGUCGCAUCAUAUUAGUUAAGUUGGUUGAUUGUUUGAUUGAAGAUGCGUAACAUGGAUGAUGCAGGGAGAACAGGUCAGGCGUCAUCUAGCUUAUCAUGGGGAACCAGGCUGAAAAUUGCUAAAGGAACAGCGAGGGGCUUAGCGUAUCUUCACGAAUGUAGCCCCAGAAAAUUUGUCCAUGGAGACAUAAAGCCCUCUAAUAUUCUCCUUGACAAUGAUUUUCAAGCUUGCAUUUCUGAUUUCGGCCUGAACCGCCUGAUCAACAUCACGGGCAACAAUCCUUCAUUCUCUGGUGGAUUUAUAGGUGGGGCUCUUCCAUAUUUAAAAUCAGCUCAACCCGAGCGACCCAACAAUUACCAAUCACCGGAAGCUCGGAUCCCUGGCAACCGACCUACCCAAAAGUGGGAUGUCUACUCAUUUGGAGUUGUCUUGCUCGAGUUGCUGACGGGGAAGUCUCCCGAGCUCUCGUCUCCUACGACAUCCACUUCUACGGAGAUCCCAGACCUAGUAAGGUGGGUGAGGAAGGGAUUUGAAGAGGAAAACCCACUAUCAGACGUGGUAGACCCAAUGUUGCUUAAAGAAGUACACGCAAAGAAGGAAGUACUUGCAGCGUUUCAUGUGGCGCUUGCAUGCACGGAGGCAGACCCUGAGGUUCGACCAAGGAUGAAGACUAUUUCUGAGAAUCUUGAGAAGAUUUGAACAUAGAAGGAAGUGCAAUUUUCAGCAGACGUAAUCGAUGAGGGAACUCUUCAAUUCCGGACAUUUUAAGAUGGCCAAAUGCAUCAGCAUUUUUCAUCUAGGCAAAUUUUGUACGUUUUCAUUAAGCAUUCAUAGUCUAUAUAAUAUAGCCCUCUACAUUCCCAGGAAAUUCUCGUCAUUUACGCUUCUCACAAAAUGGGUACAUAAAUUCCUGGUUGUUUCAACAUUUCUCUUUUGUGCUGUGUAGUUAUAGUUUCGUUUGUUAUUUUAGUAAUACACCCAGUAAUCAGAAGGUUAGCGUAGCUAAAUUUGUUAUUCAUGUUUCUUUCUUUUCUCUUAAUUAGUAGGCUCCUGUAAUAAAGGAUAUCCAUAAUCUUGUCUCCCUCGCCAUCAUUCAUCAUCAUCAUCAUCAUCAUCAUGUUGGCCUGUAAUUCUGUGUUUAUCCACUCCCGACUGUUCCUGUCUGUGCCAGCGAAUGACCUUAACCUCAUCCUACAUUGACUGCCAAAAUGUGGUGGUUGGGGGAAUUAUGGAUAAGAUCUGGUAAAUUGAAUAUCAUCGUCAUCAGCUUUUACAGAAGGAAAACACGUAUUACUUACAAACAAAGCAUAUGCUCGGAAAUUGAGAGUUGAUACGCAGGAGUCUCAACUCCUAUUAUUCACACACAACUCGCACUAACGCAAAGCUACCAUGAUGAUCGUGUCAAAGUGGGCUUUGAGGCCGUGCAAGGCUUAGUUAGGUAGCCUUCAAAGUAUUUGCAAUGUCAAUUACAAAUCGGAACUUGACAUCACCCUUUGCUAGACGCUCCAUUGCAGUGUUCACAUACUCCAUUGGUAUAAUCUCAACAUCUGCAGUUAUUUUGUUAUUCGCAGCAAAAUCAAUCAUCUCUUGCGUCUCCGCGAUGCCGCCAAUGGCACUCCCUCCCACCCACCUUCCUGCUCGAAAGCAAGAGAGAGGCUGGAAUUUCAAGCGGCUUGUUGGGAUACCAAGCAGGACAAGAACGCCCUGUGACUUCAAUAAACCAAUCAAUGGUCCGAGAUCGUGAACCGCCGAGACCGUGUCAAUGAUCCCAUCCAAUGUCUCCAUACCAGCCUGCAUUUUGUCUUUGUCAUGGCUAACCAGAAAGGCAUCUGCCUGAAGACGUACAAUGGCGUCAUCCUUCUUGCUAGGACUCGUACUGAUCACAGUCACUUUAGCACCAAAUGCCUUGGCAAACUUCACGGCCACAUGGCCUAGCCCGCCUAGACCCACCACUCCAAUGUGCAUCCCUGGACCGUCUAGCCCAAAAUAUUUCAGGGCACUGUAGGUUGUGAUCCCGGAACAGAGGAGAGGCUCCAGAAUCAAGAGGCAAAUUUUCAGGCCAACGAAUCACAAAGUUUUCGUCAGCAACCAUGAUAUUGGAGUAGCCUCCAUAUGUUGGAGUCCCAUCAUGGUAUGUUGAAUUAUAAGUGAGUAUCAUUUAGGACAGUAGUUUUCAAGGUCGUUGGCACAGCUGGGGCAAGAAUGACACGAACCAACCAUGCAUCCAACGCCAACUUUAUCUCCAACUUUGAAUUUCUCCACUUUGCUACCAACUUCUGUGACUACUCCCACGAUUUCAUGGCCUGGGACCAUUGGAUAACUGGAAAUACCCCACUCGUUCUUCAGGGUGUGAAGAUCGGUGUGACAAAUUCCACAGUACAGCACCCUGAACAUAACAUCGUUUUCACCCGUCGCUCUCCUGGAGAACUUGAACGGAGAGAGGAAGCCAGAUUCAUCUCUGGCUGCCCAACCGAAGGCCUUGACUGGGUGUUCAGUUUUUGCAGCAAGCUCUCUAGAGUUGUCGGAAGGACUCUCCCUGAAGCCAAUAUAACUCAUGACUCUUCUCCAAAUGCAUUUCAAGAUAUCGAUCAAGCUUCCAGUGAAAUCCAUGGCCAUUUCCCACUGCACAGUCAACAAUACAUGAGAUGACGUGAUCAAUAUAUAAAUAAAUGUUCAUGACUAGUAUUUGGGAUGCUUCUUACGCCUGAAUUUUCCUUCUCUGUCGGUAAUCUGUAUCAGGUGACAAAUAAAUCGCGCUUGCAAACGCUAGUCGUCGUUCGUUUUACUGCGUUAUGAAUCUAUUAUAAUUGGAUAGAAGCAAAAAGAUACUACUGUGCACGUAUGGCGAAUUUACCUUACGCAACAUAAUGCAGAAAAUUAAAAUGACAGAGAUUGUGGCACCUUAAUUAGUGCUUUGAAAUUAUUAAGCCAAGCCUCCGUUGAAUAACAAAAUCAUUAAUGCAAGAACGUUUAAUGAGCACAAAUGACGACGACAGGAGCAAUUAAAACAUGAAUCGCGAAUCUGCUUGAAGCGCAUGCGCAUGAGGUUUCAAUAAUUUUUGCAGACCUAUAAAUGUGUGAUCAAAAACAUGAACUCGAAGGGAAUGUCAAAAUCCUUACCUGACUUUGGCAGUAAAUGCUUGUGUUGAGACACAAAAGAAGAAUUGAUCCGUCUCUCUCUCUCUCCUCACUCGUGAAUGUAGGCACAAUUAGUAGUAUUGUAAUGGUAAAUGAAGUGGCUAAAAAGUAAAAAUCACAUAUAGUAUAGUAUAUUCUUUCUUGAACUUGAGAGUUAGACAAAGAAUAAAAGAGUGGGUGAAAGUGUUCCAGGGAUGACGAGCAAGGAAAGCAAGGUACAUGCUCAAAUACUCCCAUCUUUUUAUAAAGCAAACCCACCCAGAAAAUUAGAAAGGAUUUAGAAAUUGUAGUUGGAAUUAGUGCUUAAAUUUCACAAAACAACACUGUACUGUUGUCGGAUUUAUGACAUAUAUGCAAAAAUUACACGAUUAGUGUAGGCAAAAUUACUUCAAAAAUAAACGCAUAAAACUUGUACAGAAAAAAAAAAAAAAAAAAAAAGGACUCGUCGCGUGAGGCCCAUCUUGAUUAGUUUCGGCUUCUGGGUCUCCUUUCACGAAGCCCAUAUGUACUUCGCCGCGUGAGGCUAAAGCCCAUGAGACAAGGCUUUGUUUAGUCCAUAAUGCUGCCUGCGUUAACAAUAUAGAUCGGCAUUUUGGUAAAAGUCUUUGGGCCGACGUAGCCUUAGAAAAUGUGCAGCAGAACACCACGAGACUCCUGCUGAAAAUCCCUAGCUGCACUAGGCCACUUCUUCUUCUGCUGAAAAACCCUAGCAGGAGCAUAUUCCCAUCCGUUUCCCCCACGCUGAAAAGAUGGUUCGCCUCUCUCCUCCUCUCAGCUUCUCCCUGCUUUAGUCCUUAUAACAAUUUGCGUUAUUAUCAGUUUCGUCUUUGGUUUUGAUUUUUCAUGUCAAAAUGCUCGAAUUAUAACAACUUUUUGGUGUUUUCGGUGUGCUCUGUCAGGUGAAGUACUCAAGGGAGCCCGAUAACCCUACCAAGUGUAAUUGCUUUUUUCCUCCCUCCCUUUUUUUUUUUUUGGUUUUAAACUAGAUUUUGAUUUGUUUUUUCAUUCUUAGAUUUGUUUCAAAAUUUUUUAUCAUCGAUUUUUUAGGCUUUUGUGCUAAUUUUGUUAAAAGUUUAUAAAAUGCAGCCUGCAAAGCUAGGGGAUCUGAUCUCCGUGUUCAUUUCAAGGUAUCGAUUGCUCUCUCUCUCUCUCUCUCAUCACUUAAACAAAUGGAUGCUUUGAUCUACUUUUUUGAAGGCCAUUUAGUUCUUUUCCUGCUCUGUAUGUAUGCUCUUUUUUGGCUAUUUAAGUUUUUGAUUGGACUUGUCGGUAGUGUAACCUGAUGAAAAAAGCAGGGGCCUGUUGCCGUUUAAUGUGAACGGGUCUCUCGUAAACUUCAGGGAAAUAAAACUUGGCAUUGUUAUUGGGUGAACCUCUUGAGCUUCAUGAUGGACGGUUCAGUAAACGAUGAUACAUUCUGAUUAUAUAGUCAUCUUUCUUUGAUUAUUAGAACAAACCAAGGAAAACUUGUGUUUUCUAAUGGGAUUUUGUGGGCUUCAGACUAGCUUGUCUGUCAUGGAUGUUUUAGUAUUAAUUUCUUAAAUUGAUAAACGGUUGCAACCUUAUUUACCUCCCUCAAUUUUGAAGUAAAGAAAAGCUGACAGAAUGGGAACUUUCUGUCCGUUGGUAUGUGGGGCUGAUAAUUGUUUAGUAAAUGACAAAGUCUUCAUACCUUUCAACCUAACAUACUUUUAUGAUUCAUUUCGAUGUGGGUUGGGGUUUUAGUAUCCACAUCUUACGGUUAUGGAAAGCAGGGAUUGUGUGUAUCGACAUUGUGCUAAUUUGUGAUUGCACUUUGCUCGAAAGAGUUCUCUGCAAUAUCUUUUUUUGGGAAGAUGGGCAGUUGUAUUUCGUUAUCUUGUUGAAAACCUUCAACAAUCAUCUUCCCGACAUUUUUAUAUAUCCAUCUUGCUAAUCAGUCUGAUGUACGAGGACAAGAAAUAAGCUUCAUGUCUUUAUGAGCUUUUCUGAUCCUUGGUAAACAUCUGUUGCCUUCAGAAGUUCCUGGGAGAGGGAGAUAUCGUUGAUUAAGUUUUCAGUGAAUACUAGUGAGAAUGGUUGAUAAUUUCUGGUGGGCACUUGAAAGUUGUAACUAAUUCUGCUGGGUCUUUCUUUGUUGUUGUAUCCACUAUUAUGCUGUAUGUUCCUUUUACUACAACUUUUAUUUCUGCUUUGUCAUUGCUUUUGUUUGGGGCCUAGAGAUGUGAAUCUUAGUUCUUGUAGUAUUAGAGUUGUUACCUUGCUAGGGUUGUUUGUGUUUUUUCUCCUUGGAACGGUGCAUAAUUUAUAAUGUAAGAUCUGCUAUAUGCUUCAAUGGUGCUGCUUUGUUAUUUGGUCCGAAUUCUUAGCUAGUUUUUUGUCCAAGCAUACAAUCUGACAGUGUGUGUGUGCUCUCUUCUUUAACAGAACACAAGGGAAACAGCGCACGCGAUCAGGAAGCUGCCUUUAGCCAAGGCUAAGAGGUACUUGGAGGAUGUUUUGGCCCAUAAACAGGCAAUUCCUUUUACACGUUUCUGUGGAGGUGUUGGCCGUACUGCUCAGGCCAAGAAUAGGCAUUCAAAUGGACAGGGUCGCUGGCCUGUUAAAUCUGCUGAUUCAUUUUGGAUUUGCUCAAGAAUGCUGAAAGCAAUGCAGAGGUUUGUCCGUGCUCCCAGAAGUUAUAAUCUAAUAUUCGUUGUUUUGUACAACUUUGACAGCAGUUAUUUUAUCCUGCAGGUGAAAGGCUUGGAUGUGGAUUCACUUUUCAUUUCUCACAUUCAGGUGAAUCAAGCACAAAAACAAAGACGCCGCACAUAUCGUGCCCAUGGAAGAAUAAACCGUAUGUCUGAUCGAUGACUUUUUUUCAGUUUUCUGUUCUGUGCAUUAUGUCCAUUAACUUUAAUAUAUGAUCUUUUUGGCCAGCCUACAUGUCUUCCCCCUGCCAUAUUGAGUUGAUUUUGUCUGAGAAGGAAGAGUCUGUGAAAAAGGAGGUAAUACAUAUGUAGUUAUAUCUUUCAGCUAUCUGUCAAUCUGGUUGAUAUCCAGAAAGGUAUCAUUUUAAAUUUCUGGGGCGCUUCUCUUUGUGUCUAAAUUUUUUUCUUAUAUUUUGCAGCCUGAAUCGCAGUUGGCCACAAGUAAAUCUAGGAAGGCUUAAGCUUUAUGUAAUGGUGCUUUCAUUGGCAAUGCUUUUAGCCGAUUCUACAAAUUUUGAGGCAUAUUGUUACUUAAUGCUAUUGGAAGUUGCAGACAAGUUUUGCUAGUGCUUAAAUUCAAAAAGUUCAUUCAAAGACAUACUUUGACUUGUAGAGACAGCUUUUUGUUCUUCUUAAAUGUCGUGUGGCUUCUUUUUGGUUGGAUGUUAUGGUAGUGUUGGAUUAUUUAUCAAGCUGCACUUACUGGCCGUCUCUAUUAUGCUGUCAUUCUUCGAGCCGGCCUUCUCACAGUGCCUUUUUAUCUUCAAAAUUUUUCUUGGGACUAACGAUGAACAUUGUGGAUGCAAGGUAGACCUUAGAUAUGAGAUGCAUGAAAUUUUUAGUGUAGGCUCUGGAUGCUGGCUGUUUAAGACGCUCUGCUGAGCUAGAAAUACUACUGCAGGAAUUGCUUUCCUUGAUGGUUUUGUUCGAUUUAGUAUCCCCAUGAGAAAGAGUUUAGGCUCUCUUGAGAAAGAGUUUAGGCUUAGUAUCCAUUGUGCAAAUUUGAGGUACUUAAAACGGGCAGCUCCUCUGUGUGUUUUGAGUGGGUAUCUAUAUGUUAAACUAGUUUUUACCCUGAAUUAGUCGUGUGAAUUGCGGAGUCUGGAAUGUGUGGAUUGUGCGAUUAUAGCUCAGCGGAAUGCCUGUUUUUGUGCAAUACGAGAUUCAUUCUCAGACUGAAUGAAGGAAAUUAUGCAUCAGUUGUGGAUGAUGUGUCGGGUAAUUGAUCUCUGAAUUACGAGGAAAUCAAGAAACACUUGAAUGGCGUAGAACUUGCAUUCUGUAGGACUGAACUUCCCCAGAAUCUGUUUCUGGUGCCGGAGGUUCAUUUUGAGUUUUGACCAUGGUGAAUUCGGUGCCGGAGAGGUGAUUGAGAAAGUCUCCCGCCCAAAUUAAACUAUCUUUCAACGGACUUCAUUGGUUAGGCUGACGUUUGAUGUGAAGGGUGGGCUUAUUGUGGUCGCGGUUGGCAAUAAACUCCUAUUUGAUAUUUCACGUAGGCAAAAAAGGAAACACAUCUUGAGUUGUGUCAUCAUGGACUCCGCGGAAAGUUAUCAAGACAAAUCAACAUCAUGCAAGCAUUUCCGGGUUAUGCUAGGGCAGCACGAACAAUGUGAUGCAAUGAAGGGGGCGCAAAUCCACCCAUUCUACAAAGAACGCGUGCCCAGGCAAUAUGUAUUUGUUUAUUUAAAUCUUUUUUUGGUGCAAUGAUAAAAGCAGACUAGCAAAACAUGCAUGACGUAAUAAAUGUAAAGGGCAAGGAGGUAAUAACCAAUACUCUCUCCAUUCUAAUUUGUUUGUCAUAUUUUAAGAAUCAAAUUUUUUAAGAAUAGUAGUUUAAUUGUAUUGCUUGUGAAAAAUAUAAUACUCUCAAUAAAUGAGGGAGGUAAGGAAGGCUUCCGUAAUCGCAAAUCGGCUACAAAUCUUCAGGAAAGAGCGAAAGACUAUCAGUCUGGUUAUAGAGAUUUCUGCCACCAUAGAUUACAGAAGAUGAGAGGGCCCAAGAACAAAAUGUGUUGAUGGGGGCCCAAGAUCCCUGUCAACGAGGCCUAAGUUAUGUGUAAUUUGAGCCCAAUUGCCAACAAAAUAAUAUAUAUGUGUGUGUGUCUAUAUAUAUAUAUAUAAUAUAUAUAUUAUAUAUAUAUAUAUAUAUAUAUAUAUAUCCUACCUAUUAAAAGCGCGGAAGGCUGAGGAGCAGUAGCGUGUCGUCCCUUUCUGGCAUUCUGCGGGUUCUUUGGAGAUUUUGUGAAGCCCUAAGGGUAAUUUUGACAGGUGAUUUCUCUUGCUGCUAGAGCUGUUAAGUUAAUCAAAUAGCUCGAAAGCUCGUUAGAGCUCGGCUCGUUAAUUUUGGUUAACGAGUCGAGCUCGAGCUCGAAACAUGCUCGUUUAGUUAACGAGCCGAGCUACUCGGCUCGUUUGAUACUCGAGUAGCUCGUUAGAGCUCGUUAAUGAAGGCAUAUUUGUCAUUUUAGAAAUCAAAAUUAUAAAAAUUAAAAAUUAUAGAUUUUUAUUAAGGUUAAUUUGCACGAACUCGAGCUCGAACUCGUGAAGCUCGACUCGUUUGUGAAAACGAGUCGAGCUCGAGCUCGAACUCGAGCCACAUGUACAUUUAACGAGCCGAGUUCGAACACAUUUUAAAGCUCGUUUUUCUAACGAGCUCGAGUCGAGCUCGGUUCGAAUUAAACUCGAGUCGAGCUCGGCAGCCAAAUACUCGGCUCGACUCGACUCGAUUAACAGCUCUAUUUGCUGCCUACUUCUUUCCUUUGUUUUUUCCCCUCUCCAGUUUAGUGUUUCCCCCUUGCGCUGCAUGUGGGUUUUUAAUGCCCCUAAGCCACAGUUUAUUUCGAUUUGGCCAUGAUCUAAGGCUAAUUGGAAAAAAAAAAAAGGGGAUAAUUGCACUCACCUCCUCUGAGGUUUCUAAAAUAGCAUUUACCUCCCCCGACAUGAAUUUGGGCCUCUAGUUGACAAAAGAUAGGGUGAAUUUACUUCUAUACCCUAAGAGUUUGAGGUUGUUUGUAAACAAAUUUGGAGCAAAAAAAAUUAGGGCAAUAAACAAGUUUACGAUAACUAAUUAAACAAGUUAAUGGUUAUUUCUUAUUUGAUUAGGCACUUUAAGUGCACUUAUAUAAUAGCAUCACAAAAUAGCGCUAAUUGAUACUCCAACAUGGCAUCAUUUUGUGAUUGACAGUAUUUGAAAGGAUAAUCCAAAUGUAUAUAAUUUGCAUAGAAGAGAAGCAGAAGCAAAAGGAAAGAAACCUCCAAACAAGGCCUCAUAAGAAAAUAUGUUCUGGUUGUUUUGGUCGAGUUCACUUCAUCUUAAGCAUUCAUGAAACAAAAAAAGAAAGAAAGCAAAAAAUCAAUGCCAAUUUUGAGGAUUUUUCUGUUAAAAAUUUGCGAUAAUCAAAAGACAAUAGUUAAGCAAUCCUUUGUAAUCUUAACAUAAUACACAUAGUUUCUAUGCACACGAAUGAAUCAGAGUUUUUUGAAAUUGGUUGUACAUAUUAUAUGCUUUAGAACCUUAGAUUUCUGAACGUAUGUUCAUUAAAUUUUCUUGUUGUUACUACUAUACUUGUUCUCUUUGCAUUUAUAUGAGUUUCACUAAUUGUUUCCAACUUUUGAUUUUAUUCAUUCUUUUACUAAUUCAACCUUACAAGAGGUAAAAGGGGUACAAAUGGAACAAAAUUAUUAUCUCUUUUCUCAAAAGACUUUUUUAAUGGCACUUUUUGUAACAUGAGCUAAAUAUGCUAUCAAAAUCUUAAGUUCAUGGGAGCUAAGUGCUAUUUUUGAAAGUUUAGGGGAUGUGAGUGCAACUAUUAGAAAUUUCAGGAGAGGUUUCUGCAAUUAUCCCAAAAAAAAAAAAACGCAUGAUGAGCCACAAUUUGUUCUUUUUGCCAUGGCUCGAGCGUAAUAAAUAUAUAAAAAAAGGACAUGGUGCCUAGUUUUGGACUGAUAUUAUAUCCUUUUUAGCCAUUAGGAAAAUAUAAAUUUAGAUUAACAUUUUAGUAUGAGUUCUGCUCCAAAUUUCGUCUACAUUCCUCACCAAAAAAAAUCGGCUCAAAAUUUUGUCUACACUCUUGGCCAAAAAAAAAAAAAGUAAAGGGUCUCUUGAGUGGCCACUUAUAUAACACUUUUUGUACAAAUUCAAAAAAAAAACAUUUAGUAUAAUUUUGUUCCAAAUUCGAUUGAAUAUUUUAAUAUCAAUUUUGUUCGAAAUUCUUCUACAUCACUGGAAAAGAAAAAGAGGUAUGGUAAGCUUUGUCAACAUUCUUGACCAAAAAUAAAUAAAUAAAUAAAGGGCCCAUUUAGUGUCCACUUAUAUAACACUUUUUGCAGGAAUUCAUUGCUACUAUUUGUAUGCAUCAUUUAAUUACUUGUGUGAAAAACCAAAUUUAGUAUAAUUUUGUUGCAAAUUCAAUUGAAUAUUUUAAUACCAAAUUUGUUCGAAAUUUUUCUAUAUUGCUGAAAAAGAAAAUGAAGUAUGGUGAGUUUUAAUUACUUGCGUACAUUUUAAAUAGUCAAAAAGUAAUAAUAGCAAUAGAUGAUUAGAUGAACAACAUAUAAACUCUUGCUAAAAAAAAACGGAGAGCUUUAAUUACUUGUGUACAUUUUAAAUAGAAAAAAAUAAUAGCAACAGAGAUGAUUAAGCAAAAUUUAUUAUUUCCUGCCUGUUUUUCUUAGUUUUUCCCCUUCUUAAAUGGCUUUUUUUCCUAACUAUUACGUUGUAUUAAUAAACAUAGCAUAAUGAAAAUUUGCAAAUAAAUUUUGCUCAAAAUUUCUCUAUAUUAGUGAAAAUGCUUGAUAUUAAUGAACGUAAUCUAAUAACCUAAAAAAAAAUCAAGAUGCAUUUUGCUCCAAAUUCCUCUAUAUUAGCGGAAAAAAAAUAGAAGCCUCCUUGAUUGGACACGAAUUUAAUGCUCUUUGGAUACAUUAACUAUUACUAUUUUUAUGCACCAUUUAUUUAUUUCUUUGUUGCUAAAAAAUAAUUAUGCUAAUAUUUUUUUUGUGUUAAAUGCGCUGAGCUCCAAUUGUUUCAAUGAUAUUAGAUAACAGAAAAUGUUUAAUAGCCGGAAAUGACUACAUAGAGACAAUGGAAGAACGACUUUAUUUUUUUUCCUGCUUGCUCCUUUGAAAAGCUAUUUGCUUGAUGAAUUGUGUCCUAAUCACUCCUUUUUGUUUUACUUUGAUAGUCUUUUUUUUUUUUUUGCACAUAGUUUAAUAAAAGAUGGUUAACUUUGUUAAAAGAGUAAAUCUAAGCUACUAUUUUCUUAAAAUGUCGUUAAACUAUUUCCAGAAGCAUAACUAAUCACUAUAUCUUUAGAUUAAUUACAAUAACAAUAAGUUAGUUACCAAACGCGAGUAUAUGCAUUCAUAGAGUAAGUUAGCGAGUGUUCUGGCAGACACAUUAAUUAGAAGGAGAGACCCGCAAGUAUUUUUGUUGCUUUCCUUCUGUCCAUGCCGCAGCAUCCGUAUGAUUGAUUUUGUUAGGUUGAACUUCAAAUUUGGAGCUCAAGCUGUUGAAAUUCAUUGUUUUGAGCCAUUCGCACAAGUUCGUUCUAUCUAAGAGGCACAGGAGCCAGCACUGAAAAGAAUACUAACAAAAUACUAAUCUUUAUGGGGCAAAAUACACAAUAGGAGGAAUAUGUCAUCUUGAUUGUCCUUCCACGUACAUCACGGAAUAUUAAGAGGAUGCCUCCUCAAUUCACGAAAAGCUGGAAAAUUGGUUAGCCAGUUUCAAGGAGAUAGAUUGGUAUAAUCGCGGAUUGUUUUAGUAACCAGAAAAUGGUGAGAAAGAUUCAAUCAAAAAUUGAAGAAGAAUAUUUCAAAUGGUCGGAGAUUUGACGUUUUAGCUUUGUUUGUAAAUCAUUAAUGUUGUUUAUCUCUUCCAGGGCUCAUUGGCAAUCAGCAAUACGUGUUACCAGCAUUCGAAUAGUACAGAAGUCAAAAAGGAUUUAAAAAAAAAAAAAAAAAAACGCACGCCUUCUCAGAUGAUAUUAGACCAUUGGAAAAUGGUUGGACGGUUUCAUGGAAAGAAUAUUCAAAUGAGAAAAUGAUAACAUUAUAGUAUACGCAAUGAACGGCUGAAACUACUGUUAUUUUCACCGGAAGUAAACGGCUGAGCCCCCACCCCCCGGUCCAAAAAAAAAAAAAAAAAAAAAAGGCCGAUUUAGAUGAUCCCCUCAUCAGGCCGGGAUUCCUAAUGGAAAAUUUUUUUACUCAAUUACCAGUUACAAGGGUUUCCCAUUUACUCUCUUCUUUUUUUUUUUUGUGGUCUUAUUCUUGAUUUUGGUUUUAUCUGAAAAAUAAACAAUUUCAAAUCAGACAAGAAAAAUCAAGUAACCUGUCAUAAAUCACACAAUCUAGAAUUCCUUUCAACACACGCAAUCCGGAUUGCAUUGCCGUAGAAAAUAAAAGAACAGUUUGUUUGGAUAGUAAUAAUAAUUCGCUUGUAUCAUAAACACAUUUUCUAAUCAAUCUUUUUAUGUUGUCAAUCAUUUUUUUAUCUCACAUACAUCACAUCACAUCACAUCACAAAAAAUAUUACAGUAAUUAUUUCAAAUAAUACUCUGAAAAUUUUUGUUGUAUCAAUUUGAAGCCAUGCACGUACGUUAACCUUGACAGCCCUUAUCCAAACUCCCCGCCCCCCCGUUCUAUCUCCUCUCUAGGUGCUUGGUUAUUAAACAGCCACCUUGUUGGUGAUAUUUAAAAGUAGUGUUUGCACAAAGCGCAAAACCUCACGUGUUAGGGAAUCUUGAACGUCAAAUCAUAAUUAAUUGGGGACUAAAUAUGGAAUCUUUUGAUUGUUGAUAAAUGAACCAGAGAGCGGGGGUGGAGGGCGACGCUCAAAGAGCACCACAGUCUCAGUCUUGAUCGAUCGUUCUUGUUUUCUCCCAGCAAUAAUUGAACGUUAUCUUGAUAUCAUUGAAAGGUGAGGCGCGGCAAAUUUGGAUUUUGGCGAACAAAUUGGAGUGGAAUUUCUGCGUCAAUUGAUGUAACAAUUCGCAAGCCAUUGAGCCAGAUUAAUUGUUUGGGUUGGUCUGUAUCAGACCUUUGUCGGGUUGAAGACAGGCAUUUGAAUAUUUGGUGCGCUCUCACAAAUUAGAUCCCAAACUUAGAUUAGAUUGUGUUUGGAUUACAUUUUUCAUAAAAAAAAUAUUAUAGCGAUUUGAUAUAUAUAUAAAAAAAUAAUAAUAAAAAAAAUGUGACCAGGAAAAAUAAUGUAAUUUUUUUUUUACGGAAACUCCGAUCCAAGGAAGGCCUUACCGCUGUUGGUCUUGUUUGAAGAUAAAAAUUGAGGAUGAUUGCGGAUUUGCCUUCACGUAACUAACGAUGACGCACGCUGGGGCUGUCAAUUCAAUCUUAUCUACCACAAGAAUUUGGUUACUUACAGACAGAUCAGAGAGUGCUUGGGUUGAGCUGAUCCAAUCUUCUUACCAGCGUCGCUUUUUUCUCUCUCUCUCUCUAUCUCUCUAGUCUGUAUAUAAUAUAAAUAUAUAUGUUUCUCUCUCUCUCUCUCUCUCUAUAUAUAUACAGUAUUUGUAUGUAUAUAUAUACACUCCACAAGCCACUGCCCCUUCGUUUCCGUCCCUUGCCUACUACGCCCACCAGACCACACCUCACCUGUCAGGCUGUCACAACUCACAAAUACACAAUCCACCACCCCCAUAUCGCAUCUAUUCUUUCAUUUAUUUUAAAGUAUUACCACUAUAUCUCUUCACCCUUCCGUUUCCUCCAUUUCUUGGGAGCUUCCUUAUCCAUUUCCUCUUCUUUUGCGCGUACUCCCACCGCCUACUCUCGCAGCUGCCCCCUCAGGCUGACUUCCCUCACAUUUCCAUUUCCCAGGUAAUUUUUUAUAUUCCCCAUUUUUUUUUUGUUUUUUUUCCUUCCUAUUUAUCAGUUCCAUCUGAUUUUUUGUUUUGCUCUUCCGUCGCCAUGCGGAUGAUUUCGGUACCACUACUGCCAUAUGAAUCUUCUGUCUAAAUUUCAGGAAGAGUAGAUUUUAUUUAUGUCAAUAAUGCCUUGUCUCGGGAACCUGUCCUGCUCUUAGUCUUUAGCUAAUUUCAUUUGGGAUUUUUUUUUUAAUAUUUAUAGAUCUGUUCUUUUUUUUUAAUUUUCUUUUUAAUGAAAUUCGAGCUGUUUAUACUUUAUAGUUUGACCUGAGCUACUUUUGUUGAGCAUCUGAAAUUACGCUUUUCCUCAAAUUUGGAUUUUUUUGUGGGUGAAUUCCAAUUACAGUGAGCUCGUUUGAGCUGUUUCUGGUGUCUUAUGAAUCUUGAGCUUGCUCGGCAUUGUAUUUGUUGAUAUUUGUAUUGAGCUUCUCGAUUUAUAUAGUAUGUGAAUUAUGAGAGGAUGCUAUUUUAAUCCUUGAAGAUCGCUUUUGUUUCACAAUCUAGUUAAUUGACAGCAUGCAAUUGCUUUGAUAGUUUGUUGGUGAAGUUUCUAGUUGCUUUCGGUAGCUGGGGUUGUUAGAUCUGAAUCGCUGUACUAGUUUUCAUUGUCAUGUCGUUUAGAGUGCUACAAAUGUUAGUAUAUUCUCUGUGCAAGAUGGAGAUAUUCUUUUACCAUUUUUUCCCCGUUUAUUCAUGAUCUGGUGGUGGAGUUGCGGUAGAUUGGUGACACUGGUGGUAUAUGUUUGGAAGUUUGAUUAGUAGCUGUUGCUUCUUGGUGUGUCUAGUUUGACUAGUAAUCAUCAUAGUAAUAAUUGGGCACCACUUAAAUUGUUACUAUUUCUUUUUGGGUCAUAGACUUUAAUGGAUCAUUUGGCUUUCCUUGGGUGUUGUUGAAGGUUCAAGUGGGUAAUUAUCAGUUUGUCGUGUGUUUCUGUUGGGAAAAUAAAGUUUCAAUUAUGAAAGAGUCCAUCGUAUUACUUGCUACACUUUUGACCUUCUGGUGCAUUUCACAAUAGUUUCUUUACUCAUGUAGUCAUGUCGGUAUGCUACACUGCAGAUAAAACAUUAGCCAAAAGCAAAAUGGAAGUUACAGGAGGCUAACUUUAUGCGCUUCUAUGGCCUUGGCAGGUACCUUUUUUUUUCUUUUCUUUAUCUAUCUAUAAGGCCCUAACCAACUCCUGCUCUUAUCAAUCUCGAUUCUUUUUUUUUUUUAUUUAAAUAUUCAUGUUUUUCUUAUUUACUUAUUUUUCUUUUCAAUUUCGAUCUUCCCUGUGUAUAACUUGUAUCAUCCCAUGUAGGUAUCUGGGCAAUGUGUGGGAAGAGUAACAGUUCAGGAGGCAGCAGCUUAGAUAGUACAAUCAAGAAAAAGGACAUUAGUACCCAAAGAGGUGGAAUGGAAUUUGAGUCCGAUUGGACAAAGCAUUGUUGGAAAUCAUCAGCCUUCACUGCUCAAGCCAUCCGUUCAGCAACAUCUUUUAUGCCUUGGUCUUGUAAAAUAUCAAGAAAUGAAGGAUUUCACGAAUAUCUUUAAUCGGUAGCUGAUUUUUCUGUUAAGUUGAUCUUUGUAGUUGAGAGACAUAGAAGGAAUUCAUGAUGCUUCUGUCCACUUCCUGUUUGAGAAUUUCUUAUUCCAAAAAUGCCUAAUUUUGUUAGUGGAAAGAAGAGAGCUACCGAGUUGAACAUGUGUUUCUCCAACGCUCUCGAGCAGGGUGCUCCACCUCACUCAAAAGGGGGUUCCUGCUUAACUCUAAAGUUCGUUGAUGGUAUCCAUAGUCCUAUCUUGCCUGGAUUGCCCGAUGAUGUGGCAAUGUACUGUCUUGCACUUGUUCCUCGAACUAAUUUUCCUGCUAUGGGUGUUGUUUGCAAAAGAUGGAGGUCUUUUAUCCAAAGUAAGGAAUUUAUCCGGGUUAGAAAACUAGUUGGCAUGCUCGAGGAGUGGCUUUAUGUCCUAACUGUUGACUCUCAAGGAAAUGGGAGCCACUGGAGGUUAUAGACUGUUUGGGACAGAAACACAAUGAAUUCCCCCAAUGCCUGGUUGUGAGAAAGUUGGUUUUGGCGUGGUAGUUCUCAAUGGAAAGCUUCUCGUAAUUGCUGGUUAUGCCAUGAUUGAUGGAAAUAGAUCGCCCUCUGCUGAUGUUUAUCAGUAUGAUUCUUGCCUCAACAGGUUUGUUUUCUUUUACCUCAUAUUCCUGUUUCAUUCUUUGCUUGUCACUGCAUUCCUGCUUUUUGUAAUGCUCAAGUACUCUGAACUUUCAGGGUCUUUUUAAUGGAACAUUUGAAUUACGACUUUGUAAACACUUGCAAAAUUAGGAGGUUUUAUUUUUAUGCUAGAAUUUCUCGGUUGCGGUAUCUUCAGCUAGUAGACAGCUUGAUUAGUUUCAUAACCAAAAUGUCUUUUAACCCCAAUGACUAAUCUAGAUUGUGAUACUUCUGUGCAGCUGGAGUAAGCUAGCGGACAUGAAUGUUGCACGCUAUGAUUUUGCUUGUGCUGAGGUAAAUGGCAUGGUCUAUGCGGUUGGCGGCUAUGGGAUGGAUGGUGAAUCUCUCUCAUGUGCUGAAGUGUAUGACCCUGAUGCUGACAAGUGGACUGUAAUUGAGAGUCUUCGCCGACCACGGUGGGGAUGCUUUGCUUGCGGAUUUGAAGGAAAGCUCUAUGUAAUGGGAGGUCGAUCGAGUUUCACAAUUGGAAAUUCAAGGUUUGUCGAUGUGUAUAACACUGAGAGGCACACCUGGUGUGAGAUGAAAAAUGGUUGUGUCAUGGUCACCGCUCAUGCUGUGGUGGGGAAGAAACUUUUUUGUAUGAGUGGAAAAACCAGCGGAAGCUGGCUAUAUUUGACUCAGAGGAUAAUUCAUGGAAGAUGGUGCCAGUUCCAGUAACUGGGAGCUCAAGCAUCCGAUUCCAGUUUGGCAUACUGGAUGGAAAACUUCUUUUAUUUUCACUGCAGGAGGAUCCCGGUUACACUACCCUUCUGUAUGAUCCAAACGCACCCCCUGGCUCAGAGUGGCAGACCUCAGUGAUAAAGCCAUCCGGUUCGUGCAUGUGCAGCGUCACAAUCAAGGCAUAAAGUGGUCGAUUUCAUUAAAGAUGAUGAUGAUUUCAGUGGCGUUCUUAAAGAGUCUUCCCCCCGGUUUCCGUGCGGGGUUCCGUUGUUCGUUUAAGAAGCAGUUAUGCAUAUGAUCUAUUGUAUAGUUUUAGUAAGUUGGUUGAUUUAAGACUAGUGUGAUUAUGUCAUCUUGUAUGAGUAAUUUGCUUGCGAAGCUUUACUGACAUAAAUCUUGAGCAGCAGUUGUUGUAUCUCAAAUGUUAGUGGCGUCUGUGAUGGACUGGGAUGCAGUAAUAUUCCAGCAAGUAUAUGUGGGCAAAAUUCCAAUGGACGAUCAUGUCCGUGGGCUGUGGAGUUUGUUGCCAGUACUGCGGUAGAUGAAUUAAACACGUGAAAUGUGGCACGACAACGUGAAAGAACUUUGCAUGUUUGAUAUGCAUUGCUAGCGAAAGAGAAUGUACGUUAAAAGCUUUUCACGGUUUGAACGGGUGCUUCCAGUUGCCAUUUGAAUGAAAAAUGAUCUCGUUGUCACCUAAUCAUCAACAACGCAACGGGUGUCUGUGGCAAUAGCGCUAGGUUAACUAAUACCGAAAUCUCUGAAUCUGAACGUCUAAAUCACCCAUAUGCUCAAUUUGUCCCCAGGAGAGGAGAGCCGAAGAAGACGCAGGAAAGGACGUCGAAAGUCUUUACUUAACGUGCUUGCUUUGUACGAGGCUACGGAGUGCAGUUUUGCAAUUUUACUUGCUAUUAGUAACUGCAAAGUCACCAACUUGGUUCUCAAUCGUCUCUGUUUUUUCACUUGGGAUCCUCGGUGACAUGUUUUCUGUGCCAAUUCAAUGCACCUAUAGUAUUGCGCAAGUGUCCUGUUAUUAUUUACACUUUAAUUUUCUAAUAAUUCAACUUGGUUUGGUUUAACACAAGUGUAAAUAAUAACAGGACACUUGACGCAAUAUUAUAGGUGGCAUUAGAUUGGCACAGAAAACAUGUCACCGAUUAUCCCAAUUGCUGUUUUUAACCAGCUGUAAAAAAUUUGAGGAGUGCGUUCAAGAAUCACUCUCGUACACAUUUUGAAGGGGAAGAUAAUCAAUUUGUUCUUUUUAACUAUUUCUUUAAUUCAUUAAUCUGCAUGAAUACCUGACCAUAUUUAUUGAAUAACACAUCAGUUAAAUUAUCUAAGACUCCUUUUGAAUUGGCCUAUUUUUUAAAAAUAAAUUCUUCAUAUAUAAUAUUACAGUAAUGCACAAAUGAAAACAAUACUUAAAACACAUCAUCCAUACAAUUUAUUAAGAACCUGACCGUGUAUUUUGAGUGGUUCUCGAGCCUAAUUUGAUCUCAAUUCGAGCAUAUAUUUUUAGUUUGGAUAAAUAUGCCAUACACACCAACAGCACCCACCAGUCAAAUUACGCAUUAAAUUUAAGUCCUACUUUGAUUAUAUUAUAUAUGUGAGAUAUACUCUUUGAGUGGCUCGAGCAACUGCUGUUUUUUACUCUUUGGCUUUUGGUUUGGUUUGGGAUUAUUUACCAAUUAGCAAACCCAACGAGGACUUUAAUCGCGUGUUAAUUAGCGUAAAAUAUCAAGCGUUUCAUCAAAGAAAAUACUCCCCCCAAAAACCCAAAAAAAGCGGCAACAACUUGAAAGUUAAAACCUCCACCCACCACCUCCCCCAAGGGUUCCGCCGUCCCAAAGCCCUCCGCUUCUCCCAGCACCGCAUCAACCACCGGAAAUGUUCGGCCACCCAUCAUCAGCCCCGCCUUCGGGACUCUCCUCAACCCUGCAUUCGUACCCCUCUUCGACCCGGGCCUUCGGCACUCCGUCUUCCACCCCUGCCUUCGCCACUCCAUCUUCAAGCCAGCCUUCGGAACGCCGUCCACCGUCGUUUGGCACCGGCUUCGGAACCUCACUGUUCUCUACUCGUUCUCGCAGCAGCAAUCGCAGCAGAGCUUUUCUUUCAGACGCCAGGCUCAAGCCCUUUCGGUCUCUCGACGCCGUUCGCUGCCACCAAGUGCAGUCUUUCCGUUUGGUCAGCCGCUGUGACUCCGGCAUUGCCCUUUGGAAAAUGUUCAAUUGACCACUCAGAUGGCUCAGUUGCUCCUCUCCCUUUUCUCUUGCCGAUCGUGAUAUUCAAGUAAGCCUAACUAGAGAAGUUUUUUUUUUUUUUUUUUUUUUUGGAAAAUUCGUAGUGUAUUUAGUUUUGCAUCUACAUAUGGCGGUUUUCCUUUAAAUUUAUGGUUUUGCUAUGUGAACUAUCUAGGCUAUUGUUGAUGCUUACAAGGAGGAGCCUGGAACCCUAAGUAUGCAUUUAAGGUUCGAUUUUUCAUCAUUGACCUUGUCCUUGUCAGAUUUUUUUAAUUCUGUUUAUGCUCGAUUCUUGUUUAAUUGGUAAAAUUCUUGGGUGAAGAAACGUGGAUUUUGGGGACAUUGACGUUUGAAUUGAUUUGGCCAUUGUAACUUUAUUUUGUUAAUUAUUAAUUAGUAAUUUAGCAAUGAUUCUCUGUCCCCUUUGAAGAAGGAGAGAUGGUAGGUUAGGUUACGUUGCCUUCGUUUAGCUGAAGUCUGAGAAAGGAAAAUAUUCAUUGCAUGAAACACUGAAUGUAGUGAUAGGCCAACACAUAAUUGCAAUUUGGAACAAAUUGGUGGCAAGAAUAAGCUGCAGAUGAAAUGUAUUUGUCUCUCAUUCUUAGAAAAAAAAUGAUUAGACAGCGUCUUUUCUUGGUUCCCAAAAUUUUCUCCAUUCUAUGUUUAUGAAGUUUUUAAAAUAUGUGUUUGUGGUUUUGCAGCAUUAAUUGUUCAGCGUGACUGAACCUCAAUAUAGGGUGAAACCUGCUGGUGUACCAUUCUUGUUUAAUUGGUAAAAUUCUUGGGUGAAGAAACGUGGAUUUUGGGGACAUUGACGUUUGAAUUGAUUUGGCCAUUGUAACUUUAUUUUGUUAAUUAUUAAUUAGUAAUUUAGCAAUGAUUCUCUGUCCCCUUUGAAGAAGGAGAGAUGGUAGGUUAGGUUACGUUGCCUUCGUUUAGCUGAAGUCUGAGAAAGGAAAAUAUUCAUUGCAUGAAACACUGAAUGUAGUGAUAGGCCAACACAUAAUUGCAAUUUGGAACAAAUUGGUGGCAAGAAUAAGCUGCAGAUGAAAUGUAUUCGUCUCUCAUUCUUAGAAAAAAAAUGAUUAGACAGCGUCUUUUCUUGGUUUUCCCAAAAUUUUCUCCAUUCUAUGUUUAUGAAGUUUUUAAAAUAUGUGUUUGUGGUUUUGCAGCAUUUAUUGUUCAGCGUGACUGAACCUCAAUAUAGGGUGAAACCUGCUGGUGUAUCAGAUGUAAGUUCAAUGUGGUUUGAGUUAUACUUCUGAUUCUGUUGCUUUUAUUUACAUGUUGAGACUUUGUAGUAAAUCUUGUGAAUUAGUUUGGCUUGUUAGAUAAUGUGGGCAGAGGCCAUAGGGAAACUUGAAGGCAUGGAGAGUUCUGAUCGAGAACGACUUUGGCCCCACCUUGUUCAGGGAUUUAAAGAUCUGUCACAGCGCCUCAAGGUACCAGAUGGAUGAUCAUUACCUCCUUGAAAUGAGGAUGGCUUCAGUGCUUGGAAAAAAUUUUUUGUUGAAGCCUUCCUAACUCACAUUUGUUUCAUUUCGAUGUGCCAAAACUGCAUUCUUUGAAGAAUUUUUUUUAAAUAUUAAAUUUCUGUGUAUCCAAUCUCUAUAAUUAGAUUCGCUAGAUGGCAUAAGUAGUGCCUCUUUCUCAUGUUAAAUAAUGUGUGUUUGGAUAGAGUAUCAUUUGAAAUAUUAUUUGGAAUAAUUAUUAUAGCACUUAUUAUAAUGUGAUGUAUGUGAGAUAAAAAGGUAUUUGAAAAUAUAAAAAGGUGGGUUGGAAAAUGUGGUUAUGAUGCAAGCAAAAUAUUAUGUGGAAAAAUUUAGCUAUCCAAACACUAUUAUAUUGUUUCUUGGCGGGCAAUAAAGCGAGCAAUCUAUCAGUAUCUUCACCAAGAAUUUAUUUUGUUAAUCCUCUUUUCAUACCUUUAUGGUAAUUAAAUGUUAGUCUUUGGGAUACCUUGCAAUCGUGUUCUUUCUUUUCUCUAUCAACAUUAUCUGAUUGUAGCUUGGGAUACCUGAAUUUAUUUUCUUUUUUGAAUUGUGUUUCUUUAACUUUGGAUAAGCUACAAGAUGAAGUUAUAGUCUCAGAUUCUGAGAGAUUGCGAAUAACACAGAGCAAUGUAAAAAUGGUACUCUCUUGUUCUCUUGGUUUGAUAUACCAAACUUGUGGUUAGUGUACUAGGUUUGUUAACCUGCCUUUAUGCAGCUUCAAAGGCAUUUCCAAGCAGACACUUUUCCUUGGAUUCGGAGGAUGCAACAAAAGGAGCAGAGUCUCCAGAGGCGCCUCUUAAGGGUGAGAUGUCUGGCAUUAUACUUCAUUUUUAUCAUAUUGUCCAAGAUGCUAGUGUUUUGAUCUGAUAGUUAAGCAUUUUCUGCUGCAAUACAAGUAGUAAUAUAAAUGAUUAGGAGAUUUAAUUUUGUUAUAAUCCUGUAAUAUUCACUCAUGUCUCUUUGUUUUAGAAGAAACAAUUAAGGAAUACCAUCUAGAUGAAGUUUUAGACCCCAAAGUACCCAUGUCGACAUGCCAUGACACUGGUGCUGGUAUGGGAUAUGUGUCCAAUGAAAAAUUUUUGGACACUUUUGACUUUUGUGAGGUCUGAUGUCGAAGCAAGAGGAGAAGAACUGGGUGAGAAAACUCAUAGAUGCAGAAGACUUGUUGCAUUGGAGUCCUACUGGAAUCCUUUUGAGCUAUGGCUUGUUGGUUACUUUAGAAUUCUCCAAUCCUUAGUGAGCUACGACUUGUAUGUUGGCUGUACUGUAUAAUUCUUAUUUUUACUUGAAAUUUUGCUGUACCCACGUUCUCUUGUCUGAGUCUUUAGAAGUGUCCCUGUAUCCUAAUUUUAGAAGGUUGACGAAUCAGACACUUAGACACAUACUCGAAUCCGACACCUAUACCCGAGUCCGAGUAACAUAGGAAAACAGAAUGUUCAAUACACUAGCUAUGUACACUGGACUUUGCUAUGCAACAGAUAAAGAAUAUAGUCUCAUAUGAUACACAGGUAAUGCGAAUUAUAGAGGCAUUGGAAGGCAAAGGGUGUCGAUCACCUUUGAUGAAGGGAGAAGCUGAAUUGGCGGAGAAGUUGGCUUCAUUAACUCGACAGGUACUUGAUCCAGGUCUUUUGAUCUGUGUAAGAUUUUUAUGAUGUGGCUUGUAAUGGAGCUUGUAUUUACUAGUAAAUUCUGACAGUUAAAAGGAUCAGGAGCAGAACUUUCUAGAAGGGUUCAAAAUCUACUGACUCUAUCUCGUGUUCAAGCCAAUGGCCUUGGUGGUAGAUCUAUGUAUAUACCUGGAUCAACUAAAAUACAUGAGCAAAGUCUUUUGGACAUGCAGGAGGUAUUGUCAAAUCUCAUUUUAAUCAGCAUUGCUGACAUGGAGGUGGUACAUCACUUUCAUUGAUAUGCGUGUUUAAAUGAUGGAAUAACCAAUAAAAUGCAGGAAAAAGAAUGAUCAGUGUAUCAUUUGAAGCUUUGUCCUUCAUUGCACCCCCAGAUAUUUAUUGCAAAUUUUAUAUGCUCACCCUUGUGGCUCACGUACUUUUGACACAAUUACAUGAAGCAAGCAAAAAUAUGUCUGAAUGCACGCCCAGCCUAAAACAAGUCAUAUAACUCAUGGUGAAGAAUGAUUCAAUGUAAAUUAUGCUAAAAUUGUAAAGAGGCUACUUUUGUCCUUUCUGGACACAGGUCUUGCAACAGCAGACGGAGGCUAUUGCUAGGCUUGGCAAUGUUUUAAAGAGAGAUAUGAGGGAUGUGGAGAUCAUCAUGGCUGAGGAAACAGAGAUGUCAGAAGACUAGCCAUACAUUUAAGGUGUUCGCUGUUCAUUUUCAGUUUGUUGGUUUAAAAGCUUUUGCUCCUGUUAGGAUAAAUUUUGUUGGCAACAAUGAGCAAGUUAUGGGAAUUCCUACUGCCACAUCUCUUCUACCUUGCUUUUUGACCUGGAAAUUUAGAUGGAUCAGAGGCUAGAAUCUUAAUCACCUCUAUCUUGAUUGCUGUUGGAAAAUAUCCCUCCCGUGAGACUUCAUUUGAUGAUUUUAUGCUUCAUAGAUCAGGUCAAUUUAUGCUCACAAAGAUCAGCGGCCGGAAGUUUGAUUUUUGUGCUCUGGAUAUGCAUGUCAUUUUCAUCAAGGUCAGCAAACUACGGUAACAGAAUUCGUUCUCGACACCAAAGGUUUGUUGUACAACUCGACAAGCAAACUGUGCUUGUUGGAUGGCAAAUUGUAUCAUGUAAAGUACGAGAUUGAGAACCAAGCAUACCUUCACUCUGUGAGAUUAUGGGAAUUUGUCUAUUCACUUUGAGAUUGUACGCAGUAUCUCAGUAAUGGAUGUAGGUUAGAACAUGCCUAUAGUACCAGGAUUUUGUAGUCGCUAUCGUGAAGUACUGCAGUCAGUGAAGUUCAAAUAGACUACACUGAAAAACAAUGUUCUAAAACUAAUUUUAAUAUAUAUUUGAUGUAGUGGUUUAUAUUGUGAACUAUAUACGAACGAAACAACAAAAUAUAGAAGAAAGUGGAGUAGAGAAAAGUAGGUAAAAGUAAGGAGAAUUAUAUUUUCAUUCACUCAAUUGUUGAUAGGUUACGAGAGACGUUGGAUGAUCUUUAUUUACAGAUAAAACAAACUUAAUGAUACAUGACUAUCUUUAAUGCUUGUGCAUAAACUGAGUUGUUCCAUAAAAUGUACCACAUGCUCUUAGGAGAGAUACAUGUACCGACCUUCUAAGAGAAGGAAAUGGACAUCCAUAUCAAUUCAUUUAGUUGUUUCAUAACAAUAAUAUUUUUAUUAACCCUAUUUUCCCAAUCUACGAGAUUUUUUUGGCACAGAUGGUAAUAAUACAAAUGCAACAGUCUGCAGUUUUGUCGCUACAUCUUUUGUAGCCAAAAUUGCAAAUUUAGCUAUUACAUAACAAUGGAUAGGACCUUAGCUGGCUUUCCUCUUUGGCUUUCUUUUGAACCUUGAACAACAAUGAAAACUCCCCACCAAGAAGCUGCCCUUCCAGUUAUUGAACCACAGAUAAUACUUGAUGAUCCUUCAGGUGACACUGUUUUGGGUUUUCGUAUUAAUUUUUUUGUUUUUUGGUUUUCACAUUAAUGCAAUUAUGAAUAUUCUCAACAUUCAUUGUAUUUUUCUGCCAUGAUCAAUACCACCAAAGAGUCCAACCAGUGAACACGCGUGCACCUUUUCCCUUUCCCUUCUGCUGAUCAUACUGCUCCCACAAGUAACCAGUCUGAUGGUAGUUUUUAACCACAUUCCUAGGAUAAAAAGGAGAGCUCGAAAUCACUGUAAGCAUAUACUAUAUGUGGCAAAAUCAUCUUUAAAAAGAAAAAAAUUAGAACAGAACUUUCUGCCACAGAAAAAUUGGUUACGUGAUGAUAGAAAAGUAUCUUUUGCAAUCUGCGCAUUUGGAUGUGCGAGUGCCUAAAUGCCUAAUCACACCAUACCUGAUCAAGUUGUUCCUCAAAUCAUCAUAUAUCGCCUUGGCACGUUGUCUGUAUGGUCCAUCCUCUAUAAUGAUCAAACCAAGGCAGCAUCAACUUUAUAAGAAAGAGUUUCAGAAGAAAAUGUUAAUUUCUCAUUUAUUGUACCUCUGGAGUAGUAGUGAAGUGCAGAGAGAAUCCUAUAAUUCAUGUUCAUCCAUAUAGGCCCCCUCCAAUAUGGUGGAUCAUGCUCGGUAUUUCGUUUCAUGUAAAUUGAGCUGUGGCAGAUUAUUUGUAUUUCAAUUAAUGUUGUACAAUUUUCUCAAUAUAAUCACUUGCCGAUGAGUUGAAAAAUAUGUACCUCGUUGCAUGAAAACCAGUGACUGUUAAACUAAUAGGUGAGAAUCCCCUCCUUACCUCGUUUUCGAAAGAGACCUCAGCCCGAAGUUUGUCCAUAAAGUGCUUCUGUUUGAAAUGAGGUCAAGUUGUUUUUCUAGUAUCCAGGAUCCCUGCUUGCAAUUGAGUAUAUCAUUUGAUCCCAGAUAACACAAAAAGGCUGACCAAGUGUGAAGAGAAUGGUAACAAGAAAUAUUUUAAAGUACAAGUUGUUGCAAAGAGGAAGGUCAUAGUAACUUACAGGUGGAAUAAGCCUUUCCAUCAGUGGGAAAAGGCUGACAUAGCCAACAUGAGGAACCAGUCUCAACACGGUUUCUCUAAAACUUCUCGAAUAAGCUCUCUACUUGGGUGACCGUUAACUGUCUCCACAACUUGCCAACUUAAUCGAACCUGGAAGGGCAAUUCCUUACUAGUUUCUUAUAAUGCAUCAGUAACAGAAUAUUCCUUUUCAACAUUAAGUCAACAGGUAGCCUUUUGGAAGCAAUUUGGUUUCAUAAGAAUCCCCCUCUUACGCUUUCAACAUUUAUUGACAUGAAGCAUGUAGACAACUCAUCCAACCACCCCACCAACCCCCCCCCCCCCUCCAAAAAAAAAAGAAAAAAAAUAAAGGAAAAGAAAUAAAGCAUCAGUAACUUUAUGCAAGAAAAAGUUGCUGUCAUCUCACAAAACCGUAAGAUAGCUUACGUUUUCUGUAUGAUUCCCGUAAUCAAAAUAAGCUCCAUAUGCAUCAUCAAAGUGCAUCUGGACAGAACGUAGACAAACCUUAGAUCCAAAACCUAGAUAAACGCAAUAGUUUUUUGAUGGAUAGACCAAAAUGAGAUUAAUAUCCAGUUACAAGGAAACAUGUCUGUAGUAAAAAUUAGAGCUGACCUCAUUUAAAAGCUGAAAAUCAGAAAGCAGCUUAGCUGUGGACCUAUACUCCUGUUUCAGUUCAUCAUAGACUUUGAAUUAUGUUACAGAGAAAUCUUUGCAUACAAAAAUAGUAUUAUGGUGUAUUUUGUACCUUUCCAUGUUCAUUUUCCUUCUCAAGAAAUUCUAAAAUCGAAUGCAAGCAAUCUGCAGCAAGAUGCAUCCAACAUCUAAUAUCCAAGUGGCGUUCAUCUUUACUUGGGUGUGAUGCACGGGGAUAAUCAUCUAGUCCAGAAGAUAGAGUCUGGAAAUGCAAAGAAACAUCUAAUUAUUCUGGUGUAACAGGUAAAACAAUUUUCAAUUAUUCUAACAAGGACGUUCAUGAAUGGAACAAGUGGAUCUGAGAAUAAACAGCAGAGUAACAGCAAAACUUUACUCCAGAAUAAGCAUAGAUUGUUUAUGUGAAGCUCCAUUUGAAAUUGAAGCCCCUUUAAUCUCUUUCAAAAUCACAAUAUGUAUUAAAAAUACAAUGCAGUUAGAAUUGUGUCUUUCUUCCAAAUUAUUGCGCUGAUACUGUAUUUGUAUUUUACAACCUUUUAGGUAUUUAUUUCAAACUCAUUAAGAUGUGGAAUAAGCAGCCAGACGUCAUAUAACUUCACGUUUGCAGUAAUAUGUGUCUUAGGAUGUCCAUGAAGCAAUAUUCAAGUACAUUAAGCAACUAAGCGUGCAUAUCCAGAUACAGUUAAGCCGUUUAUAAUGAAUCAGGCACAAAACCUUUGGAUUUAAUUCACGAAUAGUUUUAUUGUCUCUUCCAUGCCAAAAAUAGCUGCUCACAGCCUUUCCUGCAAAUACAGCAGGUAGAACUUCUCAUAAGAUGCUUAAACAUGAUAGAAGCUACCAAUUACAUUAAAGCUAUGGAAGUUUAGAAAUUGAUUUCAGACUCGUACAAUGCUUAGGUAACUAACAAACUAAGCCUUAAAUAGCCAAUUUCAGCUUAACAUGCACUCAUUUUUGACAUAGAAAUGCAUACCUAAUACCAGUAUUCAAUCUUUUUGAGUUAGAGGAACAAAGUAACUAAAUUAUCCACCAAGAUUUAGACUCCAAGGUUGCUGUGCAAACUAACCACCAAGAUCUUUAGACUCCAAGGUUGCUGUGUAAACUAAGCAAUACAUUGUCUCACAGUUUAAAUGAUGGGAAUCAAGAAGAUAAUGGUAUUUACCCGAUUGUGUGGUAUUGAACCAUUUAAACCAUCCUUCAAGACGGACAAAUGCUUGAUCAAAGAAGAUUGAUAUCUCUUUCCUCUCACCAGCAGCAAACUUCUUGGCCUUAAUGCUGCAAAUAAGGUCUGCAUAAAGCAAGCCAAGCCUUCAUACAUAAACAUUAAAAUCAUGCUUCUGGCACAUAUGAUGAUCUAUUAAAAGAUUAAUCUGUAACACAACAUGGAAUAAAUCAUAAGUUUUUCUUUGCUUAUCACUGAACCAGAUCCACGAUGAUCUACAAACAUCACCUUCUUUUAACUCCAUUCAGUGAAAAAAUUUCCGUUUAUUGUAAAUAGACCAUUCAAAAAUAUACGCAAGCACUAUAACUUUGCUCAAUAUGAUUGUAUUCUUACCAAAAUUCAGCACAAACCAAAUAAGCAAACUGAGCAGCCCAAUUCUUAAAGCACUUAAAAAGACUAGAAAUUAUUGAAAGAUAAGUUUACCGCGUAAAACUAGGAACAAUGUUGGAGGAUUCCCAUUUGUUGGAUGCUGGGUAACAAAUUCCUCUGGGACCUUACUGCCAAUUCAAAUAAAUAGCUUGUCAAAGAGAGAUCAACAGUAUAUGAGAUCUGAAAUGAUAACUAAGCAUAUCAGAAGAAGACUGUAUUUAUCACCUUAAAGCUUCAGCACCUAAAAUUUGCUCACGUGGAAUCCAUCCAUCAAUAUUCAUUAGGUCUAGCCAGUGUCCGAUAAUAUCCAAGCAAAUAUGGAUAUCCCAACGCCUGAUCAUUGUUAAGAAGAAAUGAAAUAUUAGAAUACCAAAAACUAUACUGAUCUUCUAAACUAUGCUGACCUUCUAAACUAAAUAAGGAUCCAUCUGACUAAAGACAGAACUAACUUAAAGCUGCAGAAAACCACCUACCAGAUCAGUAGCUGAUGGAAACCCUCAUCCCACAAAAAUCCCCUGGGGAAAAAGGGACGACUUGGAACUGCUGUAUAGAGCUCAGCUGGCCAAUAUGAAAUAAAGUCAUCACCAUGCUUUUUCUGCAUCAGAACAUAGCCCACCGUUACUUUGUCAAAAGCCCCAGUGGUAAUAAUUUACCACAGAAAUGCUAAACAUUUCAGUCAAACUCCAAUACUUAAAAUAACAACCCAAAAUGCAUAGCACAUAUGAUUUAACUACAAAAUAAAAAUUUUUGGAUGGAAAUCUAGAAUAAGAGCACAUCAAAAUAGUAUCUAGUAUUUCAUUUGCUUUUGUUUCUUUUCUUUCUAAUACUUUAAGUGAAUGUUUGUAGUAAUUCUAACAGUCCAUGCACUAGAUGCAUCAAAGUACAAUGGGUAGUCGCAAAACUCAUGUCUUACAUUAGAUGAUUGUCCAUCUAUGCUGUUAUUAGCAAAAUACAAGACAGAAUCACGCUAUGCUAGUCUGUCUUACAUUAUGGUGGUUUAAAACUGACUCUUCCAGAAAUUUUCAGAUGCAUGCAGCAUGACAUUGACAACAAUCAAAUUCAGUGGAACAAAUUAAUGCUUGUGUAGAUUUACUGGCAGUGGAACAAGUUAAUGAUUGUGUAGAUUUACUGGUGAUCAAACAAAGAAAGCAUACAAGUGAGACUAGAGAAUAUAAUUGCUUCUGGAUGCAAUAGGUUUUUACAAAGCAGAGAAGAAGAAAACAAACAUGUAUACCCUAACCACUGCCCCAUCAAGCUUAGUGCAAAUUCACUUUUACAGGAUCUCACAGUUCACAUGGAUUGCAGCAAGUACUCAGCAACUAUAUUUAGCUACCAGCAAGAAUUAUUUGACCCAUCCAAAAUGGAUUAUGCAUAAUUCAAAAAGUUGAAGAUGUAAUCUCAUUAAUUUGAACCUUCCUUGAGUCAUAAACCCUUUUUUCCCCCUUUGGAGUUGUAAACUUGUCAAGUCAUAAAAUGUGAAGCAAGCAUGAGAAACGACGCAAACUAGUGUUUAAAUCAAAUAAAUGGUAAAGAGUGAACAGAAUUAGACAUAUACAAUGAUUUCAGCAAAUCUUGUUAAGCAACCAGAGGCAGUUAGAGUAAAAUUUCUGUAUAAAAUUUCUAUUUUUUAAGAUCCAUGAGCAGAAUAUAUAAAAUUUCUAUUUUUUAUUUACAGUAAGCAGAGCUUGUAAGCAGUACAAUACUCACAAAGACAAGAAGAUUCACAAUUAUGUAAAGCCUCAAAAGGACAUCGGAACCACAUUAAGGAUAAUAAAUAGAGCAACUAACAUCAGGGCGAUUUGGGAGUGCAAUUUGUGACUGCCCGUAAAAGUAUCCUAUACCACCAAGCAGAUUGGCAAGUGCAGCCUUACCCACUGUCACAGAUCCAGAAUCAAGCUGAGAAGACCAAAUGAAAGUUUCAGAAACACUUCAAGAAAUGCAUUAUUGCUUUCAAACUGAAAAAGGACAACAUGAAGGAUGACUCAUUUCAACUGCAAAAAUAGUCACAUAGAGCCAAUAAUCCUUUGGCGUAGACAAUCUUAGCACCCAAAAUGAUUUGUGAACUUACAAUUUUCUUAGUUGAAAUGGCUCAGAUGAAUUCGUUGUAUCACACUGCACACUGGCUGUACAAUCAUCCAAUAACUACAUUGAUGGCCUUGGAAGCAUGAUUUGAACAUUGAUAUACUUAUGCAUAUAAUUUGGCAUCAAUAAACUCUGUGGAAGAGAAUACAGCCAAUGACUUCGCAUUUUAUUGAAUGAAUCUCUAUGAAAUGAUAGUUCACAUCCUACAUCAUCUGUAUUUUAUUUCUAAAGGAUGAUUACAGUGAUUGACAUGCCAAAGCACAAGUUUUAUCUAACCCCACUAGCUAGCAACUCUAAGUAAUCCUGCAGCAUACAUUUCAUGUAAUGCAUAGAAUAAUCUAAGAUGAGAAGUCAAGGAUAGAAUAUGUAGGAUAGGGCUGUUGUAGCCCACAUUAUCAUGCUUGGAAACUGGUCUAAAGAGAUUAAGUACUCAUCUAAGUUCAAAAGAUUAUGAAGCCCAAGGAUAAACUGGUCGUUACCUCAUCACCAAGAUUGAAGCACCUUUCGAAUUUGUCAGCAUAGUCUUUUUGCUUCUCACUCAAUUUAUUGGUCAAUGAGGCACCUACAAAGAGUGAGGAAGGAGUGGCAAAGAUUUAAAUGUUCAGGUUAAGCUAAGCUUUACAACCACCCUGAACAGGGAGAGAAUAUAAAGCAUCUAAAGUUUGUGUUGUUAACCAGAUUUAAGUUGACAAACUUAAGAACAGUAAAUACUUGCUCAAGAUCAAAUUCAUCAGUUUUGCCUGAAUACCUUGAAGGUAUCAAAAGAUUAUGCAAAUUUCAGCACCAUAUUUUUUCUAUAUAUUAUCCAAGAACACUUCUUUUUCUUUUGAAGUGCAGAUAAUAAAAGGUCGACAGCGGAAGGCACCUGCAAGACUGAUGGCACGCUCUUUUUGCGCAAGAGUUCCAGACUGGAAAAUGAUAUCUGCCUUGAAAGGUAUCCUACCAGAGAGCUGAAUACACAAAAGUCGUUACUAAAAUUGCAAAUACAAAGAGAGACUUGAGCUGAAGUCUUAUUUGACAGACUGAAGAAGCAGGAGCUCAUAAGAUUGCUGAAAUAAACCUGAAACACUAAGAUGUUUGAUGACCCUUCUGAUGUAUCUGAAAGCUGCAAGCGACCCACCUUCCUUGCCUGAAAAGUAGACAAAAACAACUUUAAGAAAGGCAGAGGAGUUACAUAUCAUACUCAACACGGUGCAAAAGCCACCAAAUGCUGUAAAAGUCACUACAAGCAUUCUUGCAGCAAAGCUAUUAACAAGGUCGAGAUCAGAAAACUAGGGAGGACAAACUCAUGUACUUGGAUCCCAAGAUUUGAUUGGACAAGAUCAGAUAAAUUAUGGACAAAAGGUGUCUUGAACCCAGAAUAGUGAAAUUCAAAUUCAUCCUGCAAAAAAAACAAAAAAAAAAAAGCGAACAAACACACUCACAGUGAGAUACAGAAAUCCUGGACACAACUGAAAAAGUAUCCCAUAGCUUCAAUAAAAUUUAUGUGCACUGUAAUCCUCCUAUUCUGGACACCAACAAACAUUCCAUGUGGCAUCAUACUGUAACUUAAAAGAUGUGAAAAUACUAGAAGUUUUUUAUCAAUUAAGAUUUAUAUUAAUUUUUCAGUAUCAUACCUCAGUACUUAAAAGUAGCUGCCAAUUGCCAACAUCACUCCGAUAUCCAGAUGCUAGGAUAGAUUCAUCAUCUACAUCUGUGGCUCCUACCCAAAUUUAGUGCAUUUCCACUUUCAUCAUCCAUAUAGAAGAACAGAUGCACAGUUUUUGACAUUUCCUCACUAAGGUUUACUCUGUCAACAAUUUCAAAGCUGUUAGAGAAGAAAGAAAUCACAGGACAUGAAAGAUGAGCAUAGCAUCUAAGAUGCUAUAGCUUAUUAGCAAUGAGAACUAAUUUCAGCAAGUUUUGUUUUCGAGGUCUAGAGCAUGUCCUUGACAAAUGUGAUAACCUCCAAAAGAAAGUUUUGCACUAAGUAGUUUCAUGCUCAACAUUCCAGAUGCACCCACUAUAUUAUAUGUUCCUCAGCAUCAAAGUUAAGCAUGCAUCCAACAAGCAAAGACAUUCUCACAUAACUAUUAACAAUAUAACUGGUUCAGCAGUUGCUUAAUGAGAGAAAGGAGACUCGCAAAAACACAAUCAGACGAAUUGAAGAUUUUACAUGAUAACAAUAAAAUAUUGAUCAAAGAGUGUACAGAGAAAUUACUAGACAAUUAAGUGACACAUUCACGUCAAUAAAAUUCCAUCCAAUACUUACUUUUGAAAGAAUAGCAUUUGGGAAGACUUUCAGUUUCUAGGCUUAUACACUAAAAGCAACCAACUGCCUUUUGGUUUUAAGAAAGUGGCCAUAAAAUUUAAGUUAAUGGGGAUUACUCAUCAUUUUCCACUUCAAUUCGGACAGCCCAGUCUCCACCAUAGCUGCUCCCAUGCUCCUUGGACUUGAGGAAACUUGUUUUCAAGGUCAUAUCUUGGUCAACCAAAAUUUGAUGUCCAUAAUCCCGUCCAUUAUGCUCUGUCCAUCCAUAUGUCCUAAGCUCAUCUGAAUCUUGGCAGAUGUGUCGCAUGGCAUACCUUCCAUUCGUAAUACCAAUCCACAUCAAACCAGCAAUCAAAGACUGUGGGGUCCUACCAAUAAACACCAAAAAGUACAUGAUUAUGUCGAUCCCAGUCCACACUGUGCAUGUUUCAUAAAGCAUCAUAAGUCACACUAGAAGUCCAUCAGAAAAACUAUACAACAUAUUGGGGAGUCUUUCUGGUUCCAUUGAGGCUGAAAGAUGAACCAAGAUACUCAAUAUAUGAACUAAGCCCAGCUCGAUAAGUGCUCACUGAGACUAAAACAUCGAAGGAUCAAACCAAGUCUGCAGUGUUCUUUUUAAGGUCUAGAACUCAGCUUGAGCUCAGUUCCAUGAGUCAACUAGACGUUAUACAUAUUAAUAAAUGAAGGUAAUAAGCUGGCCUUCGAAAACAACAGCAUUUGGCUCGAUUAGAUUCCUUUAGACCCUACUUUUCAUUCUACCACAUAAAAUUGCACGCCAAAAGCAGCAAUUUUUCUUGACAUUCCAGAGCAGAAUGUGAGAAGGAGUCGAUACCGUGCACGAAUCCCAAAAUAAACGUUAGGUCUAUAGGUUCCCCAAUACAAGCUCUCCUUGUGCUCCCCUUGAAACUGCCAGGAAAAAGGAAAAAUCAUCCUCGUAGCUGAAUUUAAUUUAUUAGGAUACAUAAAACAAAGUGGAAAACUGAAAUUAUACUAAAUUAAAGAACAAAUAUUCACCAUGGGAAGUUCCAUGAGUUUGGGAGCGGGAAAUGGCGUGAUAACCCUGGGCUUUUCCGGCUCUUCAUUAGUAUUUACCAAUCGGAAAAUGAAAAAGAGGGCGAUCGAGGAGAACAGGAUUCCAAACCCUAGGAAAACUUUGCUGCUCACGUUUGUAAUUCGAAUGAGGCUUUGGUCUCUGCCUCUAUAACUUCGAGGUCUAGCGUUCGUACUUACUCUGUGGACUGACUCAUCACCAACGGCGUCUGCGGAGGGCUUGCCUCUACUCCGAGUGCUGCUUCGCGUUGAACUGCCGGCCAUUUUCCGGUGUGGGUUUAUUGCUGAUUCUGAUUUCUGGGGAGGUUUUGCGCAGAGUGCGCCUGCGCUGAUGCACAAGAAGCAGGACGGUGGACUUGGACUGGCCAAGGCCGUAGUGUUAUUGAAAAUCUGGGCUGCUGUAGCUUAAAGUCCAUAUCUGAAACCUAUAAAUCUGCCUUGAUCCUCGGCUAUAGGCUAUGAAAAUCCGCAAACUUGGGCCACGGAUGUUAAAGACCAGGACAGUAGACUUGGACUGGGCCGAGCUGUCUCAGGUGAUCUCUCAGUUUUUUUUUUUGGUGGUAUAAUUGUUACUAAAAAACAUAUGGGUCUGUUUCGAUUGGGCAGUUUUUUGACUAGUUGAAAAAUUGUAGUAAAAAACUACUAGUAUAUAUGUAGUCAAAAAACAACUCGUUAGUCAACGCAUUGUUUUGAAAUGUCUACAGUGGUGGUUUUGGGGUACGAUAUUAUUGUUUUGGCUCGGAAGUAAGAAAACCAUUGCUGUUUCUACGGAACUCUUCAUUCCUUUUCCUCAAACCGAAUUUCAACUUGCAGGUGCUCAUAUGUGGAACCUACCUGUCGACAUCUGAAAGCUUUUCUUCCCCGAGCAAAUUCGUCCUACUUUUUUCGUUCCAAAGCUGCUUGUGGUAAUUUUGGGCAGCUGCCAUUAAAAAACUUGCCCGAAGCUUACUCUCGUUAGCUUCAACGGAGACACCUUCAGUGAGCUGUUCUGUUCCAGGUAGCUACAAGAAAAUCGGACACACGGCUUGCGCAGGGGGCAGGUGGUCUUCUUCCUCUCGCUGUGCUUCCAAUAAGCUCAUUUAAUUGGCUUUGUGCUAUAGAAAUUGGCAGAGAGGUGCGCUUUGUUUAGCAGAUCCCCAUUUUUUUUAUUGGAGGUAAAUAAUGAAUUUGGUACACUUCCGUACGAAUUAGGGCUGAAUUUUUAACUUGGAAAUUUUGGCUUUCUAUUACAAUUCCUGCAGCUAAGCUAUGAACAAUUGGUGUAUUUUGAUAACUGGAACGCAGAUAAAUCUUGUCAACUUGGGUUUAUGGCAUCAGUACCAAUUUACGUAGCUAAUCGCAUUUGAGUAAUUGAACUUUAAUUGUUAUUGUUGCUGCUUCUAUUCUGUGCGAUGGUGGUGAUUAGGUGUUUCUCAUGGAUAUACUCUCCGGCAGCUUGUUUUUCAAAAUGCUCAGCGUGUUUUUGUUUUUUGUGUGGUUCCAUUUGUUUGCUUCAGCGUGUUUUUCAAAAUGCUCAGCGUGUUUACUUCAUCCGAGACAACGUACCAAUGAUAUGUUCUUCAAUGAAGAAGUAGCGCUCGGUGCCUUAGCAGAUGCCGGGGAUCCAGGGACUUCGUUCAGGGCAGUCAAAAUUUCGAUACGUCGCAGCGGGGCAUACAUAACUACUAACUAGAACGAAAAUCGGCGGCAAUACUCUAUUGUUACGAUACCACUUCAUUCUGCACCUCGCCAGAAUUUUCACUCUUUUACGUUACAAGUCCUUUCGUUACAUUAUUACAUAGUAGAAUGGUUUUUCACAUGAAUAAAUCAAGAAAUUAAUGCGAUCCUUGGAUGCAUAUGCCAGAGCACAUGGCUUCCAAGUCUUUGCAGACAAAUCCAUAACGCAAACAUAUUAAUAAUGAAUGAAUUCAACAGCACACCACCUCACUCAUAAUAAUAAUAGACUGAGGAGGCCCUCUUGAAAGCUAUUCCUUCCUGAGUUAAUUACUACCUCUGCUGAAACUAUGGUCCACCUUUAUAGUAGUACACCAUAGUACCCCGUGUAAUGCCAAAAAAAAAAAAAAAAAUCCAUCCUAUCUGCCAAUCGGACUAACUAAGCUUGUCAAAUUCUUGAAAAUAGACAACGAAUUUUGUUGCCCAUCCUAGCCAUGUGGAAUAGCUCAGGCAUUUGCCAGCAUUCUUACAAUUUGCCAAGCUGACACUGAAACUUCCACAUGCUCGCCAGGCUUCUUGGGAAAAAAAGUUUUUUUUUUCCCUCAGCCAUUCUAUAACCGUUACAAAAGGGUGGCGAUCCAAUUCGAGGCAAAAGUGUCGAUCGAGCUGGCAAGUAGUAUUUCCUUUUUCUGAGUUCAUAGUACGGAAGAGAUAAAUCCAAAACAAUUAAACAAAGCACCAGUGCAUUUGCAAAGUAAGCGGUCCUCUUCUUUUUGAGUCACAAGGCUACUUAGAACCUUUUUAUCUUACAGAGAAAUAGAGGAGGAGGAGGGAGCAUGUACAUUUUUUCGCAAAAUCCUAUUAAAUUAGGAGUACAUGGGGUCUGAGCUAGAAGAAAGUUAGAAAUGUACUGGUAGUACUUAUGUUAUGUGGGUGUCACAGGACUAUUCCUUAGAUUCUGUAGUGACUGGUGAGUGAAGCUGUGAAGCUGAGUUUGCCCCACUCUGCAUUCAGGCAAUAAAGUGCACCUGUUUCAAUGUAAUUAAUAUUUUACUGGUAAAAAUGUUUUACAAAUGUUGCUGCCCAUAUGCCGUUGUUUUUAACAAUGCAGAGCAGAUGCAGUGCAACUAUUUUAACUGGUACCAUGUCUAUUGAGUGGAUCUGAACUUCCCUUCAUCCCAGCCUCAGCUCUGCGGAUCUCAAAAAUCCAUACUUUCAAGGUCUUAUUCUCUGCAGUCUGCACAUUUCCUCUGUGUAUUCAGAUAAGUCGAGCAGUGAUCAAUCUAAGUAUCUUGGGCCAAUUAAUAGCGACAGCGCCUUCUUCCCAUUUCUUGUGUUGGCACUUUUUCCAGCGACCGAGUUUGUCUUUUCAUCGAGAUUUCUUUGGUUUGUGCCCUUUUGGCUGAUCAAUUUUGCCUCUUUUUCAUCUUCUUACCAAUAUGUCUUGUUCAGCGACUGAGGAGUCAAAGGCUUGAUUGAAGGAUUAGUUGCAUUUUUGUUCGUGGGAAAGAUGGCGCCUUUCUUUCUGCUGAUUGGAAAGUUCAGCUAGAAAGGUUUUUGGCGAAGAAUAAGAGGAGAAGUCAAUGGAGGAUAAGGGCUGUUUGAACUAUGGAAGAGCACAAGAGCUAUCUGGGAGCAGUGCUGCUGUGAGUUUUGAGUUUCACAAAGGGAAUGGUGCGAAUCGCUCUUCACAUCAUCGAAUGGCCUUUGGAAAGCCGACUCCUCUGAAAUGGGACGAUGCACAAAAGUGGCUGGGUAAUCAUCUUUCAAGAGGUGGAGAGAAAAACCAGUCAAAGUCCACCCCCCGCAAUUCAAAUGCUGACGACAGAAGAUUGAUAGCUCCGGUACCAAAGGAGGAGUACCUGAGCAGCGAGGAUGAAGGAGGAAAUGCUUUUUCUGGUAUUCCAAGUAGUGUCCACUAUGAAGUAGAAACAAAGGAUAUGGACUGUGAUGAAUCGGUCUGGAGAAUCAAUAAGCCAUCAACUGGAUCCGUUUCGGUUGUUCGAUCAAUAUGCGUGAGGGAUAUGGGAACAGAAAUGACUCCUGCCGCAAGCCAAGAGCCUUCAAGAACGGCCACCCCUCUUAAAUCCACAACUCCAGCGGCAAGAAGCCCAAUAACCUCAGGAUCCUCAACCCCAUUAAGGUAUCAAAAUGGAUUCCAGAUCUCUGAAGACGGUCAGACUCAGACAGGUAUAACAUCUGCUGAGCACAGGGGAGAGGCUGGCAGGGGCAAUGGAUCAUCAACAAGCCGAUUUGCGCGAGAAGGAGAAGAACUGAAUGCUGCAAAUAUGAGUGAGAGCCGUUCAGAUCAACCUCAAAGGCUAAAUCCUCUGGAAACCAGGGCAAUGGCUUGGGAUGAGGCUGAACGAGCCAAGUACUUGGCAAGGUAAUAUAAAUAAGCAGCUUCGUAAAAGUUAUGCACCACAGAACUGCUAUUUUCCUCGAUGAGACGGCAUUGUACAGCUUUUGAUAGUAUGGUUGUGCAGGUAUAAGCGCGAAGAGGUGAAGAUACAAGCUUGGGAAAAUCACGAGAAAAGGAAAGCUGAGAUGGAAAUGCGAAGGAUGGAGGUACCACCCCCUCGCCCACACCAUAUUGCCAUGUUCUUGUCUGUUACUAGUUCGAAACUAUCAAAAACAGAUUUGUCAAGGUCUGCUUCGAUGAAAUACAUAAAGCCCUAAACCAAAUGAUGAGUCCAUAAUUAGAUGUUAAGAGGCUAGACAAACACAUUUUGAAAAAAUCAUGAAAAUGUCCAGCUUAAAUUGCAAAUGUCACCGGGCAUUUAGAGCUGAUAACAUACUGAUUUUAGUCUGGACGCAGAACCAUGACUACAGUGUCUAUCAUCGUUCGAGUUAGGAAAGUGAAGAGUGUGACGCAUAUAUAUAUAUAUAUAUAUAUAUAUAUUUUUAGAAAAUGUCUGCAGAAGGAUAAAUAAAUAAAGGGCUUGAGAAUUUAUCGACUGAAAUGGGAUGAUUUAUGAUACAAACGCCUAUCUUUCUUAGACAAAUACGACGGUAGUUCGUUACAUUCAAUUAUCAAAUUUGCAGGUGAAGGCUGAACGCCUGAAGUCUCGAGCACAAGAGAAGUACACGAACAAACUCGCUGCAACUAAGAGAAUAGCAGAGGAAAAGCGAGCAAAUGCAGAAUCCAAGCUAAAUGAGAAAGCUGUGAAGACUUCCGAAAGGGCAGAUUACAUAAGGAGAACUGGCCAUAUGCCUUCUUCCUUCUCUUUCAAGCUGCCUUCCUUCUGCUGGUAGAAAGUAGCAAAAUGCUCACCGUUGCUGCGUUUCUUCAGGCCUUGCAACGUUCGUCCAUUUUAAGCACAGAAGCCAUAGAUUUGAUUACCACCUCUCGUGGCUGCUGAACAAUGUUACCUUCUGCUAUUUGUGGCCAUCAAUAUGAUCCUUGUUCCAGCAAGGGUUCAAGACUAAUGGUUUCAUUUAGCGAAAAGGCUUCCAUUUGUUCACAUAAUUAGCUGUUUCUUUGUAUGGAAGCUCAUUUUGCGCCUGAGAUAAUUGAUGAUAUUUCAUUGAUCAGAUUUUUGCUACAGGAAUUUUGCUACUGUGUGGUUUUUUGUUUGGCGGUGCAUAAUUCCAAACUAACUGGAUGCUUUAUGCCUAUUCAUCAUAAGAGGAAAAACUUACUUGGGCGUACAAGUUCUUUCAAAUUCAUGCUUUGCAAUAAUUUGCAUACAAUAUACAGCGUCUCGUUUCACAUGCUCACCAAACUGGACACCAAUUGAGCGAGUGAAUGAGAAUUCAUAUCACUGAUACAGCAGCUAAAACAAUCAGCCCCCACUUUAGGUUUGUGCAAACUCACUGGUGACGCUUGGUUCGUGCUGUUCCGCUAGAAUAAAAAUACAAAAUGUUAAAUAACAAAAUCGACAAUAGUUAUAAUAAUAAUAAUAAUAAAAUUAACUAUAAUAAAAUAGUUAAAAUAAUAAUAUAAUAAUUGAACGGUGAAAUAAAAAUAUGUAAUUCUAGUUUUAUAAUCAUUGUAAAAAAUAUAAUAACUAUCUCGAAAUAUAUCCAUCAAUCUCUUGGCAUAGCUUGAAGUAUCUAAUGAAAAUCAUUGCAUUCUAGUACAUAUGUGUAUAGAAGUUCUUAAAAAUUGGUAAUUGGGCACUUAGCGAAUGAUAAUUUUUAAAAUUAACAUUAGUUUUAUACUUUUUCAUAAAUUAUUCACACUUGCCUAGUUUCGCAAUUAAUCAAGAAAACUGAUGCAUUCCAACGGGCUACUACAAUACACCUGUCAACCAAUAAGUUUCACUGUCAAGACCAAUUCCAUCCGUGGUUCGUGCUGGGCCUCAGUCGGGCUCAGCCCAAUCCGUACUUGAUGAGCGAUCUUUAGAGGGCCCAUGCUCCGCGCCUUUACUGGGGCAGAAAAAUGAAGUAAGAAAAAACUUGAGGGGCUUAUUGAGCAAUUUUAUACUCAUUAAAAAAAAUAGCAAGAAUUUCAAAGGCAUCCACAUAAUUUUAACGCUCGCGAUAGCACUAAAAUAGGCCUCUUUCGUCCGCGGUAGCGAAGUCGGCUUCGCCUUCGUUUCUGCGAACCUGCGAUAGAACCAUUAUUACGCUCUCUCUCUCUAGAAGCAGCCUCGCUCGUAGCCGCUGCUACUCAUUAAUCUCUUUCUGUCUCUCUCCAAUCCGAUUGAAUCCAUCGGACUCGGUUCGUUGGUAAGCCCUUCGAAUCUCAAUAAUUGUCGGGAGGGAGUAUAUCAUAUUAAUUUCUAGGGUUUUCUAUCGUCAGCUAUUGUUCGAUUUCGGGCUUUUAUUUCUAGUUUAUUAACAAAGAUUGAAGAAAAAAAUAAUUGUUGGCCCUACGCGAUUUACUUUCGGCCUUGAACUUGUUUCUCGUAUCAAGAUCUGUACUUUGAUUGUCUCGCUUUAUAGAUUGAAAUCUUGUGGGGUAGAAUUAGGGGAAAUUGGGGAAGGAGGUCUUCUGUUUGUUUUGAUGAAAUUUGCUGAAAUUAGGCUUAGGGUUUUCUCUUAAACCCCGGUUUAGGCGAGUUUAGCAGGUGAAUUGAAUUUUUUGGCUGUAUCAGAGGGAUAAACUCGGUUAUAGAUUUAUGGCGGCUGGAAGACAUGGGGGUUAUAGGGACAAUGAGUUCAGGGAUCGUGAGUCUGACUUUGAGGUAGCCAGGAGGGAAAUUGGCUAUUCAAAAGGUGAUUAUGAUCGGAUGAGGAAUGGUGUGGGGGACUAUGAUAGGGGGAAUAGGGCUCAAAAUCAUGAUGGUCGAGAUAGGGGUAGAGUUAGGCAGAAGGAUAUUAAGGAGAGGGAGUUCACUAAUGGUGGGUAUCGGUCUGCCUCAAGUAGGAGUGACUCGGGCAGUAGUGGUGGUGGUAGUGCUGGUCUGGGGCCAAAGAGGUAUGGUUUUUGCAUGAGGCCCGUGGACAGAGAACCUGGGGAAUUGUCCAGUGAAAGUGGGUCUGAUGGGGCUAUUGAUUCUGAAGCGCAUAAGAAGGAUGGUGGUGAGCUUAAGAAGUCAGAAAAUGGAAAGAGAAAAUUUUCACCCAUCAUUUGGGAUAGAGAUGGAGAUGGCAAAAAAGUGACUAGAAUUGUUAAGGCGAGGACUUCCCCAGCAGCAGCUGCUCUUCCCCCUCAGCUACCCACGCCUACUUCUGGCACCAUGUCACCUGAUCGCAACCCUGAUAGUCGUCAACAUAUUUCACCUAGUAAAGAUAUAGUGGUUCAGAAUUCUGGGCUGUCACCGAAAAAGGUUACUGAGGACCUCAC
rnacentral:lncRNA from 1 species